rnacentral:lncRNA from 1 species
ACGACUUCAUACAUACAUACAUAAAUACAUAUAUAUAGUGAAGUUUCGUAGCAUACCGGUAAGCCUGCUGGAGGGCAGUUCAAGAGUUUGGAGCAUUGAAAGGGCAGUAAUUUCAGAUGGAAUGCUCCCAGAGAGAAGAUAAUUUGAAUGAAUUUUGAAACUUUUGAGGUUGGGAAAGCAAGAGAAGUUGAAACGACCAAGCUCUCCUUUCAUGUUAUCAUUUUCAUACCAGAGUAAGCUGACCCUGAUUACGCUUCCCGCUGAAUUGCAACGGAUGCCAGUCCACUUACAAUGAUCGGACGUGUAGUUGCCCGACGUUGCCCAAUUGUCGUACCACCAGCCUGUAAUCAGUAAAGCUUCUCUUUCUAACUGUACGGGUGACGACAAUAAUCCAGCAGCUGAUGCUAUUACAAAUAUUGUUUUAUCACUUAUAGCACCAACAUUAAUUAAAAUUAAAAUGACCACCAAUCUCGAAACAGAGGAUGCUGAUGCCAUGUUUAUAAUGGUUUUCGGUUGAUUGAGCUAUAUUUGAUUCUCAGCAAAGCGUUUAUAUAAGAAUUAAUUGUUUUGCAACCUCCCAGUGUUAAUUUCCCAUACGCGUUUUCAAAUAGUGUGAGUCAAGGUCUUCUCUAGAUGGAUUCAAUCAUGGAGAUAUAACCUUAUUGGCUUGUAUUUUGUGUGGUGUAGAUCUAUUUGAACAACAUUGCAGAAACAUGAGAUAAUAUGGAAAAUAUUAGAAAUAAUUAAUAGCAUUAUUAAGAUAUUAAAUAUUAAUAUGAACAGAAUGUGUGAUUUGACAGAAUAAUCAAAAUAAUUUUUUUUUAUUUUUUUAAAAUAGUUACAAAAGUCCUUUUGUAACACACAAACUAUGGAAACUCACGGGCUAUUUCUAACAUCCAUUUUAAUCUUUAUUUAUUUUUUUAUAAAUUUUUUUUUAAUGAUUAACCUUACAUAUUUUUUUUAACUUUAAUAAUGCCAUAUUAUUUAAUAUUACAACUGCCAUUCGAACCCGUGCAAAACAUGAAGACAUAUAUAUAUAUAUAACAUUAAUAAUGCCACAUUAUUUAAUAUUUAAUUUUGAAGGCCACUUUUUAAGUUGAGGGCAGGGAACCACUACGAUUCCAUAACACGCUCAUCUAAUCACCUUGACUAUAAGACUUCUCCUAGUCGGCAAUUAUUUGGAAAUAAUGUCUUGACAUAUGCUGCGGAAAUUAAAGAAUGAAGUAGACUUUACGAAGUCAAGGUGUUUUUCUAGUCUACAUAUUUUAAUUUAUGUGUAGAAAAUUAGAAAUAUUCAAUGUAUAAUCUGAUUCUAUACAAAGAUUAAUGCCCUAGGAUUGUGAUUGAAAUACUAUAAGCAGUUUAUUUUAUAAGUUUAGAUAAAAAUGAAAUUUGAUGGCUUUGUUAAAAGUUAUUUUUUUUUUAUAAUUUUCUCUAUUUUGACUGUAACUUUUAAAAACAAAACAGAGACUAUUUUUAUAAGCAACUUAUUAAAUAAGUUGCUAUAUCUUUUUAAAUGUUCAUAUUAUAACCUUAAUAUUUUAAGAAAAGAAUAAUUAUAUCUUACUUUUCUAUAAGCUUUAAUAUAUAAAUAAAAGACAAUUUAAACUCAUGUUUAUUUUAAUCAUUAAAUAAUACAGGAUCUUAAAGUGCGGAUAUAAAGUAGUUUUUUGGUACAGGACCUUAAAGUGCGGGAAACAUUAGGAAAAAUUUUAAAACCGCGGGAUUUUAAAGGCUUAAUACUUAAAACACUUAAACUGCACGGUUUAUGCGUUUUCUCAAACGUUCCCGCACUUUAAAAUUCUGAAUUAGAAUAUUUUUAUAUGUGUGUGUGUGUGUGUGUGUGUGGAGGGCAAAUCUUUGACUACCUCCGGCUUCAAGGACCUAUACAGUAACUCUUAAAUCAAAGGGAGAAAAUAGUUAAUUCAAUCUGAUUGAAUAUGAAUUGAUAUUCACCAUAUGAUUAUUACAUAAAGAUUGAGCCUUAAGUGUUUUACAUUAAGUAAUAUUGCACACCUGUUCUACACAUUUAGACAACUCAGUAAGAAUUAUGCAAAUGACAACCAAAUCCAAACUAGCUAGGUGCACUAUUAUUAUUUAUCUUUGCUCCAUAAAUAUUAGAAAGAUAGAGGAGAGGAAGAAAAAGAAAAAACUAAUUUUGUAGUCACAAAUUAAUCUUAUGCUCUGAUUUUGAAGCAAAUCUGCUAAAUAUUUGAGGAUCCAACCAUGAAGCAUGUCCACUUCAAUCUUUCGCUGCACUGCUAACCAUUAUGGGUCGUCUUCUAUUGCUGGCUGUAUGUCUAAGCAAUGGGAACCUGCUCCAAUUUACACACUAUUAAUUAUGUUAUCCAAUAAUUUAGUUAAUAAUUGAACACUUAUUUUUUAUUUUAUAGAAAAAUUUACAUACUCUUUCUUGUUGUCACUGCUAUUAUAUUGUCUGAUAUCUUCCAAAACUCUAUAAUCUCCCCCCCCCCCCCCCCCACCAAAAAAAAAAAAGAAGAAAAAGAAUAAGGCAUAUAAUUAAACGGGUAACUUCGAUAGAAAAGAGUGUACAAAAUUUUUAAGCUUAAUUGCCCCUCGCUGCUAUAGGGAUCACGAAGGCCAUUAGGUAAAAUAAUGUUGCUACCAAAUCUCUUUAAAACCACUCUUAUAUCUUGCAAAUUAAAAAGAAAUAGAAAUCAAACAACAAUUGAGGUAAACUUUAUAAUUAAAAAAGAAAAUAUAUUUACUAUUUCUUAAUUUUACGAUUGCUGAAAGUAUUCAUUAAUUGGAAUGCAAAAUAAAUUUGUAUCAAAAUAAUAUUGGCAUAAUUAAUAUUUUGGUCAAACGAGAUCAAAAUGAAUAAAAUGAUGCAACAAAUGACACGACAUUAAUCAAAAGAUGUAAGUAAGUUAAUAAUAUUAAAAUUUACUUUCUCCAUAAGAUGCUCCAACAACGAUAAUGGGAGACAUUUCGGCCGAUAAAUUUUUCCUUGAUGUGUAAGAGAAUCUUUGCAUAAUCUGCCAAAGCUUGAGCAGAGUUGAAAUAUCCACGAAGAGUUGCAUUCUUUAGGGCAUCUUUGCUUGAUACAAAAGGUACUGAUUUUCCAUAGAACCGAUGCUGCAUAAAAAAUCGAAUUAAAAAAAAAAUCCAUCACAACUUUUCAGUUCAUAUUGUAGAAUAUUCUGAUUAAGAUUUGUCUUUAUUAUUAUUAUUUUGUAUGCGAACUCUAUUUCAAUUAUUAUCAAGCUAGCCUGAUAACAGAUUCUUUACUUACCUCUAUGUAAACUUGCAAGGCUUUAAAUCAAUGAGCAUUAUCAGUAAGCCAUCCAGUGCCACCAAGGUCAUCAUCAAGACUACUCUCUUCACCAAGAUAUGCCAAUAUUGGCGCCGCCGUGGCUCCGCCGCCGCCCCAAUGUUUGAAGUCACAUAUCUAUGAGAAAAAGUUAAAUAACUUUGUGGAUUAUAGUUAAAGUGAUCAAGUAUUUGAUCAUAAUAAUAAGUUUCGAGAUCACCCUCUGGUUCUGAAGUUAAUAUUUUUUUACUAGGGUUUAGAAAAAUAGUCCUUCCACGCACAACACCAAGCUUUGGGAUGUUCUUUAAUGGUGAAGUGGAAGCAAAAGCAAAAUUUGUGAGGAGAAGAAGAAAAUUAACAGUAGUCUCACACGAAAGGGUGGCAAUUUAUUACACGAAUUUGUGAAUUAGACACUAACACAUCAUAACGAGAUGAUUAAUUAUCAUGUCAAACCUGUGUCCUCUUCACUAAUAAAUUCGUAUUGCACUUUGACUUCCCCACGGGGGAUUCUUUAUUUUUUAUUUUUAAAACAAAACAAAUGCAUGCAACUUACCAUAAAAAGAUGAAUGAACACUAAAGACUGUGCAACGCAACCCAGAAUGCAAUCAUUAACCUCACAAAAAAUGGACCCUGAGAUUCACUGUAACAACGUCAUUAGUAUUUUUCUCUAUCAACGUCAUUAGUAUUUAAUUAUAUCUAUUUUUUUAAAUCCUAAUACAUAAAUAAAGACAAUUUAAACUUAUGUCUAUUUUAGUGAUUAGAUAAUAAAAUAAUUCUUUCAUAUUUAAAUUUACCAAACUCCGAGCAAGCUACUUUUAUAAUCAUCAAUUUAUUUUAUUCGCACACAGAAGUAGUUUAUUUCAUCAGCCAUCUGAAUUUCAAACUGAUCCCAAGUCAUGAUUGGAAUUGCAUUGGAUUGUCAAAUAAUUAAACAAAAGUAGCUAUUAUGUGGGAGAAUAAGAAUAGGUUCACCUGGAGCAAUACACUCAUAAGCUUGGCUACUAAUAAACGGAGCAUAUAAGGAUAAACACCCAAGUUUUGAGAGAUACAUGUAUAUGGAGGGCAAAUUCUUUGUCUCUCCCCGGCUUCAAGGAAAUGGUUAAAUCAAUGUGAUUGUAUAUGAAUUGAUAUUCCCCAUAUGAUUAUUACAUAAAGAUUGAACCCUUUUUAUGUGCUUUACAAUAAGUAAGCACACUUGUUCUACACAUUAAGACAACCCAGAUUAAGAAUUAUGAAAAUGACCAAAUCUAAAACUAGCUAGGCGCACUAUUAUUUAUCUUUGCUCCAUAAAUAUUAGAAAGAUAGAGGAGAGGAAGAAAAAGAAAAGACUAAUUUUGUAGUCACAAUAUAAUCUUAUGCUCUGAUUUUGAAGCAAAUCAGCAAAGUAUUUGAGGAUCCAAUCAUGAACCAUGUCCACUUCAAUCUUUCGCUGCAUUACUAACCACUCUGGAUCAUCUUCUGUUACUGGCUGUAUGUCUAAGCAAUGGGAACCUGCUCCAAUUUACACACUAUUAAUUAUGUUAUCCAAUAAUUUAGUUAAUAAUUGAACACUAAUUUUUUUAUUUUAUAGAAAAAUUUACAUAACGUUUCUUGUUGUCACUGCUAUUAUAUUGUCUGAUAUAUCUUUUAGAACCCUAUAACCUCAAAAAAGAAAAGAAAAAAAUGUAUAAUUAAAUUGGUAACUUCGAUAGAAGUUUAAUUACCCAGCGCUACUAUAGAGAUCACGAAGGCCAUUAGAGAAAAUAAUGUUGCUACCAAAUCUAUUUAAAACCACUCUUAUGUCCUGCAAAUAUAAAAGAAAUAGAAAUAAAAAAAAAUUGAGGUAAAUAUUAACCAUUAUACACUAACACAUCAUAACGAGAUGAUUAAUUAUCAUGUCAAAUCUCUGUGUCCUCUUCACUAAUCAAUUCGUGUUUGCACUUUAACUUCCCCACGGGGGAUUCUUUAUUUAUUUAUUUUUAAAAAUAAGUGCAAAAUUUAUUCCACCGAGUAUAAUCAAGGGGUGCCCGUCAAGACUUAGAUGGUGCAAAUAAUUCCACCAACGGAUAUGAAGAUCCCAAGUUGGUCAAUGAUUAGAAUGCUGAAAGCAAGCAACAGCUGCAACAUGGUUACACAGUCAUAUCAUCUACAAGCCAAACGUGUGUCCGCCCAAUUAGACACCAUAACCUCUCACGAAAAAUAUCAUCACACAAACAUGGACCCUGAGAUUCACUGUAACAACGUCGUUUUCUUUAUCAAAGGCUCCCAGUAGCCGCGCCCCACCCCCCCUACCCCACACGCACACACAAAAAGAAAACUAUAUAGAUCUUACAAGAACAACGAAGUCAUUAUGCAAACUAGAAGAAAGUGUAGAUUGAUAGGCAAUAAUUGAAAUAAGAUGCGAAAUUAUUUAUAACACAAUUAACAAUUCAACAAUCAUACGUGUUGAUUUAUUUUCAAUCUGACUUGGACACUAUGUUAUAUUUUAUUAUCUUUUAAUAAAUAUCUAUAUAUAUAUAUAUAUAAAUAAUCAAAAAAUUAUAUAAAAUUCACCAUGAAAAUAAGGAAAACGAAAAAAAAAAAAUCAAACGGUCUUAUUACACACACACACUUGUCUGCUUGACGAUUUGCUCUGAUAUUUUCCUUUCUUCUUCAAUCAAUGAACUGUCUACAGAAUCUUCCAAGGUCCUCUUUUUCUUCUUCUUUUUUUAAUUUUUAUUUUAAUUCUCCUUUAAUUCGUUUUCAUUUUUUAAUUUUUUUGGUUAAUAUUUCAGAUCAUCCGCUUUGCCUUUGCAAAGCUUCAGAUUCAAUCAACGGAAGCCUACUUCUUCUUCUUCUUUCAAUUCUCUGGUAAAACGCAAUAUUUUUUUGUCGUUUUUUCUUCCUGUUAAUACUUAAUGCUUGGGCGUUUUGUGUGUAAUGGAAAUGGAGUCUCGUGUCUGAUUUAUUAUCGCAGGGAACGAUGAAUUAUGCUGAUCUAAAUCGACGUAUCACCGUUAAGGUAACUAUAUAAUAUUUUAAUUUCAAAUUCAUUUCUUUCCUUUUUUUUUUGUUUUUUAAAAGCGUAAUAUUAGCUUCAACUGUGAUGCUGUUCAGUACAGUGCUGACAUUUUUAUUCAUAAAUAUCUUCAGAUAUUUCAUAAUAUGGAAUAUUCUUCUUUAUUCUGUUCUAUUUAUUUACUGGUUUUAAUGUACAUUUUGUCGAGGAGUUACAUACGCGAGUAUAAAAUUAACUUCAACUGAUAAUGGUAGUCUGAUUAUGCCAUUAGUUUUAUCGAGUCCAUGUUGAUUCAGUUUGUUGUUUGAUUUUUAUGUGGAACUGUUACUUGAUUAUACAUGAACAUUCACUUGUGCAAAUUUGCUGAUGAAAUUUAUUUACGGGCAAUUACUGGUUCCACCUCUAGUAAGGAGACAUCUGAUAGCUCUGAAGUUAAGGAGGAAAAAUCCGAGAUCUAUAGUACUAAUAUGACAGAGGCUAUGGGUGCUGGUAAUUUAACUCACACUAUGCUCUAAUUUUGAUAGUAAGGCAGUUGUGGAGACCCUUAAGUGGGAAAGGAUGCUUUCCAUGUUAAAGGCAUGUCUAUUAUUGUGGAUUUGCAAAAUUUAUAUGGAAUGUGAUUAAAUGAUGUUUGUAUAUUGUAUUAUGUGAUUGAAGCAUGAAUUAAACGUUUUAAUGUUUCAUUCUAGAACUUCCCUGUGGACCUUUGCUCGUUUUUGUUUUGAUACUUAUGAAACUUGGUAAGUCUUGUUUUGAUUUGUUAGAGAUUUUCUGCUGAUGGACAAUUUCAGAAGAAAGCAGUGACAAUGCAGUGCUUACUAAUUGAGGGUAGCUCAAAAUGAUAAUUUUAGAUUUUGGAUCUAUGAAAAUUGAAAAAUAAAUAGAGAUAAGUGAGUUUGUUUCAUGUUAGUUUCUUCAUCCGCUCCAAUUGAAAUACUCUGUGAUGAGAUUGUUUCUCUUAAACCCUUAUUCAUCAAAGUUACCCUUUACAUGUCCAUUUGAAUGGCUUUAUCCCACACCAACCUUGAUUUUUAUGUUAUUAGGAGGUUGUUGCUUAGAGAUUCCCAUGUCCAUUCUUAGUGCUAUAAGACUUUGUCUUGAUGCACAGGUGACAAGUUUGUUGGGGAGUACAUUUGGACUCACAAUCUUGAUUUAAUUCCAAACAUGUUAGCAUUGGGUUAUUUAUGUCGGUCAAAGUUCACAAAUUCAGUUUGCUUGGUCAACUCAAGUAGACGACAGAGUUGUGUAACUCAUUGACCAUGCGUGCAAAUACCAAUGUAUGUGGCUUUAAAAAUUUGGGCAACGAGGACAUGUGAUCCUCCACAGCCUGGAAUUAAUGUGUGUCUGAAACCUUUUUUGAACGAAAACACAGAAAAUGUGAGCUUGUCACAAGCUAAGUUUCCAAGAGAGGUUACAUAUGUUUACCAUGAAGUGUCACAUGAACUUGUACAGAUUGAUUUGUGAUGUUUCUUUUCCCGGUAAUUUCUUAUGUUAAAUCUUAUUGAUUGUGUUUGUGUAUGUGCGUUGGGCUGGAAGCUCCAUUAAAAUGGUUUUUCCGCAAAUUAUGAAUUAUAAUGCUCAUAAGAUAUCAUCUCUCCUUGUCCAGCUUAUUAAGAAAGUAUUUCAUAAUCCUAUUCAAACAUAUUCCUUUUUUUUUUCUUUUUUGGGAUGGAGAUAUUUUCCUAGUUCAAUGCUGGAAAUGUUGUUAAUAAACAAGGAUUCUGGUUGUAUUAACUAUUUGACUAUACUUCUACAUUCCUACCUUUUUUGAGAAUUCACAAUUUCAAAUAAAAUUUGCACGUUAUCAUUUUGUAAACAAAUUCUUUCAUCUGUACUACAACAGCAGAUGAUGGAGCUCACUGGGAAUAUUUUUCAUUUUUACCAUUGAUGUGAUAACUAAUAUAAGGCAUUGUGGUUUCUGUGUUUGGGUAUCAUUUCCAGCCUAAGCCUGAUACCAGUGUUUGUGGAUCAAAGCAGAAAGCUGCCACACCACCUGCAGGUUCUGGAGAGCUUCCUUCAACGAGUUCAAGCAAACCCAAGGAGUGGAGUUGUGCCCUCUUGUCAGGUCACUGCUACUACCGAGAGAGGGCUAGACGUGCAUCUCCAAGGCAAGAAGCACAAGGCCAAGGAAAAACUACUUAGAGAUUUGAAGAUGUGCAUUAGCUGCACUUCAAAAAAAUCUAUGGAAAGCAGAAAUAGUGCACCAAGAAAUGAAGCCUAAUUUAGAAGAGGAAUCAGUUGGUGCCAAAAAAACUGUUGUUGGUUUAGACCAGAAAGUGGAGGGUGGUCAAACCCUGCAGGUUAAACCCAAAUCCAAUCUUUGUGGAACAAAUCAGAAUGCUGCUGCACCACCUGCAGGUUCUGGAGAGCUCCCUUCGACAAAUUCAACCAAAACUGAGCAGUGGAGUUGUGCCCUCUGUCAGGUCAGUGCUACGACCCAGAGAGGUCUGGAUGAGCAUCUUCAAGGUAGGAAGCACAAGGCCAAGGUGGCAGAACUACUUAGAGAUAAGAAAAUGUGCAAUAACUCCACUUCAUCCACGUCAAAAAUAUCUACAGAAAGCAGAGAUGGUGUUGGCCAAGAAAUGAAGACUAAAGUACAAGAGGAAUCAGUUAAAGCUAAUAAAACUGUUGUUGGUUUGAACCAGAAAGUGGAGGGUGGUCUAGAUGAGCAUCCUCAAGGUAAGAAGCAGAAAGCCAAGGAAGAAGAACUACUUGGAGCUCAGAAGUGGAUAAAAAAAUCUACAGAAAGCAGAGAUAGUGCUGGCCAAGAAAUGAAGACUAAAGUAGAAGAGGAAUCAUUUAAAGCUAAUAGAGAGAGAUCCAGAUUAGCAUCUUCAAGGCAAGAAGCAUAAGGCCAAGGAAGAAGAAUUACUUGGAGAUCAGAAGAUGUGCAGUAACUCCACUUCAAAAAACUCUACUGAAAGCAGAGAUAGUGCUGGCCAAGAAAUUAAGGCUACUGUAGAAAAGGAAUCAGUUAAAGCUAAUAAAACUGCUGUUGUUUUAGAACAGAAAGUGGAGGGUGGUCAAGAUGAGCAUCUUCGAGGUGAGAAGCACAAGGCGAAGGAAGUGGAGCUAAUUGGAGCUCAGAAGAUGUGCACUUCCUCAUCUUCAACAACAUCAAAAGAAUCUGGAAAGACAAUUAAGCUUACCAAAAGCAGAGAUAGCGCCGGCCAAGAAAUGAAAGCCUAAACAGAAUCAGUUAAAGCUAUUAAAACUGUUGUGGGUUUUGACCAGAAUGUGGGGGGCGAAGAAGAUUCAGAGAACAAAAAUGAGGAGCUGCCAAAGAAGAAGGCGUUGAAUGCAAUCACUCAGAAGACAACAAAUGGAAUACCAACUGGAGGGAUGAUGAGGAGAAAACUUCCCCUUAGAGAGAACUUCGAAUUCUGGUGUGAAGUUUUUCAGGUUGGUACUCACUCCGCUGUUGUGAUGGAGGGUCAUAAAAGGGGGAAGAAACACAUGGCUCGGUCUAAUGGAUCUAGGAAAAAUAAUGAGGCCGUCCCCCUCACCACCCGCACUACAAUUGUGACACCAUCAGAGCCUACUGAGAAUGUUGGAGAUGAAGAUGCGGUGGCCCAAGAAUGAAAUGAAGAAACCGCAGAGAGUGUCAUUGAGAAGGCUGAAGAUGAAGAGGUGGUGGUCUAUAGAGGCAGAUAAAGUGAGCCUGAUGCAGCAGACUCCUUAUUAUGCUGAAGGUAAAGCUCUUAACUUUUAUUUUGCUCUUGCGCUCCAUUUUGAAUGUCUUAAAUUUCAAUGAACCAGCUGCGUGUUACUUUAUCAUUUUAAAACUCAGAAAUUACAAUAAUAAAUUUAAGUUCAUUCUUCCAUCUCGUCAUAUAUGGAUUUGAAGGUACUGAAUGAUGAAGCCUGUAAAUUCAAGCAACAAUACUGUAAUGGGGAUCAUGUGUUGUUCUCUACUCUCCAGUCGUUGGUAAAAAGCUCAAAAAAUGAAAACCAGACACUGUUAGAUCAACCAUUUGAAAGUGCUUCAUAUAUGCAUGAUUAUGACAUUGGACUCUUCGGCCCAAUGCAAAUUUUUCUUGAUCAUGACCUGACGUUAGUUUAUCUUGUGCUGGCAGGUAGUUGGUGGGAUAUCACUAACCACAACUUAUGCAGAAGCUUCCUAACAUCAGCCGUGGGUCCAGGAUGUUUGAUCGGAUCGGCUAAAUUAAAAUUUUUUUGUAUAUGUUUGUGUGAAUAUUUACAAAGGAGUGAAAAAACUAAUAUAUAUUAAAUAACGCGACAUUAAGAACCUCGUUCUGAAUAAAUUUUAUGUAUAUAAUUUGUAAAAUAAACUAAUAAUUAAAAUAACAAUUUACCCUUUUAACUCGUACAGAUACAACCUUAAAUUCCUUAUUUAAUUCAGCUCAUUCAGAGGGAGACAAUUAGACAAAACUUAUUUUAUCAGAGUGAACUGCGAAAGUACUAGCUUAACCAGAGAGAUUAAUGUCGUAGUUUGCACAUUUGUUUAAUUGCAAUUCAACAUAUAUAGGAAGUGAACGUGAAAAUAGAAUUAAUAAUACAUUGCAAGUACCUAAUAAUUUCAGAAGCAAUUAACAGUGACCUUUAUUGGAAAAAUCCAUUAUGAUUAGAAGCAAUCCCAUCACAUACAUGAACAGUUAAAUAUACGCAUCCAUAAUUAGAUAUCACAUUAAUCAACCAAAUACAUUUCUUGGUUUCUAAGCUCCAAAAUUGAAAUUUCAUGAAAAGGUUUUUGCAUUGGUGUCUUAUAGCGAGCGAUAAAUUCGUUGGACACGAGUUGCAUUGUAGGUCGAGACUUUGGUUGAGAACGCAAGCAUGAAAAUGCUACUGUUGAAACAAGAAUGAUAUCCUGCCUAAUCUUUUGAUCCACCGGAGGUGAGAAGCGUGGGUCCAGCAAAUCAAUCAGCUUAAUAUUUUUAUCUAAUGACGAAGAUAACGAUGAGAGGAGCUCUCCAGGAUGCUUUCCCAUUAGUACUUCUAGUGCCUCCACUCCGAAGCUAUAAACAUCAGAUUUCUCCGUCACAAUCAUGGUAUAGGCCAGUUCUAUCGGAAAACAGAAGCCUUUAUUAGUGAUAUUUCGUAUAUAAUAACAAGAGCAAUUUGUUUAUAUUUUUGAGCUUCUGCAGCAAGGUAUGACAAAGAAACAUAUGUUUUUAAUUGAUAUUUAAACUGUGUAUUUUUUUUUUUUUUAAAAAAAAGUUAAACGGGUAGGCAAAGUUCAAAUUUAUCUUUCUAGCUCCUUACCUAUUCCAAAAUUCGAACCUAAGUAGCUAACUAAAUAAAACUGCUUAAAACUUACUUAACAGAGUGCAUAUAGAAAUUAAUUAAAAGAAUAAUUAAAGAAGCAUAAGAAGAACGGCUAGAAGAUUACCUGGAGCAAUAUAUCCAUAAGUGCCAGCUAACAUGAGCCAUGCCCCUCACAGUGUUCACCCUUUUAGCCCAAUCCAAAUCAACAGCUUCCUCAUCUGUGCGUAGAACACAGAACAAGCUUCCCAUUUCCAUGUACUCAUAGAUUAAGAACAUGCAUUUCCUGUGCAAACAAAACCCGUAAAGCUUUACGAUAUUUCGAUGCCGUAUUUGGGACAGUAGACGAGCCUCAUUCCGGAAACUCUCGAGGGAAGCUAACUCCUCAGUUUCUGAACGGUGAAGCUUCUUCAAAGCAACUACUUUUCCACUGGGUAGUCGUGCUCUGUAAACGCUGCCGUAGCUUCCGGUUCCAAUGCAGUAUUUGAUAUGGAAAUCCUCGGUAGCUUCAAUCAUGUUUUGAAAUGUAAUUUUACCGUCGUAAUUCCAAAUUGCAAACUCAUCAGCGCACUUGGUGAUUUCUCCUGUCUCAGCUGGUUCAACUCUCUUAUCCCUUCGUCUACGGACAAACAAGAUUCCAAAUAUCAAGGCAAGCAAUGCGACCAUAGGGAGAAUAAUUGCAACCAAGCGAGUGGCAAUCUUUUUGUGAUGUGGCGGUGGCGAAUUUGCCGAAGUAUUUGGGAUUUUUACCUCGAAAUUGUUGCCUGACACAUAUAAGAGAGGCACUUUUUUGACAGAUUCAGGGAUACUACCGGAGAGGUUAUUCAUGGAAAGGUCCAUGGUGCGUAUGCGUGGAAUUUCUCGAAGCUGGGAAGGUAUUUUACCAUUAAUGGAGUUAUGGCUCAGAUUAAGAUAAUUUAGUUCUUGAAGUUUGUUAAUCUCUGACGGGAUGCUUCCACUUAACAAGUUGUUUCCCAAAUCUAAUUCCCACAGCUUUGAGCAAUUCAUGAGUUUUGGAGGAACUCGACCAUCAAGUUUGUUGUCGUACAGGUCAAGAACUUGAAGAACCUUCAAACUCCCGAUUCCUAAUGGGAUGGAACCAUUAAUUUGGUUUGAGGCAAUAGCCAAAGUAGUUAGCUGGGUUAGAUGACCUAGAGUUGGAGGGAUAUUACCAUGAAGGGCGUUAGAAGACAAGUCCAAAAUUUUCAAUUUGCUUAGAGACCAAGAGUUGGAGGGAUAUAUCCCAAGAGGUAAUUAUUAGAUAGAUCCAGGUGGACCAGAUUCCUCCAUCUCCCCAUCUCUGAAGGGAUAAUUCCUGUUGCGCAUGUGAUUUAUGAAAAAUGAAAUCAGUAUUCACUAUCCUCAUAUAAAUAAAAUUUAUAAAGAAAUGCUUAGGUUGUAAAAAUUAAUAGAUUUUUUAGUGCUCCAAUAGUUUUUUUAUUCUUAUUUUUUGUUGGGGCUCGUCAAUGCUGCAUAUUUUUUACUGAAAGUUAAAUCCGCAGAUGCAACAAAUAUAUCAAUAAAUUAAUACAAAACUAUGGAGAGUGGAGAGAAUCACUCUCAGUGCUCUCAAUUGACUAUCCUAUUGUGUAAAUACAAAAGUAAAUUUAGUAAAUUAAUGAGGAACUGUAUAUGUGUGAAAUUAGAAAUAGUGCUUUUGAUUUUUAAUCAUAUCUUUUAUAGGAUAACCCUGAAUUUUAAUGCAAAGGGGAAAAAAAGAGAGGAAAAGAUACAAACCAAAAAUGCUUAAACCUGCCUUCCUUAAUAAUUACGUACAACUUGUAAUCGCCCAAUGUAACAAUUGCAAUUGAUGGAUGCAAUUUGGAAAAGAAACUGACACUUGAAGCCGAUUCAUUUCAUACAAAAAUUGAAGGAAAAAAAGCCAACCAGCAUAUUCUCCAAAUUAAAACACUACCGAAGUAAUAAACAAAGAUGUAGAAAUUUAUUAUAUAGUUUCACUUUCACACAACAAAAAUGUGCUUAGACGACCAAGAGUUGGAGAGAUAUUACCAUCAAUGCCGUUAGAAGACUAUAGUUUCACUUUCACACAACAAAAAUGUGCUUAGACGACCAAGAGUUGGAGGGAUAUAUCCCCAGAUGUAAUUAUUAGAUAGAUCCAGGUGGACAAGAUUCCUCAAUCUCCCCAUCUCUGAAGGAAUAAUUCCUGUUGCGCAUGUGAUUUAUGAAAAACGAGAUCAGUAUUCACUAUCCUCAUAGCAAAUAAAAUUUAUAAAGCAAUCCUCGUAAAAAAAAACUUCUUCAGUGUUGUAAAAACAGACGCCUGCUUCAAGCAUGAGCACGACUUCAUACAUACAUACAUACAUACAUAUAUAUAGUGAAGUUUCGUAGCAUACCGGUAAGAUAGUUGGAGGACAGUUCAAGAGUUUGGAGCAUUGAAAGGGCAGUAAUUUCAGAUGGAAUGCUCCCAGAGAGAAGAUAAUUUGAAUGAAUUUUGAAACUUCUGAGGUUCGGAAAGCAAGAGAAUUUGAAACGACCAAGCUCUCCUUCGAUGUUAUCAUUUUCAUACCAGAGUAAGCUGACCCCGAGUACGCUUCCCGCUGAAUUGCAACUGAUGCCAGUCCACUUAUAAUGAUCGGACGUGGAGUUGCCCGUCGCCCAAUUGUUGAUCCACCAGCCUGUACCAAGUAUAGCUUCCCUUUCUAACUGUAUGGGUGACGACAACAAUCCUGCAGCUGAUGCUAUUACAAAUACUGUCGUAUCACUUAUAGCACCAACAUUUAUUAAAAUUAUAAUGACCACCAGUCUCGAAACAGAGGACGCUGAUGCCAUGUUUAUGGUGGUUUUCGGUUGAUUGAGCAUUUGAUUCUCAGCAAAGCGUUUAUAUAAGAAUUAAUUGUUUUGCAACUUCCCGGUGUUAAUUUCCAACACGCGUUUUCAAAUAGUGUGAGUCAAGGUCUUCUCUAGAUGGAUUUAAUCAUGGAGAUAUAACCUUAUCGGCUUGUAUUUGUGAGGUGUAGAUCUAUUUGAACAACAUUGCAGAAACAUGAGAUAAUACGGACAAUAUUAGAAAUAAUUAAUAGCAUUAUUAGUAGUAUAAGAUAUUAAGUAUUACCCAAAAUAAGAAAAGGAAAACCGUUCAAAGAAAAUAAUUGUUAUAAAUAAUGGCUCAAAUAGGAAAAUAAACAAGACUAAUCAUAUCUUUUGUAACAUACAUACCAUAGCUCAUGGGCUAACUAACAUUUUUUUUUUUAACCCUAAACAUCAUAAAUGAAAGAAGAUGAAAUUUUCAUUACCGCUCAAUUUUUCUGCACGCAACCAAAUUUUUUUUAAAAAAAAACAAAAAGAAAGUGUUAGAAAAAUAAUGCGCAAGUAGCUACUUGAGGCAUGAUUUUGAAUGAGACCUUUUUGGUAUAAGUGAAAAUUCAGAAAUUGUUUCGCAUAUUCCUCUAUGAGUACUUCGGAAUGUUAUCUAUACGAUCAAAAUGAUCCUCAAGUGAAUGAGAAAUUAUUACUCAAAGUGCACUCAUGAAUUUGAAAAAUUAAAGGAAAAUACAUUUGUCCCACAUUGGAAAGAUUUAUACAUAAUUACUAGAUGAACGGUAAGCUAUUAUAAGCAAAGGGGCGUUCCUUGUGCACGGUCACGGGAGUGCAAAUUUUAACCACCCCAAUUAGCUUAACCAGUGUUCAUAUUGGGGGUGUUUACCCGACCCUUAGUUGGGGUUAGCUAAUGUGGCAACUUAGUUUGCCUUUUUUUUUUUUUCUCUUUGUAAUAAUAAUAAUAACAAAUUAAUAUAAUUUUUUAAUUUAAUAUUAUAUUACAUAAUAUUAAAUUAUGUUUUAAUUUUUAUUAUUUUAAAUAUAUAACUAAACAUUGUAUUAUUUAAUUGUAUUAUUUUAAUUAAUAUAUAAAAUUAUAUUAAUUAAUCUUUAAUAAGUUAAUAUAAUUAGUAAUAAAUACUUAAAUAAUAUAAUAUUACAUUAUUAAUUAUAGUACAAUAAUUAAUUUAGCUAUUUUUAAAUAAUUUAAUAUAACUAACAAUAAAUAUUUAAAUUUGAAUAAUAUUAAUUGAAAAUUAAUAAUAUAAAUAAUUACUGGAUUAUUUAGCUCAAUUAUAUCACUUUAUUAUUCUAUAAUUAUCUUGUAAUAUGUAUAAACUUUUAUUCUAUCAUCCUCAAAUGAUUUUUGAAUUAAUCUUGAAGAUUUCAACUAUUUAUUUAUGUUGUUAAAUUAUUUAGUGAUUAUUUGAUUAAAUUAUUUACUUUGAUCUUUAUUUCAUAAGUUAUAUAUUUAGAAAAUACUAAAAAAUACACUUCCAAAAAUUUAAGACUAUAAGCUUCGGAAGAAUUAUGACAUUUCAAUAUAUAUUUUUAAUAAAAAUGUUAAAUUUCCAAAAUUUAAGAAUUUUAUAUUUAUUAUUUUUAAGUACUAAUAAAUAUUAUUUUCUAAAUAUAUAAUUUAAAUUAAUCACAAAAAAAUUAAUACAGUACAAUGUAACGCCAAACAUUGUACAACAUUAUUAUAAUACAGUGUUAAUGCAAUACAACAUAAUACAAUACACCUGCAAUAAAAUAAUGCAAUACAACAUAAUACAAUACAGUUUGUCAAACACACCAUUGUAUUAUUGUUUCGUUCUCAUUGUAUAAUUGCCGUCCAUACCUGUGCAAAACAUUAAGAGUUAAAAAAAUAUAUUUUUAUGAUUAAUUUUAGAUAUUUUUUAAACUUUAAUAAUGCCAUAUUAUUUAAUAUUACAAUUGCCGUUCGAACAUGUGCAAAACAUGAAGACUAAUAUAUAUAUAUAUACACCAUAUUAUUUAAUAUUUAAUUUUUAAGGCAACUUUUACUUAAAAAAAAAAAAAUUUAAGGCAACUUUUUUAGUUGAGGGCAGGGAACCCCUACGAUACCUAAUUCCAUAACACGCUCAUCUAAUCACCUUGACUAUAAGACUUCUCCUAGUCAGCAAUUAUUUGGAAAAAAACGUCUUGACAUGUGCUGUGGAAAUUAAAGAAUGAGGUGGACUUACGAAGUCAAGGGGUUUUUCUAGUCUACAUAUUUUAAUUUAUAUGUGUAGAAAAUUAGAAAUAUUCAAUGUCUAAUCUGAUUCUACAUAAACACUAAUGCCCCAAGAUUGUGAUUGAAAUGCUAUAAGCAGUUUAUUUUAUAAGUUUAGAUAAAAAUGAGGUUUGAUGGCUUUGUUAAAAGUUGCUUCUUUCACAAUUUUCUCAAUUUUGACUAAAACUUCUAAAAACAGGCAGGAGAUUAUUUUGAUAAGCAACUUAUUAAAUAAGUUGCUAGAUCUUUUUAAAUGUUCCUAUAAUAAUCUUAAUAUUUUAAGAAAAGAAUAAUUAUAUCUUUCUUUUCUAUAAGCUCUAAUAUAUAAAUAAAACACAGUUUAAACUUAUGUCUAUUUUAGUGAUUAAAUAAUACAACACAUUCAUAAUCAAAUUUACCAAACACGAGCAAGACACUUUUUUAACCAUCAACUUAUUUCAUCCUCACAACAAAAAUAACUUAUUUUAUCAGCCACCGCCAUCCUAAACUUGAUGCUAAGUCACGUUUGGGAUUGCAUUAGAUUGUCAAAUAAUUAAGAGAAAUAGCCAUUAUGGAGAAGAAUAGGGAGAGGUUCGCCUAAAGCAAUAUACUCGUAAGCUUGGCUACUAAUAAACGGAGCAUAUAAGCAUAAACACCUAACUUUUGAGGCAUAUAAGGGAUCUAAAAGUGCGGAAACGUUUGGAAAAACUUUAAAACCACAGGGUUUUAAAGGUUUAAACCGCAUGGUUUAUGUGUUUUCCUAGAUAUUCCCGCACUUUAAAAUUUCAGAUUAAAACAUUUCCAUAUGUGUGUGUGUGUGUGUGUGUGUGUGUGGAGGGCAAAUCUUUGACUCUCUCCAGCUUCAAGUACCUAUACGGUAACUCUUAAAUCAAAGGGAGAAAAUGGUUAACCCAAUCUUAUUGUAUAUGAAUUGAUAUUCACCAUAUGAUUAUUACAUAAAGAUUGAGCCUUAAGUGCUUUACAUUAAGUAAUAUUGCACACCUGUUCUACACAUUUAGACAACUCAGAGUAAAAAUAAUGAAAAUGACAACCAAAUCCAAACUACCUGUUCUACACAUUUGAACCCUAAUUUUUUAUUUUAUAGAAAAAUUUAAAUACCGUUUCUUGUUGUCACUGCUAUUAUACUGUCUGAUAUAUCUUCCAGAAUCCUAUAAUCCCCCCCCCCCCCAAAAAAGAAGAAACAAAAAAAGGUAUAUAAUUAAACAGGUAACUUCGAUAGAAAAGAGUGUACAUAAUUCUUAAGCUUAAUUACCCCUCGCUAUUAUAGGGAUCACGAAGGCCAUUAGAGAAAAUAAUGUUGCUACCAAAUCUCUUUAAAACCACUCUUAUAUCUUGCAAAUUAAAAAGAAAUAGAAAUCAAACAAAACUUGAGGUGAACUUUAUAAUUAAAACAGAAAAUGAGAAACCUUAAAAUAUUAGAAGAAUUAAUUUGGGGAUUAAUCGACACUUACAUUACCACUUUAAUAAGUUGUAAUCCAAUGUGGUCUUGGAACCACUCCAUAAGACUUAUUGCAUGAAUCCAUAUAUUCUGUCAGAUUAAAUGUGUCUGCUUGAAACAUUAUGUCGUUUUUGCCAAUUCCAAUUGGUGAGACCAUUUCACUGCAUGUCUGCAUGAGAAACCCCCCAAAAAUAAAAAAUAAUAAUAAUAAAAUAAGAUAAAGAAGAAAACUAUUUUUAAUCAUUCAUAAAUAUAAAGUCUCAUAAAUAAAAUUAAGAGAUGUACAUAAAAUAGGUAUUGUUCUCAUUGCCACAUGUUGUUUAUUUAACGGUCUCAAUAGAACUAACCAAUGAAAUCAUGUCACUUGUAAUUGCAUACCUGUCUGCCCCAGCUGGAGUCCAAUGUUGCAUCGGAGAAGAAUUCAUCAACAUCAUGGCAAGAAUCCUCCCCUCUUAAAUCAACAAUUCCUGAGAAGAUCCGGUCUAGGGUAUCUGUGCCUUCUAAAGCUCCAUCAAUACCAUUACAGGCUUUGUUCACUGGGCUUUCCUGAGGAUCAUCAUACUGAGCUGCACCCGUAUACAUAUACUCUAAAUAAUCUUUCAAUUCUGAAACAUCCUUCAGAGGCCUGUAAUCAAAUAAACAAUAACAUAGAAUUAAGUGCCACAAGGUCAUUAACUUUAUAAAAGAUCUUUCAACAUACUGUCUUAAAAAUGUUGUUAUAUUUAGUUAGAUUACAAUAAACUUUAUAAGUAUGAAGCUAUUGAUAUUCUCAAAUGCAAACGUUCAAAUUUGGCCUCAUUUGAUUAUCAGAGUUUUGCGUGGUUUUGUAGUUUAAAUUUAGAUUCUGCAAAAUAUGGACGUCUGAACCUAAGCACCAGUAUACUAUAUAUGGUAACGCAAAGGCCGUGUAUAAGCCCAAAUCCAGAUUUUUACUUUGUAUAUUACACGUUAAUCGAAAUGUAUAUACACGCUGAGGAUGACAGAUAAUUAAUUAGACAUGGUACAUUCGAUAACGAUGCUAAAAUAACAUUGCAUUAAUUGUAAUUAAGGGAAAAUCGGAUGGAUAUACAAUAUAAGCAGUUAUGUAAAGUAAUAUGAUUAAUUACUUGCAGGUUUUGAACUUUAUAGAGAGAAAAGCAAGUCCAUUUUUUCCAGCAGCGACUUUAUCGAUUUCAGCCUAGGACUGUUUGAUGGUCUUGUAGCAGCUCUCGCUGGCUUCCUGCAUCAUUAAUUUUUAAAAUUCAAUGGCUAAAUUUUAACAAGAAAACAUAAUCAUGCUUAUAUAAAAUUUUAAUUAACUAAUUUAUUUCUUACCCGAAAGUCCUUGGUGACAAGAUCAUAAUAUGCGUUUGACGGUGUGAUAUUCUCAAAGUAGAGAACUGGGGCGGAUGAGGCAACUGCUCCCAAAGCAAUGUGAAGAUACUUCAAGUGAAACCAUGCAGCAAGCAUUGUUGAUAACAAACCAACAAACAAGUAACUCUCGAAACCAUAUCACAUCCCAGAUCUGAUAAAAUAGGAUGAAUUGAGAAGAUUAUUUUUAAAUACAUAAUUAUCUUGAAUAUAUUUAUUAUUUCUUGAUUUUACGAUCGCCAAGAGUAUUCGUUAGUUGCAAUAUUAAAUAAAUUUGUAUCAUAGUAAUAUUGCCGUAGUCAAUAUCUUGAUCGAUCAAUCGUGAUCUAAAUGAGUAAAAUGAUGUGACAGAUGACACGACAUUAAUCAAAAGAUGUAAGUAAGUUAAUAAUAUUAUAAUUUACUUCCUCCAUAAGAUGCUCCAACAACCAUAAUGGGAGACAUUUCGUCCGAUAAAUUUUUCUGGAUGUGUAAGAGAAUCUCUGCGUAAUCAGCCAAAGCUUGAGCAGAGUUGAAAUAUCCACGAAGAGUUGCAUUCUUUGGGGCAUCUUUGCUUGAUACAAAAGGUAUUGAUUUUCCAUAGAACCGAUACUGCAUAAAAAAUUGAAUUAAAAAAAAAAUCCAUCACAACUUUUCGUAUGUGAACUCUAUUUCAAUUAUUAUCAAGCUAGCCUGAUAACAUAUUCUUUACUUACCUCUAUGUAAACUUGUAAGGCUUUAAAUCGAUGAGCACUAUUAGUUAGCCAUCCAAUGCCACCAAGGUCAUCAUAUCAAGACUACUCUCUUCACCAAGAUAUGCCAAUAUCGGCGCCGCCAUGGCUCUGCCACCGCCCCAAUGCUUGAAGUUCAACGCAUAUCUAUGAGGAAAAGUUAAAUAACUUUGUGGAUUAUAGUUAAAGUGAUCAAGUGUUUGAUAAUAAUAGUAAGUUUCGAGAUCAUAAUAGUAACUUUGUGGAUUUUUUUGCUAGGGUUUUGAAAAAUAGUCCUUCCACGAACAGCACCAAGCUUUGGGAUGUUCUUUAAUGGUGAAGUGGAAGCAAAAGCAAAAUUUGUGAGGAGAAGAAGAAAAAGGCAUGGAAGCCACCGACCUUUCAUGGCAAAGUUGUAAAUCCUUAAUUAGCAGGAUGAUUAUGUAAAUACAGAAGAAAUAGAGUUAAGAUUAGAUUAUAAAUUCAGCUUCAAAAUCGACGUGUUUGUUAAUAUAUCCUGGAUUUGUUGUUAUCGUAUAAUUUAAUUAAUGUUGGUUUUAGUUUUAUAUUAGUAUGGAUCUUCAUUUUUCAUAAAAUUAUAGUGUGUCGAAUAUAUAGUUAUCGGUUUCGUAAUUAAUAAAAAUUUUUAUUAUUUCUUUCCUAGUAAUUAAUUAUCUUGUGCUUACCAGAAUAUCACUAACCACAACUUCUGCAGAAGCUUCCUCACCUUCGGAUGACAUCAGCGGUGCGUCCAGGAUGUUUGAUCGGAUCAGCUAAAUUAAAAAUUUAUUGUAUAUGUUUGUGUGAAUAUUUACAAAGGAGUGAAAAAAAACUAAUAUAUUGAAUAACGCGACAUCAAGAACUUCGUUCUGAAUGAAAUUUUUAUAUAUAAUUUGCAAAAUAAGCUAAUAAAUAGAAUGACAAUUUACCCUUUUUAACUUGUAGAGACACAACCUUAAAUUCCUUAAUAUGCUGGUUAAUUCAGAUCAUUGAGAUGGAGACAAUUAGACAAACCUUAUUUUAUCAGAGUGAACUGCGAAAGUACUAGCUUUACAAAAGAGACUAAUGUCGUAGUGUGAAUGGAAUUAAAAAAUACUAAGGCAGACAAUUCGUCGAACACAUAAUAUUUGCUACAUUGCUACUACCUAAUAAUUUCACAACCAAUUAACAGUCUCCUUUAUUGGAAAAAUCACAUUAAUCAACCAAAUACAUUUCUUGGUUUCUAAGCUCCAAAAUUGAAAUUUCAUGAAAAGGUUUCUGCAUUGGUGUCUUAUUGCGAGCGAUAAAUUCGUUGGACACGAGUUGCAUUGUAGGUCGAGACUUUGGUUGAGAACGCAAGCAUGAAAAUACUACUGUUGAAACAAGAAUGAUAUCCUGCCUAAUCAUUUGAUCCCCCGGAGGCGGGAGGCGUGGGUCCAACAAAUCAAUCAGCUUUAUAUUUUUAUCCAAUGACGAAGAUGACGAUGAGAGGAGCUCUCCUGGAUGCUUUCCCAUUAGUACUUCUAGUGCCACUACUCCGAAGCUAUAAACAUCAGAUUUCUCUGUCACAACCAUGGUGUAGGCACGUUGUAUAGGAAAACGGAAGUCUUUAUUAGUAAUGUUUCCAUAAACAAUAACAAGCACAAUUUGUUCAUGUUUUUUAGCUUCUUUAGCAAGGUAUGACAGAGAAGCAUAUGUUCUAACUGAUAUUCAGUGUAUGUGUGUUUUGAAAGGUAAAGGGAUAGGUAAAGUCUAAAUUCAGUUAUAGCUCCUUAGUUUUUUCAAAAUUCGAACCCAAGUAGCGAGCUAAAUAAAGCUGGUUAAAAACUACUUAGCAGAGUAUAUAUAAAAAUUAAAUAAGAGGAUAACUAAAGAAGCAUAAGAGGAAUAGCUAGAAGAUGACCUGGAGCAAUAUAUCCAUAAGUGCCAGCUAACAGAGUUCGAUUGGAUGAGUCAAAAUUUAACAAUCUAGCAAUACCAAAGUCAGCAACAAAAGCUUCGAAUUCUGAGUUGAGUAGAAUGUUGUUGCUUGAUAUGUCGCGGUGAACAAUUGGUGGUGUGCAGUGAUGAUGCAAGUAUGACAAAGCAUGAGCCAUACCCUUCACAAUGUUCACCCUUUUAGUCCAAUCCAACCCAACAGCUUCCUCAUCUGUGCGUAGAAUACAGAACAAGCUUCCCAUUUCCAUGUACUCAUAGAUCAAGAACAUGCAGUUCUCGUGCAAACAAAAGCCGUAAAGCUUUACAAUAUUUCGAUGCCGUAUUUGGGACAGUAGACGAGCCUCAUUCCGGAAACUCUCGAGGGAAGCUAACUCCUCAGUUUCUGAACGGUGAAGCUUCUUCAAAGCAACCACUUUUCCACUGGGCAGCCGUGCUCUGUAAACGCUGCCGUAGCCUCCGGUUCCAAUGCAGUAUUUGAUAUCGAAAUCCUCAGUGGCUUCAAUCAUGUCUUGAAAUGUAAUUCUACCAUCGUAAUUCCAAAUUGCAAACUCAUCAGCGCACUUGGUAAUUUCUCCUGUCCCAGUUGGUUCAACUUCCUUAUCCCUUCGUCUACGGAUAAUCAAGAUUCCAAAUAUCAAGGCAAGGAAUGCGACCAUAGCAAGAAUAAUUGCAACCAAGCGAGUGGCAAUUGUUUUGUGAUGUGGCGGUGGCGCAUUUGCCAAAGUAGUUGAGAUUUCUCCUCCCAAUUUAUUGCCUGACACAUCUAAGUGUGGCACUUUUCUGACAAAUACAGGGAUUCCACCGGAAAGGUUAUUCAUGGAAAGGUCCACAGUGUCUAUGCGUGGAAAUUCUCCAAGUUGGGAAGGUAUUUUACCAUUAAUGAAGUUACCGCUUAGAUCAAGAUAAUAUAGUUCUUGAAGUUUGCCGAUCUGUGACGGAAUGCUUCCGCUUAACAAGUUGUUUCCCAAUUUUAAUAUCCUCAGCUUUGAGCAAUUCAUGAGUUCUGGAGGAAUUGGGCCAUCAAGUUUGUUGUUGUACAUAUUCAAAGUAGUUAAUUGAGUCAAAUGACCCAGAGACGAAGGGAUUGGGCCAACAAGUUUGUUUUGGGACAAGUCUACACUUCUCAACCACUUUAAAUGGCCAAGUGUUGUAGGAAUUGAACCUCCAAUUUCAUUUCUGGACAGGUCAAGAGCUUGAAGAACCUUCAAACUCCCGAUUCCUAAUGGGAUGGAACCAUUCAUUUGGUUUGAGGCAAUAGCCAAAGUAGUUAGCUGGGUUAGAUGACCUACAUUGGAUGGGAUAUUACCGACAAGGGAGUUAAAAGACAAGUUCAAAAUUUUCAAUUUGCUUAGACCACAAAGAGUUGGAGGGAUAUGUCCCAUGAGGUGAUUAUCAGAUAGAUCCAGGUGGACGAGAUUCCUUAAUCGCCUCAUCUCUAAAGGGAUAAUUCCUGUUGUGCAUGUGAUUUAUGAAAAACGAGAUCAGUAUUCACUAUCUUCAUUAAAAAAAAAUUACAUAGAGGGAGAGUCAAGCUCAAGUGCGGACGACUCACACUUCUUUAGUGUUGUAAAAACAGACGCCUGCUUUAAGCAGCAGCGCGAUUUUAUACAUACAUAUAUAUAUAUAUGGUGAAGUUUCACAGCUUACCGGUAAGGCCGUUGUAGGGCAGUUCAAGAGUUUGGAGCAUUGAAAGGGCAGUAAUUUCAGAUGGAAUGCGCCCAGAGAGAACAUAAUUUGUACGAAUUUUGAAAUUUCUGAGGUUCGGAAAGCAAGAGAAUUUGAAACAACCGAGCUCUCCUUUGAUGUUAUCAUUUUCAUACCAGAGUAAGCUGACCCCGAUUACGCUUCCCGCUGAAUUGCAACUGACGCCAGUCCACUUACAAUGAUCGGACGUGUAGUUGCCCGACGUCGCCCAAUUGUUGACCCACCAGCCGGUAGCAAGUAAAGCUUCCCUUUCUAACAGUAUGGGUGACGACAAUAAUCUUGCAGCUGAUGCCGUUACAGAUAUUGUCGUAUCACUUAUAGCACCAACAUUUAUUAAAAUUAAAAUGACCACCAAUCUCGAAACAGUGGAUGCUGCUGCCAUGUUUAUAAUGGUUUUCGGUUGAUUGAGCUGGCUAUUUGAUUCCUUGCAAAGCGUUUAUAUAAGAAUUAAUUGUUUUGCAAGCUCCCGGUGUUAACUUCCAAUACGCGUUUUCAAAUAGUGUGAGUCAAUGUCUUCUCUGGAUGGAUUCAAUCAUGGAGAUAUAACCUUAUCGGCUUGUAUUUGUGAGGUGUAGAUCUAUUUGAACAACUUUGCAGAAACAUGAGAUAAUAUGGACAAUAUUAGAAAUAAUCAAUAGCGCUAUUAAGAUAUUAAAUAUUACCCAAAAUAAUAAAGAAAAAAAAAAGCUCGAAGGAUUGUUGUUGUAAAAUAUGACUCAAAUAGAAAAAUAAACAAGACUAAUCAUAUCUUUGUAUAAAUUUAAGUAUAAAAAAAACUUGUAGGUGUAUUAUUAUAAUAAGCUGUAGAGAAAAGAAUUUGUAGACUUCUGUGAUUUGACAAAAUAAUAAAAUAAUCCCUUUAUUUUUUAAAAUAGUUACAAAACUCCUUUUGCAACAUGCAAACUAUAUGGAAAAUUGGAAAUUCAUGGGCUACCUAAUAUCCCUCUUAUUUUUUUAUUUUUUAUUUUACACCAAAACAUCAUAGACAAAAGAAGAUAAAAAUUUCAUUGCACUCAAUUUUUUUCAUGAAAUCAAACAAGGAAAAGAAGCAAAAAGUGUUGGAAAUAUAGCACAAGUUACUAUUUGAUGCGUGAUUUUGAGUGAGACUUAUCUGUUGUUUCAAAUAUUCCUCCGUAAAUACUUCAGAAUGAUUUUACCUAUAUAAUCAAAAUAACCCUUGGAUAAAUGAGAAAUUGUUACUCAAAGUAAAUUCAUGGAAUUGGAAAAGUAAAGGAAAUUAUAUUUGUCCCACAUGAAAAAGAUAGCAAAGGCAUGAAAGGUUUGUAUAUAAUUACUCAUGUGUGUAUAAGUAAAAUAUAAACCAAGACGCUCUCUCUUCCGUGCCCCAUCCUAAGUACACAAAUUCAAUGUGAUACGAUCCUAUAGUUUCCGUUCAAACCUAUGCACACUUUAAAAAAAGGUUUUUUUUAAUAUAUUUUUUAUGUAUUUUACAUUUUUUUUAAAAUUUAAUAAAUGCCAUAUUAUUUAAAUAUUUAAUUUUAAGGCAUCUUUUUUAAGUUGAGGGCAAGGAACCCCUCCGAUACGUAAUGCCGAAACAUGCUAAUCUAAUCACCUUGACUUUAAAGACUGCUUCCCCUAGUCAGCAAUUAUUUGGAACUUACGUCUUGACAUGUGCUGUGGAAAAUAAAGAAUGAAGUAGACUUAUUGAGUCAAGCUGUUUCUUCAAUCCAGAUAUUUAGUUUAUACGUGUGCAAAUAUUCAAUGCCUAACUUUAUUCUGCACAAAGCCUAAUGUCCUAUUUGGGAUAACGGUUGAAAUACUUAUAAGUUUUGAUAAAAAUGAUGUUUGAUAAAUUUGUUAAAAGUUUAAUUCAUAUUUUCUCCAUUUUGACAAUAACUCUUAAAAUAAGUAUGAGAUUGUCUUUUAUAAGCAACUUAUUAAAUAAAAUGCCAUUUUUUUAAAGUUUCUAUUAUAACUUUAAUAUUUUAAGAAAAGAAUAAGUGUAUCUUAUUUUUUAAAAAAUCCUAAUAUAUAAGUAAAAGACAAUUUAAACUUAUGUUUAUUUUAAUGAUUAUAUAAUAAAAUAUUAUUUUCGUAAUCAAAUUUACCAAACACUGAGUGAGCUACUUUUAUAAUCAUUAGAUAAUUCCAUUCACAUCGCAGAAGCAGCUUAUUUCAACAGCCACCAAAAUCUUAAACUGAUCCUAAGUCAUGUUCGGAAUUGCAUGGGAUUGUCAAAUAAUUAACAAAAGAAGCUAUUAUGUAGGAGAAUAGGAACAGGUUCACCUGGAGCAAUAUACUCAUAAGCUUGGCUACUAAUAAACGGAGCGUGUAAGGAUAAACACCUAAGUUUUGAGAGAUACAUGUAUCUGGAGGGCAAAUUCUUUUUCUCCCACCGGCUUCAAGGACCUAUACAGUAACUCCUAAAUCAAAGGGAGAAAAUGGUUAAUCCAAUGUGGUUGUGUAUGAAUUGAUAUUCACCGUAUGAUUAUUACAUAAAGAUUGAACCUUUGUACGUGCUUUAUAUUAAGUAAAACUGCACACUUGUUCUACACAUUUAGACAACCCAGAUUAAGAAUUAUGAAAAUGAAAUCUACAACUAGCUAGGUGCACUAUUAUUUAUCUUUGCUCCUUAAAUAUUAGAAAGAUAGAGGAGAGGGAGAAAAAGAAAAGACUAAUUUUGUAGUCCAAAUUUAAUCUUAUGCUCUGAUUUUGAAGCAAAUCAGCAGAGUAUUUGAGGAACCAAUCAUGAACCAUGUCCAUUUCAAUCUUUCGCUGCAUUACUAACCAUUCGGGGUCAUCUUCUGUUGCUGGCUGUAUGUCUAAGCAAUGGGAACCUGCUCCAAUUUACACACUAUUAAUUAUGUUAUCCAAUAAUUUAGUUAAUAAUUGAACACUAAUUUUUUAUUUUAUAGAAAAAGUUACAUACUGUUUUUUGUUGUCACUGCUAUUAUAUUGUUUGAUAUAUUUUCCAGAACCCUAUAAUCCCAAACAAAGAAAGAAAAAGAAAAAGGUAUAUAAUAAAACGGGUAACUUCAAUAGAAAAGAAUAUCCAAAAUUCUUAAGCUAAAUUACCCAGCGCUGCUACAGGGAUCGCGGUGGCCAUUAGAGAAAACAAUGUUGCUACCAAAUCUCUUUAAAACCACUCUUAUAUCCUGCAAAUUAAAAAGAAAUAAAAAUCAAACUCAAGAACGAGGUGAAGUUUUUAAUUUAAAAAAGGAAAGAAAAAGAGAAAAUUAAAAGAAUUAAUUUGGGGAUUAAUUGACACUUACAUGACCACCAUAAUAAGUUGUAAUCCAAUGUGGUCUUGGAACCACUCCAAAAGACUUAUUGCAUGAAUCCAUAUAUUCUGUCAGAUAAAAUGGGUAUGCUUGAAACAUUGUUUCCUUUUGGCCAAUUCCAAUUGGUGAGACCAUUUCACUGCAUGUCUACAUGAGAAACCCCCUAUAUUAAUAAUAAUAAUAAUAAGAUAAAGAAGAAAAAUAUUUUUAAUCAUUCAUAAAUAUAUAGUGUUAGAGUGCAAUUUAUGCACUAGUUUUGCAUUGUUUACUUCCCUUAAUAUCGAUGUUUUGCACUUAAUAAUAGUGAUUUACUUGUGUUUUACUUUUGUGGGUGCAGUUCUAUUGAUUUGUGAUAAAAUUGAGCUAUAAGAUGUUGUUUAAAGAUGAUUGUUCUCUUGGAGAAAUUUAGAGCGUCAGAAGAACUUUGUUGAUAAGGCGUGGGCGCGUGCUGUCAACUGCGGGCCUGCAGUUUUUAGUUUAACAUGUUUUGUAUUUUUGGUUAUUUUGUAAUUACGAAUUUAAUAUUUCAGUUAUUAGUAUUUUAUUUUAAAUAGAAUUCUAAAAGAGAAGAGAGAGAGAGUAUUUAAGGGAGGAAUCUAUUGUGAAAAAGGAGACUUUUGGAGAAGAGAAAGAAACCUUAGGUCUAAACUUUUCUCUUCUCUCUAUGAAGCACUAAACCUAUUUUUCUGGUUGAAGGAUAAUGAAGCUUUGAUUCAUCACUACUGUGAGAUCUAUUUUAUGCUUUAAUUGUUUUAUUGCUUUUUGGGUAUUUGUUUAUUCUCUGAAUUAUUUUCAUGAUUAUGUUUGUUAAUUAGGUAAUUGGCCACUAUUUAAUUAUCAACUUAAUCUAUUAUUAAUUAAAGGAUUCAUCGUAUGAAAAUUUUAAUGUUUGUGACAAAUAACAUACCAAUGAGUUGUGUUAUGAGAAUAAACAAUCUAAUUUAAAUGAAUCAUCGUAUGUGUUGAUUAGGAUUUGGGUCUCUCUGGUCUUUCAGGCUAUCAAUUGAUUAAAUCCUAUGAUCGUAUCUAGGAUUGUCUAUUGAUUAGGGAAAUAGCCAACGGUCGUACCUUGGUUAUCGACUAGUUAAGGAGAGAUUGGCUAUUAGAGGGUCUCAGUAGCUAUAACCGGUCUAUUCAUAAGUAAUAAUAAUCUAUAUUUGAAUCAAUGAUCAGUAAUCGAAUCUAGCUGAAUUAAUUCCUUCAACCAGAGCUUUCUCCAAUUUGAAUUACAACUUUAAUUUGCAUUCUUGUUAUUUUAAUUUGAUUUUUAUUAUUGUCAACAAAACCCCCAUUUUAUGUUUUACGUUUUAAAAGGAUUUAAAUAAUUACCGAUCUCUGUGGACACGACCCUGCUCAAUCACUAUACACAAUUUAUUUAGAGUAGGAAUUUAUUUUUGUUGGCUUCGACAACCAUCGUAUAGUCAUAUAAAUAAAAUUAAGAGAUGUACAUAAAAUAGGUAUUGUUAGGCGAAAGACUAAUUCAUUGCGACAUGUUGUUUAUUUGAUGGUCUCAAUGGAACUAUCCAAUGAAAUCACGUCAUCUGUAAUCGCACUUGAGCAGAGUUGAAAUAUCCACUAAGAGUUGCAUUCUGUAGGGCAUCUUUACAUGAUACAAAAGGCACCGAUUUUCCAUAGAACUGAUGCUGCACAAAAAAUCAAAUUAAAAAAUAUAUAUAUAUCACAACUUUUUAGUUGAUAUUAUAGAUUAAAUUUAUCUUUAUUAUUAUUGUUUCGCGUUCGAACUCUGUUUCAAUUAUUAUCAAAUUCUUUACUUACCUCUAUGUAAACUUGUAAGCCUUUAAAUCGAUGAGCAUUAUCAGUAACCUGGAUUUGUAUGUUAUUAGGAGGUCGUUGCUUAGAGAUUCCCAUGUCCACUCUUAGUGCCAAAAGACUUGGUCUUGAUGCACAGGUGACAAGUUUGUUGGGGAGUACAUUUGGACUCGCUAUCUUGAUUUAGUUCCAAACAUCAUAGCAUUUGGUUAUUUAUGUUGGUCAAAGUUCGCAAGUUCAGUUUGCGUGGUCAACUCAAGUAGACGAGAGAGUUGUGCAACUCUUGACCAUGCGUGCAAAUGCCAAUGUAUGUGGCUUUAAAAUUUGGCAGUGAGGACGUAUGAUCCCCCACAGCCUGGAAUCAAUGUGUGUCUGAAACCUUUUUUGAACGAAAACACGGAGCAAAUGUGAGCUUCUCGCAGGCUAAGGUUCCAAGAGAGGUUACAUAUGUUUACCAUGAAGUGUCAUAUGAACUUGUACAGAUUGAUUUCCGAUGUUUCUUUUUCCCGGUAAUUUCUUAUUUUAAAUCUUAUUGCUUGUCUUUGUGUAUGUGCGUUGGGCUGGAGGCUCCAUUGAAAUGGUGUUUCCUCAAAUUAUGAAUUAUAAUGCUCGUAAGUGUUAAUAUCAUCUCUUCUAGUCCAGCUUAUUAAGAAAGUCUUUCAGAAUCCUAUUCAAACAUAUUCCUUUUUUUUUUGUUUUUUGGAAGGAAAGAUUUUCUUGCUGGAAAUGUUGUUAAUUAACAAGGAUUCUGGUUGUAUUAACUAUUUUGUAAACAAAUUCUUUCAUCUGUACUACAAUAGCAGAUGACGGAGCUCACUGGGAAUAUUUUAUAUUUUUACCAUUGAUGUGAUAACUAAUAUAAGGCAUAAUGGUUUCUGUACCAUUUCCAGCCUCAGCCUGAUUCCAAUACUUGUGGAUCAAAGCAGAAAGUUGCCACACCACCUGUAGGUCCUGGAGAGCUUCCUUCAACGGGUUCAAACAAACCCAAGGAGUGGAGUUGUGCCCUCUGUCGGGUCAGUGCUACUACCGAGAGAGGUCUAGAUGAGCAUCUUCAAGGUAGGAAGCACAAGGCCAGGGUUUCAGGACUAAUUAGAGAUAAGAAAAUGUGCAGUAACUCCACUUCAUCCACGUCAAAAAAAUCUACUGAAAGCAGAGAUGGUGUUGGCCAAGAAAUGAAGACUAAAGUACAAGAGGAAUCAGUUAAAGCUAAUAAAACUGUUGUUGGUCUAGACCAGAAAGGGGAGGUUGGUCUAGAUGAGCAUCCUCAAGGUAAGAAGCAGAAGGCCAAGGAAGAAGAACUACUUGGAGCUCAGAAGUGGAUAAAAAAUCUAAUGAAAGCAGAGAUAGUGCUGGCCAAGAAAUGAAGACUAAAGUAGCAGAGGAAUCAGUUAAAGCUAAUAGAACUGUUGUUGGUUUAGACCAGAAAGAGGAGGGUUGUCAAGCCCUGCAGGUUAAGCCCUAUCCCAACCUUUGUGGAUCAAAGCAGGAAGCUGCCACACUACCUGCAGGUUCUGGUGAGCUCCCUUUGACCAGUUCAAGGAAACCCAUGGAUUAAAGCUGUGCCCUCUGUCAGGUCAGCACUACUCACAACAGAGAUCCAGAUUAGCAUCUUCAAGGCAAGAAGCACUAGGCCAAGGAAGGAGGACUACUUGGAGAUGAGAAGAUGUGCAGUAACUCCACUUCCAGAAACUCUACUGAAAACAGAGAUAGUGCUGGCCAGGAAAUUAAGGCUACUCUAGAAGAGGAAUCAGUUACACCGAAUAAAAAUAUCGUUGAUUUAGACCAGAAAGUGGAGGGUGGUCAAGAUGAGCAUCUUCAAGGUGAGAAGCACAAGGCGGAGGAAGCGGAGCUAAUUGGAGCUCAGAAGAUGUGCACUACCUCAUCUUCAUCGACAUCAAAAGAUUCUGGAAAGACAAGUAGACCAGAAAGUGGGUUAAGACCAGAAAGUGCUGGCCAAGAAAUGAAAGCUAAAGUAGAAGAGGAAUCAGUUAAAGCUAUUAAAACUGUUGUUGGUUUAGACCAGAAAGUGCAGGGUGAAGAAGAUUCAGAGAACAAAAAUAAGGAGCUGCUAAAGAAGGACUUGAAUGCAAACACUCAGAAGAUGACAAAUGGAAUACCGACUGGAGAGACGAUGAAGAGAAAACUUCCCCUUAGAGAGAAUUUCGAAUUCUGGUGUGAAGUUUGUCGAGGAGCUCAGAAGAAAUGAAGAGAAACUUCAUAUAUGCAUGGUUAUGACAUUGGACUCUUCGGCUCAAAGCAAAUUUUUCUUGAUCAUGACCUGACAUUAGUUUAUCUUUUGCUGGCAGGUAGUUGGCGGGAUAUCACUAACCACAACUUAUGCAGAAGCUUCCUAACAUCAGCGGUGGGUCCAGGAUGUUUGAUCGGAUCAGCUAAAUUAUUGUAUAUGUUUGUGUGAAUAUUUACAAAGGAGUGAAAAAACUAAUAUAUUAAAUAUCAAGAACCUCGUUCUGAAUGAAGUUUAUAUAUAUAAUUUGUAAAAUAAACUAAUAAUUAAAAUGACAAUUUACCCUUUUAACUCGUAGAGAUACAACCUUAAAUAAUAACAAGAGAGGAGCUCUCCAGGAUGCUUGUAGUGUCUAAAAAAUUAUCAUCAAUGAAAAUGGGAAUGGGAGGGCGUGGUGGGGUUGAUGAUCUAAGACUCUUUGCUCAUCACUGGUGGCCGUAAUAAUGGGGGCUUGGAGCACCUUCACUUCAACCCCCAGCAGCUCCUCGGCCUUUACCACUCAAUGAGCAAACCCUCUGGCGGCAGCAGCAUCUCCUGUGGCUAUCAUUGUUGCUGAACGAUAAAUUUGUGCUGCCCCUGAGAAGCUGAAAUUGCAAGAACAAGGCAGCAACUCAAAAACCAGCAAUCUUUUAAAUGUAAGCAAGCAUAAUAAUUAUUCAUAAAACGUUGAAACACAAAGUCCUGCUAGAUUCAAAAUUUAGAAGACUCGUGAUACAAUAAGAACUUAAAGUGUAUAUACGAUUAUGCAUUACAAGUGAAGUUGCAUGCUAUAUGAAGUUUUAAAAUAUGUCUCACUUUUCAAUGAUUUCUGGUAAAUCGCUAAUCCGAUAAUAUCAAAUAUCCUUCAUAAUCUUCAUCUUCCUCUUCUUCGUCGUCAUCGUCUUCUUUAGAUAUUUUUCCUCCUUCAACACCGUUAACCAUAUUUUUCAACUGCAAUGUCAGUUUGGAAGUAAUAUUUAUGAAGUUCAACAAGUUUCAAAUUUUGAUAUUGUUUGAAAUGUGAAUGAUAAGUACAACUUCUACCAUUAUUUAUAGAAAAAUAUGCAAUAUUGGCUUUGAGGAAAUAUAAUAAAGUUUACAAUUAAGAAAGGUGUAAUCCUAAAUCUCGAAAAAUCUGAUACUAAAUCUUAAAAUGUAAAUAUUUAAAUCCCGAAGAAUCCGAUGCAUAUUCUAACAGAUAGUGUUAUAAUUGUUGGAUUUACAUGGAGUCUAAUUAUAGUAUUAACGUUAGUACUCGAAUUCUCAUAUGAUCUAAACUUCUCUUGAGUAAAACUCACAUGGGAGAUUUGUGAUCCAUAAAUAAUUAUAUAAAAAAAAGAUAGUAAUUAAAUCAUAAUCGGGAGCGCUUAGAUCUUUUUUAUUUUUACUAUGAAGAGCUCAAUCGGGAGAAAAUUUAAAUUUUUAAGGGGAAAAAGCAACCCACACUCCCGAAGUUUGCUUAAAUAGUCACACAAACCCCCUUAAUUUCAUAAAUGAUGGAUUGCAUACCAUUAAGUCUAAAUUUCAUAAAUACUGUAAUAUUUUUAUCUAAUGAUGAAGAUAACGAUGAGAGGAGCUCUCUAGGAUGCUUUCCCAUUAGUACUUCUAGUGCCACCACUCCAAAGCUAUAAACAUCAGAUUUCUCCGUCACAACCAUGGUGUAGGCAAGUUCUGUAUGAAAACAGAAGCCUUUAUUAGUGAUGUUUCCUAAAUAAUAACAAGAGCAAUUUGUUUAUAUCUUUGAGCUUCUGCAGCAAGGUAUGACAGAGAACCAUAUGUUUUUAACUGAUAUUUAAAGUGUAUUUUUUUUUUAAAAAAAAGUGAAACUGGUAGGCAAAGUUCAAAUUCAUUUUUCCAGCUCUUUACCUAUUCAAAAAUUUGAACCUAAGUAGCUAAUUAAAUAAAACUGCUUAAAAAUUACUUAACCGAGUAUAUACAAAAAUUAAUUAAAAGAAUAAUUAAAGAAGCAGAAGAAGAAUAGCUAGAAGAUUACCAGGAGCAAUAUAUCCAUAAGUGCCAGCCAAUAGAGUUCGAUUGGAUGAGUCAAAAUUUAAUAAUCUAGCAACGCCAAAGUCAGCAACAAAUGCUUCUAAUUCUGAGUUGAGUAGAACGUUGUUGCUUGAUAUGUCGCGGUGAACAAUUGGUGGUGUGCAGUCAUGAUGCAAGUAUGACAAAGCAUGAGCCAUGCCCUUCACACCGUUCACCCUUUUAGUCCAAUCCAACCCAACAGCUUCCUCAUCUAUGCGUAGAAUACAUAACAAGCUUCCCAUUUCCAUGUACUCAUAGAUCAAGAACACGCAGUUCUCGUGCAAACAAAAGCCGUAAAGCUUUACGAUAUUUCGAUGCCGUAUUUGGGACAGUAGACGAGCCUCAUUCCGGAAACUCUCGAGGGAAGCUAACUCCUCAGUUUCUGAACGGUGAAGCUUCUUCAAAGCAACCACUUUUCCACUGGGCAGCCGUGCUCUGUAAACGCUGCCGUAGCCUCCGGUUCCAAUGCAGUAUUUGAUAUGGAAAUCCUCAGUAGCUUCAAUCAUGUCUUGAAAUGUAAUUCUACCGUCGUAAUUCCAAAUUGCAAACUCAUCAGCGCACUUGGUGAUUUCUUCUGUCUCAGCUGGUUCAACUCUCUUAUCCCUUCGUCUACGGACAAACAAGAUUCCAAAUAUCAAGGCAAGGAAUGCGACCAUAGGGAGAAUAAUUGCAACCAAGCGAGUGACAAUCUUUUUGUGAUGUGGCGGUGGCGAAUUUGCCGAAGUAUUUGGGAUUUCUACCUCGAAAUUGUUGCCUGACACAUAUAAGAGAGGCACUUUUUUGACAGAUUCAGGGAUGCUACCGGAAAGGCUAUUCAUGGAAAGGUUCACGGUAUCUAUGCGUCGAAUUUCUCCAAGCUGGGAAGGUAUUUUACCAUUAAUCAAGUUAUGGCUUAAAUCAAGAUAAUUUAGUUCUUGAAGUUUGCCAAUCUCUGACGGAAUGCUUCCGCUUAACAAGUUGUUUCCCAAUAUUAAUAUCCGCAGCUUUGAGCAAUUCAUGAGUUCUGGAGGAAUUGGACCAUCAAGUUUGUUGUUGUACAUAUUUAAAGUAGUUAGCUGAGUCAAAUGACCCAGGGACGACGGGAUUGGACCAACAAGUUUGUUUUCGGACAAUUCUAAAUCUGUCAACCUAUUUAAAUGACCAAGUGUUAAAGGAAUAGAUCCAGUUAGAUUGUUAUAUUCCAGGGACAGAGAUGUCAAGUUGACUAAACCAGCUAUGGUGGAAGGAAUUGGACCUUCAAGUUUGUUGUCGGACAGGUCAAGAACUUGAAGAAAGUUCAAAUUCCCGAUUUCUAAUGGGAUGGAACCAUUGAUUAGGUUUGAGUGCAUAUAAAAAGUAGUUAGCUGAGUCAAAUGACCUACAGACGAAGGGAUUGGGCCAACAAGUUUGUUCUGGGACAAGUCUAAACUUCUCAACCUCUUUAAAUGGCCAAGUGUUUGAAGGAAUUGAACCUCCAAUUUCAUUUCAGGACAGGUCAAGAACUUGAAGAAAGUUCAAAUUCCCGAUUUCUAAUGGGAUGGAAACAUCAAUGUGGUUUGAGGCAAUAGCCAAAGUAGUUAGAUGGGUUAGAUGACCUACAAUGGAGGGGAUAUUACCAACAAGGGAGUUAGAAGACAAGUGCAAAUUUUCCAAUUUGCUUAGACGACCAAGAGUUGGAGGGAUAUAUCCCCAGAGGAAAUUAUCAGAUAGAUCCAGGUGGACGAGAUUCCUCCAUCUCCCCAUCUCUGAAGGGAUAAUUCCUGUUGCGCAUGUGAUUUAUGAAAAACGAGAUCAGUAUUCACUAUCCUCAUAGAAAUAAAAUUUAUAAAGAAAUGCUUAGGUUGUAAAAAUUAAUAGAUUUUUUAGUGCUCUAAUAGUUUUUUUUUUCUUAUUUUUUGUUGGGGCUCGUCAAUGCUGCAAAUUUUAGACUGAAAGUUAAAUCUGCAGAUGCAACAAAUAUAUCAAUAAAUUAAUACAAAACUAUGGAGAUUAGAGAGAAUCACUCUCAGUGCUCUCAAUUGACUACCCUAUUGUUGUGCAAAUUUUAAUGAACUCGCAAGCGCACGAAUCUAUUGUAGUAUAGACUAAUGGUGACGAGUGUCGAUCCCACGAGGAGGUGGAUUUUAAUUAUAUAUAGAAUUAAUUUUGUAAAUGGGUGGUUGGAAUUGUGGUGGAAGUGAUUUAAAUUAUCCUAAAAUUGGAAUUGAAAUGGCGAUAAUAAAUUCUAAAAUUGGACUUGCAAUGGCGAGAAUAAAUUGAAGAGAAAUCUAUUAAAAUGACUUAUUUGGGUAUCUGGAUCCGUAUCAACAUGCAUCAUGGGCUAAAUAUUCCUUAUUAAUGCCAAUUAAAUCAUGAGGGGGGAAUCCACACCUCAUGAACCACGCUCUAAUCAAUAUGGUGCUAAGGGCUUAUCGUGCCAAAUAAUAAUAACCUUGUACUAGAGGGCCGGUGAAACCAAGGCGGUACUAGACAAGAUUAGUAUUAUUUGUCGACGAGAAGUCAAAACAUCCACAAAAACUAGAGGGGAAGAGAAAAUAAAUUUACCAAAUUAAGCCCAUGACACAUGUUGAGACUUCACCUUCAACCCAAGCUUGAAAGAAAAUUAGCCACUCAUAAUUGAACUAGGGGCAAAAUGAGAAUUUAUUAAAAUACGAAGAAAAUACAAGAUAAAGAAGGAAUUACAGAAAAUAAAGUCCAAAAAUGGAUUCAGCGAUAUCAAAUUAGGGGGGGGAGGCCCCCUUUUUAUAGAUACAUGGAGUAAAUUAUGGCCAUCGGAUUAAAAACAGUUUGGACGCUCAGGAUUACGCCACGUCAUCAGUCAACAGUCCACGGUUUGACCACGUGGAUGAACAGUAAUACGGUUUGACUCGGAUGAACAGUAACGCGGUUUGGUUGAAAAUAAUCCUGUGUGAUGCAUGUACCGUACGCGAGAUUUUUCGUCCACUGAUAUGCUGCCACGUCACCAUCAACAGUACAUAAGAAUUUUAGCCCAACAGGAUCGUGACACCUCAUCAGUCAAUGCCACAUCAUCAUCUGUCUAUGUGAACAGUGUCGUGAACAGUAACGUAUAUACAGUACCGUACACGUGAAUAGUACCGUACAUGUGAUCAGUGCCAUUUUUCUUUUUAUGCUUCUCCUAAGGUUUUCGACCGUCCUGAGUUCAAAAGUGAUGUCCGUUUUGCCAUCUGAUUUCUCGUUUAUUGUGAAAUGACUAUGAUGCCCCUAAAAUACAUAAAAUACUUAAUUAAAAUAAAACACAUGUAAUUAAAUCACAAGAAAGUUAAAUACAUAAAAGUAAGGGUUGUUAAUAAGACUUGAAAUGUAAAAUGACGGUUUUCUCCUUUAUAAAUAUGCAUUUUCUAACACUCAACACACCCCCCAACCAGUUUAUUGCUAGUCCCUAGCAAAUAAAGCGAAAACAAAAAAAAUAAUUUUUUUUAAUAGAAACACUCAUAUUUAUUCCAUCAGAUUAAUGAUAGCAAUUAAAUAAAAGUAUAAGCAUUAUCUCCAGUCUAAAGCAACAUCACACCCACAUCAACCAUCCACAUGAAUCAGCCCAGUAGACUUUGUCAUAGCUACUUUCAAGAAUGACAUGUCAAACCCCAAACUGGAAGUAGUGACACUCUCACAAAGAAAUUAAAACCAAUAAAAAUAGUCACUCCAAUGAAUGGUAAUUGAGAGAGAAAAUAAUAAAGAAGUGAUAUCACAUGCUCUCACCAAAAUGAAAUAAAUAUGCCCUCAGCUUAGAAAUAAUACGAUCUCAAGUCAAAUAAAAAUGCUAGUUAACCCAAUUUAUUUGUCUUAUUUAUUUAUUUAUUUAUUUUUAUUAUGCAGCACUACAUCUUUUUAGCUCAUAUAACUAGCUUCUACUUCAGACUAUAGUUCCCUAAACUCAAGAAGGACUUUUAUUAGGACGUACCGUAGGUUAGGGACAUGGUUAACAAAGAAGGGAAAUAAGGAAAAUAAAGUGUAUGUUUGAGAAAAAAAAAUUGCAGGGAUUUUUUUUUUUUUGGAAGUUGCAAGGUGGAUUUCACCUAUUGUUGUUAUUUUUUUAUUUUUUAUUUUUCUUUUGAAACAACAAUUUUUGUUUUUUUGUUUUUUGUUUUUUUUUUACUUUUAUUUGGCAUAACUUCACUGAACAAAAAUACUUAUUUACAUUUUUCUCAAACAUAAAUAGGUGAUGGAACUUAUAAGACAUUGGGUAAUACUCCAAAUCGGAGUGGGUCAAGAUAAGUUAAACAAAUAAAAGGUUUUUUUUUUUUUUAAAAAAAGGCUCAAAAUGGUUAACUAUGGAUAUUUCACAAAAGGGAUGGCUAGAAAGGCUCAAACGGAUCAAAGAUGGCCUUUCCAUCGUCUUUUAGGGCUCUAAAUAAUCAUCCAUAUCUACUAGUUAGAUGGGCCUCCCAAUGUAGCAACAUACAUUUUUUUUUCUUUUUCUUUUUUUUUUAUUUUACCAUUUUUUUUAAGGGUUAACUCAAAAGAAAUCUAGAGAUCGUGUAUAAAAUAAUAAACUGCUAAGCUGUAUAGAGAAUGGGCAAAAGGGUUACUCUCCAAGAAAAUGAUAGGCUCAACAACUCACUUGGCAUUUAUUUAUAGCAUGUUCAUUCCUUCAAGCAACUUAUAUUUGUCUCCGACAUCAACAUGUAAAGUAGCAAACAUAGCGUAACAUCACUUAAGACUAAAGAUAAUACAAAUACUAAAAUUUGAAAUUAAUCAUGUCAUCCAAUGUUAAAACAAAUCACACAAAUUAUUAUUAUUAUUUUUUAAACAACAUUCUACCCCCCAACCUAUUCUAAGCAUGAAAGGAAAAUAUGCAUGCAGAAAUGUGAAUAUGAUGCAGAAAAACUAAUUAGAAAAGUUACACUUAAAAUGAUGGAAAACCAAAAUGAUUUUUUUUUUAAAGAAGAUGCGUUUCUAGAGGAACUACACUCCAUAUUCAGCCAUCUUCGACUCACAAGUUGGAAAAUGUAUAUUUAUAGAGGAGAAAUUAAAAAGAAGAAAAAUAAACAUAAAAACAUAAUACAGAAAAAGAAAAUGUCUGAAAUUUUUUUAAUUUUUUUUUAAUUUCUUUAACGAUGAAGAUGCGUUUCUAGAGUAACUAUACUCCAUAUUCAGCCAUCUUCAACACAAAAAGUUAGCAACAGUUAGUUUCUACAACAAAAAAUUAGUAAAAACUUAACCAAAAUUCCACAUUUGUCGACUAUUCCCUCCCCCCAACCAGAACGAAACAUUAUCCUCAAUGUUUUAAAGGAAAGAAGUAGAGUUUAGAAGACAUCACCUGGGUGGUGCAACACAGAAGAAAAUAUUUAUAGGCGGAGAGUUAAAUCUAAUUUUUACUUCUUACUGCGGCUACUGUUACCAUCAUUAUUUGGAGGCUCCAACCCCAACACAAAGGUCUAGGGGUCUGGGUCCGGUUUAUAAGCUUGUAACAGAUCAAGUAGCUCAUUAGCAGUGUGAGCACAAAUAAAGAGUUUUUUCGCAUUAGGGGGAAUGAAAUAGUUUUUUAUUGCAUGGUUAAGAAAUGCGAUAAAGCCAUCAUAAAAGUUAUUGACAUUUAACAAACCGAUGGGUUUCUGGUGGAUGUACAGAUGGGCCCAAGAUGCUAGUGUGAUAAGUGCCUCUAGUGUUGCAAGAUCUCCUGGAAGGAAAAUAAAAGCAUCAGCAUGAUUAAGCAUUUCAGUUAUUCUUUCUUGCAUACCUGAGACGACUAACUCUUCUCCAGUUGAUGAGUCAAACGAACUACCCAAAGGUUUUAGGGCUCUUGGGAUGAUGCCUAACACUUGGCUGCCUCUGAUAAAAGCUGCUUCUGAGACCAUUUUUGUUAACCCUCGAUUACCUCCUCCAUACACCAAGUGUAAUUUUCUCGCUGCUAUGCUGCGACCAAGAUCUAUGGCUGCCUCAACAAACUCUUUAUGUUUGCCAUAUGAAAAUCCAGAAAGCACACAAAUGUUCUUGAAUUGUCUAUUUGGAGUAGCUGCCAUUGGGAUACUUCUCAAAAAAUAAUUUGUUAGUGCUUGACAAAAAAAAUCACAUUUAAGAGUCUUGGUGACAAUGGGUCACAGUUGUGUAUGAGGUAACAUGUCAGUGUCAAAUAACGCGUAAAGCACGUGGCUCGCGAGUCAAAAAGGAAACAGUAAAAAGGGAAAAAGAAAACAAUAAUAAGGAAAAAGCAAACAGUAAUAAAAUUAUUAAAGACAAUAAUGCACACAGUAAAACAAUAGUGAAAUAAAAUAACAGUAAAGUGAAAGGAUAUUUACAGGUAGUUGCGACUGUGGCUCACAUCUUCCUCUGGUUUUACGUCCAGAAACGGCUUGAACGCCCUCUAUGGGUCGAGGAUAGGCUUCAUAUCCAGUUUUCUUAUAAAUUGGCAAACAGGGUCGUUUAUAGUCAGAUUCCCGAGACUAUAUCGUGCAUGCUCUUUCUGGAAUAAUGGCCAUAACUGGAGAAUCGCUCCUUGCACAUAUCCACUGGGAUGCGUUUCAAGAGGCAAAAGGAUAUCAUCCAAUGACUCCUUAUUCAAGCCAUCCUUAAUGAAUUGAAUCUUAUCUUCCCUGUUAUCAGACAUCAUUCCUAAAGAACAUGGGUUUUUAUUGCAACUCAUUCUGGCACACUUAUGACAAGCAACAGAAAUUCUUCGAGCUCGUCAUUUUCUUGCAUAAUUUCCUUUACCACAACCAGGCAUGUAUGUAAUAAAUUUUGGAGGUAACUCACCUGUCGAUCGUACUUUAGCCUCGAUUAACCAACGGAUGUCAGCAGGUAUGUUAUUCCUCAAGAGUAAUCGGAUGCGUUCGGACCGAACUUUAUAGAUCGUAAGGAGGGCACUCUGACGAAGUAAAGGGAAUCGCUUGUGAAGCUUCGCUAGAAUCUCGUUUCUGUCCAUACUUUCGCCUCAGAAUAUUAGUUAUUAUGGGAAACUGAAGUAACCGACUUGAUUGUCACGGAGUACCGUUAUCCGCCACUUCACCGGGGUAACAAACUAAAGCACACAAAUAGAAAAACAAAUUAAAACACACAAAGAAAAUUAAAAUCGUCCUCUUAUUGAAUUUACCUCAAGCUCCAACUGGAUGUCAUAAACACUUCUCUCAAUGUCUCUGAGUUGGCUUUCUAAACCCUCAACAUAGGCUACUAACUCUGGUGGUUGUAGAGUCCAAAUACGAUGUGUUUUACAAAAUUGAAUCUGUCUUUUGAGAUGAGUUUUGACACGUUAAAGUGGUUUAAGAAUGUUCAGGAGGAACGGUCUAAGUAUGAGACUCAUGAUUAACAAUGAUAAGAGAAAACUUACUAGUUAAACAAACACACUUAUGCAAAAAUAAUUUCAAUUAGCAAAAGAAUAAUAUAAAGAAAGAAAGAAAAAUCAAAUCAACGAAAAGAAAAAUCAAUUCAAAUCUGGUGGGUCACUCAAAUUUAUUUCGGUGUCUUCUCCAUGUGGUUGGUAUUCUAGAUAUGGUUUUAAUCUUUGACCAUUAACUUUAAACGUGACACCGUUCUUUGGGUCCUUAAUUUCAAUUGCCCUAUGUGGAAAAAUAGUAUGAACAAUAAAUGGGCCAGACCAACGAGAGCGUAACUUACCUGGGAAUAGGUGCAAACGAGAAUUGAAUAAAAGCACUUUCUGACCUGGAGUGAAAGAUUUUCUCAUAAUUUGCUUGUCAUGGAAGGCUUUCAUUCGUUGCUUGUAAAUCUUGGCAUUUUCGUACGCGUCAUUGCGAAUUUCUUCAAGUUCUGCCAGCUGUAAUCUUCUUUCUGAGCUGGCUUGCUGCAUGUCAAAAUUGAAUUUCUUGAUGGCCCAAUAUGCACGAUGCUCGAGUUCCACAGGUAGGUGGCAAGCUUUUCCAUACACUAGCCUGUAGGGUGACAUCCCAAUCGGGGUCUUGAAAGCCGUUCUAUAUGCCCAUAAUGCACCAUCAAGUCUUAAUGACCAAUCUUUCCUGUCUGGCCUCACUGUCUUUUCUAAUAUGUGCUUUAUUUCUCGAUUGGAAAUCUCAACUUGGGCACUGGUUUGCGGAUGAUACGGGGUCGCCACUUUGUGUGUGAUUGAAUACUUUGUCAAAAGAGCCUUGAAUGGUUUGUUACAAAAGUGGGCACCACCAUCACUGAUUAUUGCUCGAGGGAAUCCAAAGCGCGAAACAAUGUUGCUUUUCAAAAAUCCUAUCACCACCUUGUGAUCAUUGGUCCUACAUGAAAUUGCUUCUACCCAUUUCGAUAUGUAGUCAACAGCAACCAAUAUGUAUUGAUGGCCAAAAGAAUGGGGAAAGGGUCCCAUGAAGUCGAUACCCCAUACAUCAAAAAUCUCAACCACUAAAAUUGGAUUUAGUGGCAUCAUGUUCCUUCGUGUAAUGCUCCCCAUUCGUUGACACCUAUCACAUGAAGAACAAAAAGUGUAAGCAUCUUGAAAUAUAGUUGGCCAAUAAAAACCACAUUGUAAAACUUUAGUUGCUGUUUUCUUAGCACUGAAAUGGCCUCCACAAGCUUGUUCAUGGCAGAAUGAAAGAAUAUUCUGAAUUUCAUUUUCUGGGACAUAUCGUCUAACAAUUUGGUCUGCACAAUACUUGAACAAAUACGGGUCAUCCCAAAAGAAAUUCUUUAUCUCUGCAAAUAAUUUAGCCUUAUCUUGCUUGGUCCAAUGCUCUGGAAGUUUACCUGUAACAAGAUAAUUAACUAUAUCACCAUACCAAGGCAAUACUUCCGCACUCAUUAAUUGUUCAUCUGGAAAUGACUCAUUCAAUAUUAAUGGCUCUGUAAUUGUGUCAAAAUGGAGACGAGAGAGGUGGUCCGCCACAACAUUUUCUGUCCCUUUCUUAUCUUUGAAUUCCAAGUCAAAUUCCUGCAAAAGUAACACCCAAUGAAUUAGUCUGGCUUUUGCAUAUUUCUUUAUGAGAAGAUAUUUAAGAGCAGCAUGAUCCGUGAAUAUAAUUAUUUUACAACCAAUGAGAUAGGAUCGAAAUUUUUCCAAUGCAAACACUACUGCUAGCAUUUCUUUUUCAGUAGUUGAAUAAUUCAACUGGGCAUCAUUUAAUGUCAUACUAGCAUAGUAAAUAACGUGGGGAAUUCGAUCAACUCUUUGUCCUAAUACUGCUCCUACUGCAUAAUCAGAUGCAUCACACAUGAGCUCAAAUGGUAAGUUCCAGUUCGGGGACUGAAUGAUGGGUGAUGAUGUCAAUAAAUGCUUUAAUUUUUCAAACGCAACAAGACAUGAAUCAUCAAAGACAAAAGGUACAUCCUUAGCAAGUAGAUUGCAUAAGGGUCUAGAAACUUUGCUAAAAUCUUUAAUGAAACGUCUAUAGAAACCAGCAUGCCCAAGGAAAGAUCUUACUUCUCUGACUAUUUUGGGUGGAGGAAGAUUAGAAAUGAGAUCCACUUUAGCUUUGUCAACCUCAAUACCAUUGCUCGAAAUAAUGUGACCAAGAACAAUACCUUGUUUUACCAUAAAAUGGCACUUCUCCCAAUUUAAGAUCAAGUUCUUCUCAAUACAUCUCUGCAGAACUAGUGUUAGAUGAUGUAAACAUUGAUCAAACGAAUCACCAAAGACAGAAAAGUCAUCCAUAAAGACUUCAAGGAAUCGUUCAACCAUAUCAGAAAAAAUGCUCAACAUGCAUCGUUGAAAUGUAGCAGGUGCAUUACAUAAUCCAAAUGGCAUUCUCCUAUAUGCAAAAGUGCCAAAAGGGCAAGUGAAAGUGGUUUUCUCCUGAUCUUUUGGUGCUAUGGGGAUCUGAUUAUAUCCUGAGUAGCCAUCUAAAAAGCAAUAAAAUUCAUGACCUGCUAAUCUAUCAAGCAUUUGAUCAAUAAAUGGUAAAGGAAAAUGGUCUUUACGUGUGACAGAAUUCAACUUUCUAUAAUCAAUGCAUACACGCCAUUCUGUAGUUACUCUAGUUGGUAUCAAUUCAUUAUCAGCAUUCAUAACUACUGUGACUCCUGACUUUUUAGGGACAACUUGUACAGGACUGACCCAUGAACUAUCAGAAAUUGGGUAAAUGAUACCUGCGUCUAAUAGCUUAAGGACUUCAGUUCUAACAACUUCUUUCAUAUUAGGAUUUAACCGACGUUGCAUUUCCCUAGUAGAUUUAGCAUUUUCAUCGAGGUGAAUGUAAUGCAUGCAGUCUACUGGGUUUAUACCUUUCAUGUCUGCUAUAGUCCAUCCUAAUGCUCCUUUGUGCUCUUUUAAAACAUCCAACAACUUACCUUUUUGUUCGUCAUUGAGGGAUGAUGAGAUGAUUACCGGCAGAGUGCUUUCUUCUCCCAAAAAUGCAUAUUCCAGAGUGUUGGGUAAUGGUUUGAGCUCGAGUUUCGGUGGUGAUUCUGAUGAUGGGAUGAGUUUCUUCUCUGAUGGUGCUAGUUGUUCAACUCUUGACUUCCAUUUAUUAGUGUCCAUGGAUGGUGCUAAGUCAAGUAGGGCAUUGACCUCAUCGACCGAUCUGUUAAUAUUAAAAUCAAAACCAAAGUGAGUUAAACAUGUUUGUAAAGGAUCAUCACUAAGGUUUGAAAGAAAAGUGUUAUCAACUAUUGUUUCAAUUAAAUCCACAUCAAUAAUUCCAUCAUCUGCAUUGUGAGGUUGUUUGGCAAUGUUGAAGAUGUUCAGUUCCAUAGUCAUAUUGCCGAAGGACAACUGCAUAUUUCCAGUUCUGCAUUGAAUGUGAGCAUCCGCAGUUGCCAAGAAAGGUCGGCCUAGGAUAAUGGGGAUGUGCUUCCUUGAAUCCUGUAUUGGUUGAGUGUCAAUUACAAUGAAAUCAACAGGAAAAUAGAACUUGUCUACCUGGAUAAGCACGUCCUCCACAAUACCACGAGGUAUUUUUGUGGACCAAUCUGCAAGUUGUAACACCAAUGGAGUUGGGUGUAAUUCUCUCAAUCCAAGUUUCACGAAUACUGAAUAAGGCAACAGAUUUACACUAGCUCCUAAAUCCAACAAAGCAUUCUCAAUUGUGUGGUUCCCUAUACUGCAUGAGAUAGUGGGGGAGCCUGGGUUUUUGCAUUUUAAAGGAAUUUUAUGUUGGAGUAUAGAACUAACGUUUUCUGUUAAAAAUGCCUUCUUUUGAACAUGUAUAUUUCUCUUUUUAGUACAAAGGUCUUUAAGAAACUUGGCAUAAGAUGGAACUUGUUUAAUAGCAUCAAGCAAAAGGAUGUUAACACUUACCUGUUUGAAGAUUUCAAGAAUCUCACCUGUGGAUUUUCCCUUUUUUCCUUUAGCUAAUCUCUGAGGAAAUGGAGCUUUGGGAACAUAUUCCCGUGGGUUGGUUUUUUCUUUCUCCUCCGGUGAUGAGUCCUCAAGACUCACAUGUACAAUUUGAUUUUCUUUUGUCACCGACAUCUCCACUUUGUUGUCGACUUCUUUUCCUUUUCUCAAGGUCAUAACUGCUUUGACUUCUCCAUGCUGUUGUAGUGAACUGGUACUUGCUUCAUGCACUCCUUUAGGAUUAGGCACUGGUUGACUUAGAAAUUUACCUUUCCCAACAGUCAUUGCCAAGGUCUGAACUGAAGAAGCCAGUUGUCCCACCAUCUUCUCGAGGCUUGAAACUGAUUGGGCUUAUGAGUUGAAGCCCGCUCUCAAUUCAUUUCGUAGUCCAUCAAUGGUGCGGUUCUGUUGCUCAAUCGUGGAGUGAAUAACAUUCUUGAAAUUCUGGAAUGCAUCCUCCCAUGGUCUGGGUUGAGAGUAGUUCUGGUUUUGAUUGUAUGGACUAAAUGGGGGCUGAGAGGCUUAAGGAUUUUGUGGAAUUUGUUGCAUUGGUGUAGCUGGAGCUGCUGGUCCAUUCUGUUGGAAUCCUUGAGACCAUGAAAAAUUAGGGUGGUCUCUCCAUCCAGGGUUAUAUGUGUUGGAGUAUGGGUUGUAAUUUGAUGGCUUUCUCAUUACACCUAUGGCAUUGGCUUGAUCUGAGUAUAAGUCAUGGUCAUGUGGCUCUGUUGAUUUAGCAGUCGAUAACGAUGCUAUUUGUCGAGCAAGACCUUCAACCAUCUCCUUGACUUCUUUGAUUCCCGAAGUUGACUCGCCAAUUUGAACCUCAUUCACUCCUUUAAUUCUUCUAGUAUUCCGGAGUGAUCGACUCCGUUGUUGGGAAUUAUCCGCUUGUCGUUGAAAGAAUUCCCAAAUCUCUGAUGCACUUUUUGACAUUAGCUCUCCUCCACUUGUUGCCAUUAGCCAUUCCUGCACAUUCGGCAAUAAUCCCUCCAAAAAGUAUUGGCAUUGGUGCCAUUUCUCGUACCUAUGAUGUGGACACUUCAAGAGUAGCCAAUUGAAUCGUUCCCACGUUUCGAAAAACUACUCGUCUUCUCUCUGUGUAAACUCUGAAAUUUCCCUGCGAAUAGCAUUGGUUUUAUGCACUGGGAAAUAUUUAUUCAAAAAUUUUGUAACCAUUUGUUCCCAUGAUGUGAUGCUAUUAGCAGGCAAAGUAUUUAACCAUGAACGAGCUCUAUCCUUUAAAGAAAAUGAGAAUAAUCUGAGUUUAACAUCAUCGUUUGAAAAAUUUUCAUAUUUAAAAGUUUGACAAAUUGCAUGAAAAUCAUUCAGAUGAUUAUAUGGGUCCUCAUUUUCUAGGCCAUAAAAUGUUGGGAGACAAUUUAGCACACUGGGUUUUAAUUCAAAACUUCUAGCAGCUACAUUUGGGUAUCUUAUGCAUGAUGUGCUCAAAUUAGCUAAGGGACUAAAAUAGUCCUUAAAUGGCCUCUCUUGUGGUGCUUGUAAAUCCAUUCCAAUUUUAUUUUUAAUGUGCUUUUGUGUGCGAAGUAUUUUUCAAGUUCAAGGUCUAUAGGUUCAAGAUUGGGUAAUAAUGACCUUCGACCAUGCAUGCAAAACAAAUAAAAUAAAAAAUAAAGAUGGGAACAAAAUAAAUAAAAAUAAAGAAAAAGAAGAAAUUACGAUACUAACCUUAUUGCGCUAUUACAACCUUUCUAUAAAAAUACACAAAAAUAAAUACGUGAAAUAAAUUAACUAAAAAUUAAAUUAAUUAAAUAAAAAAAUUACAAAGAAAAAUAAAUUGAAAAUUAAAUCACAGAAUUUUAAAGAAGAGAAAAAGAAAAGAAAUACUAACCUUUAAAUGUAGAUUCACUUUUUUUUUCUUUUUUUUUAAUAAAAAUAAAAAAAUACAAGAAAACAAAUAAAAGAAAUUAUUCACAAAAAUUAAUUCUAUGAAUUAAAAGUACUUACCUCCCCGGCAACGGCGCCAAAAACUUAUUGUGCAAAUUUUAAUGAACUCGCAAGCACACGAAUCUAUUGUAGUAUAGACUAAUGGUGACGAGUGUCGAUCCCAUGAGGAGGUGGAUUUUAAUUAUAUAUAGAAUUAAUUUUGUAAAUGGGUGGUUGGAAUUGUGGUGGAAGUGAUUUAAAUUAUCCUAAAAUUGGAAUUGAAAUGGCGAUAAUAAAUUCUAAAAUUAGACUUGCAAUGGCGAGAAUAAAUUGAAGAGAAAUCUAUUGAAAUGACGUACUUGAGUAUCUGGAUCCGUAUCAACAUGCAUCAUGGGCUAAAUAUUCCUUAUUAAUGCCAAUUAAAUCAUGAGGGGGGAAUCCACACCUCAUGAACCACGCUCUAAUCAAUAUGGUGAUAAGGGCUUAUCGUGCCAAAUAAUAAUAACCUUGUACUAGAGGGCCGGUGAAACCAAGGCGGUACUAGACAAGAUUAGUAUUAUUUGUCGACGAGAAGUCAAAACAUCCACAAAAACUAGAGGGGAAGAGAAAAUAAAUUUACCAAAUUAAGCCCAUGACACAUGUUGAGACUUCACCUUCAACCCAAGCUUGAAAGAAAAUUAGCCACUCAUAAUUGAACUAGGGGCAAAAUGAGAAUUUAUUAAAAUACGAAGAAAAUACAAGAUAAAGAAGGAAUUACAGAAAAUAAAGUCCAAAAAUGGAUUCAGCGAUAUCAAAUUAGGAGGGGGAGGCCCCCUUUUUAUAGAUACAUGGAGUAAAUUAUGGCCAUCGGAUUAAAAACAGUUUGGACGCUCAGGAUUACGCCACGUCAUCAGUCAACAGUCCACGGUUUGACCACGUGGAUGAACAGUAAUACGGUUUGACUCGGAUGAACAGUAACGCGGUUUGACUCGGAUGAACAGUAACGCGGUUUUGUUGAAAAUAAUCCUGUGUGAUGCAUGUACCGUACGCGAGAUUUUUCGUCCACUGAUAUGCUGCCACGUCACCAUCAACAGUACAUAAGAAUUUUAGCCCAACAGGAUCGUGACACCUCAUCAGUCAAUGCCACAUCAUCGGUCAAUGCCACAUCAUCAUCCGUCUAUGUGAACAGUGUCGUGAACAGUAACGUAUAUACAGUACCGUACACGUGAAUAGUACCGUACAUGUGAUCAGUGCCAUUUUUCUUUUUAUGCUUCUCCUAAGGUUUUCGACCGUCCUGAGUUCAAAAGUGAUGUCCGUUUUGCCAUCUGAUUUCUCGUUUAUUGUGAAAUGACUAUGAUGCCCCUAAAAUACAUAAAAUACUUAAUUAAAAUAAAACACAUGUAAUUAAAUCACAAGAAAGUUAAAUACAUAAAAGUAAGGGUUGUUAAUAAGACUUGAAAUGUAAAAUGACAGUUUUCUCCUUUAUAAAUAUACAUUUUCUAACACUCAACACCUAUCCUGUAAAUACAAAAGUAAAUUUAGUAAAUUAAUGAGGAACUGUGUAUGUGUGAAAUUAAAAAUAGUGCUUUUGAUUUGUAAUCAUAUCUUUUAUAGGAUAUAUUCAUUGUCUACAUAUUUUAAUUUAUGUGUAGAAAAUUAGAUAUAUUCAAUGUCUAAUCUGAUUCUACACAAAGACUAAUGCCCCAAGAUUGUGUAGGGGUGUUCAUAAUCCAAUCCGAUCCGCUCAAUCCGUCUGAUCCGUGAAAAUCCGAUCCGUGGAUCCGUGAAUUGGAUAUGGAUUGAAAAUUUAAAAAUCCGCAGUCGAUGGAUUGGAUAUGGAUUUACUUCUAUAAAUCCGUAAAAAUCCGUGAAUCCGCAAAAUAUAUAUAUAUAUAUAUAUAUAUAUACAUUUAUUUAGUUAAAAAAUUAUUAUAAAUUUAAUUAAAGAAUAUUAUAAAUGUGACAUUACAUAGUUACAUAAGCACUAUAAUAUGUCUUAGCUAUUACCCAAUAAUAAUAUUAAAUAAUUAAAUAAUCAAAUAUACAAAUAUAACUUGUAAAAAUUGUAAAACAAAAUAAAAGCAAAGUCACACGCACUAGCAAAAACAAAGUAACAUAACGCCAAGUUACCAACAAUUUGCAAAGUCACCCAAAAGCAAAGUAACAUAACACCAAGUCACCAACAAUUUGCAAAUAAAAAACCUUAAGCUUCCUUGUUGUCACAUGCAAUAGCAACACUCAAUACUGGUUCGAUACACUCUCGACACUGAUUUGAAGGACGUCGGCCGCACGAUUCCAGCAAGAGCAAGCCAUCUUCUUCCCCGAGCCCAUCGAGCCACUUCACAAUCACUGGUUCCAGCCAAACAAUUGCACUAUCACAACCUUCAAGAUCAUCACCCGUACUUCUCCUAGUUCCAAUAGUUGACGGCUCCAUAAUCACCACUUUUCGACAAGUAUAACAGCCCUGGUGAAGGAUCAUACUGUGUUUGGUUUCAGAAACUUCACCAUUUCAAUUAAUUGUGACUUUAUUUGAAUAAUUAAUUUCGGUGUUAUAUUAAUGUAUUAUUGUAACUUUAUUUGAACAAUUAAUCUCGAUGUACUAUAUUUUGAAACUUUGAAUGUAUUAUUUUAGUUUUAUUUAAAUAAUUAAUUUGUUUAAAAUUUAUUCAAUUUUAAAUUUAAUUGGUAAUAAAAUUAUUUUUAUAUUAGAUUUUUUUUUUAAUUUCAUUAGUUCAUGGAUUGGGGAGAACUAAAAAUUUUUAAUUCGGAAGCUAAUGCGUAAAAUGGUGGAUUGGAUAUGGAUUAAGUUAAAUCCGCAUCCGAUCCGCAUACGUAUGGAUUGGAUAUGGAUUGAGUCAAAUCCGCAUCCGAUCUGCAGACGUAUGAAUUGGAUUUGGAUUGAGUUUAAUCAAUCUGUGGAUUGGAUUGGAUUGAAAAAUUAUAAUCCGCAAAAUUGUGGAUCGGAUAUGGAUUGAUGUCCAAUCCGUAAAAUCUGAUCCGCGAACAUCCCUAAGAUUGUGAUUGAAAUGCUAUAAGCAACUUAUUUUAUAAGUUUAGAUAAAAAUGAAGUUUGAUGGCUUUGUUAAAAGUUGCUUCUUUUAUAAUUUUCUCUAUUUUGACUGUAACUUUUAAAAACAGAACAAACAUUAUUUUUAUAAGCAACUUAUUAAACAAGUUGCUAUAUCUUUUUAAAUAUUCAUAUUAUAACCUUAAUAUUUUAAGAAAAGAAUAAUUAUAUCUUACUUUUCUAUAAGCUCUAAUAUAUAAAUAAAAGACAAUUUAAACUCAUGUUUAUUUUAGUCAUUAAAUAAUACAGCACAUUCAUAGUCAAAUUUACUAAACAUGAGCAAGAUACUUUUUUAAUCAUCAACUUAUUUCGUUCUCACAAUAGAAAUAACUUAUUUUAUCAUCCACUGCCAUCCUAAACUUGAUGUUAAGUCACGUUUGGGAUUGCAUUAGAUUGUCAAAUAAUCUAGAGAAAUAGCUAUUAAGGACGAAGAAUAGGAAGAGGUUCGCCAUAAGCAAUAUACUCGCAAGCUUGGCUACUAAUAAACAGAGCAUACAAGCUUAAACACCUAAUAUAUAUAUAUAUAUAUAUAUAUAGUAGUUUUUUGGCACAGGAUCUUAAAGUGCGGGAAACAUUAGGAAAAACUUUAAAACCGCGGGGUUUUAAAGGCUUAAUACUUAAAGCACUUAAACUGCACGGUUUAUGCGUUUUCCCAGACGUUCCCACACUUUAAAAUUCUAAAUUAGAAUAUUUUUAUGUGUGUGUGUGUGUGUGUGUGGAGGGCAAAUCUUUAACUACCUCCGGCUUAAAGGACCUAUACAGUAACUCUUAAAUCAAAGAGAGAAAAUAGUUAAUUCAAUCUGAUUGAAUAUGAAUUGAUAUUCACCAUAUGAUAAUUACAUAAAGAUUGAGCCUUAAGUGUUUUACAUUAAGUAAUACUGCACUGCACACUUGUUCUACACAUUUAGACAACCCAGAUUAAGAAUAAUGAAAAUGAACUCUUAAACUAGCUAGGUGCUCUAUUAUUUAUCUUUGCUCCAUAAAUAUUAGAAAGAUAGAGGAGAGGAAGAAAAAGAAAAGACUAAUUUUGCAGUCCCAAUUUAAUCUUAUGCUCUGAUUUUGAAGCAAAUCUGCAGAGUAUUUAAGGAUCCAAUCAUGAACCAUGUCCACUUCAAUCUUUCGCUGCAUUACUAACCCCUCUGGAUCAUCUUCUGUUGCUGGCUGUAUGUCUAAGCAAUGGGAACCUGCUCUAAUUUACACAUUAUUAAUUAUGUUAUCCAAUAAUUUAGUUAAUAAUUGAACACUAAUUUUUUAUUUUAUAGAAAAAUUUACAUACUGUUUCUUAUUGUCACUGCUAUUAUAUUGUCUGAUAUCUUCCAAAACCCUAUAAUCUCCCCCCCACCAAAAAAAAAGAAGAAAAAGAAUAAGGCAUAUAAUUAAACGGGUAACUUCGAUAGAAAAGAGUGUACAAAAUUUUUAAGCUUAAUUAAUUACCCAGCGCUGCUAUAGGGAUCACGAAAGCCAUUAGAGAAAAUAAGGCUGCUACCAAAUCUCUUUACAACCACUCUUAUACCCUGCAAAUUAAAAAGAAAUAAAAAUCGAACAAAAAUUGAGAUAAAAUUUAUAAUUAAAAAAGAAAAUGAAAAAAAUUAAAUUAUUAAAAGAAUUAAUUUGGGGAUUAAUUGACACUUACAUGACUACCGUAAUAAGUUGUAAUCCAAUGUGGUAUUGGAGCCACUCCAUAAGACUUAUUGCAUGAAUUCAUAUAUUCUAUCGUCUGCUUGAAAAUUGUAUUAUUUUUUUCAAUUCCAAUUGAUGAGACCAUUUCACUGCAUGUCUGCAUGAGAAAUCCCCCCCUCCCAAAACAAAAAAAAAAAUCAUAAUAAAUAAAUAACUAAAUAAAGGAGAAAACUAUUUUUAAUCAUUCAUAAAUAUGUAGUCUCAUAAAUAAAAUUAAAAGAUGUACAUAAAAUAGGUAUUGUUAGCUAGGUGAGAGAUUCAUUCAUCGCAACAUGUUGUUUGUUUGACGAUCUCAAUAGAAGUAUCUAAUGAAAUCAUGUCACCCGUAAUCACAUACCUGCCAGCCUCAGCUCGAGUCUAGUGUUUCAUCGGAUAAGAAUUCAUCAACAUCAUGGCAAGAAUUCUCCCAUCUUAAAGCAACAAUUCCUGAGAAUAUCCGGCCUAGGGUAUCCGUGCCUUCUGAAGCUCCAUGGAUACCUUCACAAGCUUUGCUCACUGGAUAUUCCUGAGGAUCAUCAUACUGAGCUGCACCCGUAUACAUACACUCUAAAUAAUCCUUCAAUUCUGAAACAUCCUUCAGAGGCUUGUAAUCAAAUAAACAACAACAACAUAGAAUUAAGUGCCACAAGGUUAGUAACAUUAUAAAAGAUCUUUCAACAAGCCGUCUAAAACAUGUUGUUAUAUUUAGUUAGAUUACAAUAAACUUUAUAAGUAUGAAGCUAUUGAUAUUAUCAAAUGCAAACGUACAAAUUUGGCCUUAUUUGAUAAUCAGAGUUGUGCGUGGUUUUGUAGUUCAAAUUUAGAUUCUGUAAGAUACGAACCUUUGGAGGCCUGAAUCUAAGCACCAGUAUACUAUAUAUAUAUGGUAAUGCAAAGGCCGUGUAUAAGCCCAAAUCCAGAUUUUUACUUUGUAUAUUACACGUUAAUCGAAAUGUAUAUAUACUCUGAGGAUGACAGAUAAUUAAUUAGACAUAGUAUAUUCGAUAAUGAUGCUACAAUAACAUUGCAUUAAUUGUAAUUAAGGGAAAAUCGGAUGGAUAUAUAUAAGCAGUUAUGUAAAGUAAUAUGAUUACUUUCUUGCAGGUUUUGAACUUUUUAGAGAGAAAAGCAAGUCCAUUUUUUCUAGCAGCGGUUUUAUCCAUUUCAGCCCAGGACUGUUUGAUGGUCAUGUAGCAGCUCUCCCUGGCUUCUUGCAUCAUUAAUUUUCAAAAUUUAAUGGAUUAAUUUUCAAAAUUUAAUGGUUAAAUUUUAACAAGAAAACACAAUCAUACAUAUAUAGAAUUUUAAUUAAUUAAUUUUAUUUCUUACCUUAAAGUCAUUGGUGACAAGAUCAUAAUAUGUGUUUGAGUGUGUGAUAUUAUCAAAAUAGAUAAUUGGGGCGGACGACGCAACUACUCCCAAAGCACUGUAAGAUGGUUAUUUUUUAAAACGUAAUUAUCUUAAAUAUAUUUAUUAUUUCUUAGUUUUACGAUUGCUGAAAGUAUUCAUUAAUUGGAAUGCAAAAUAAAUUUGUAUCAAAAUAAUAUUGGCGUAAUCAAUAUUUUGGUCAAACGAGAUCAAAAUGAAUAAAAUGAUGCAAUAAAUGACACGACAUUAAUCAAAAGAUGUAAGUAACUUAAUAAUAUUAAAAUUUACUUCCUCCAUAAGAUGCUGUCAAAUAAAGUGGCCAUUUAGAUGGUCUAAAGCAGCCAUCUAGAUGAUCAACAACAAUUUUGUUCAAAGAAGACGAAGAAUUUUGCAGCAAGUUUGAAAGAAAAAGAAGCACACGGCUUUAACAUUUGAAAGAAGAAAAAGAAGGUAAAAAAUAAUAUAGAAUUGAUGAAUAGUGCCAAAGCUUUCUCUAUAAAUAGAAACGAAGAGAAUGGGCAAAUGCAUUCCAUUUAGAAAGCAAUUUAGGGAGUUGAGAGAGAGUUCAAGAGCUUGCAUUUAUAAGUUCUUGUUACAGUGAUUGAGAGAGUUUGGGUGUAUUGGGGUUUUUGGGAAGUGAGCUAAAAUACUACAAUACUUGUAACUCUUUUUCACUAGUAAAAUAUUUCCUUCUGUCUUCGCCCGUGGAUGUAGGCUAAAAGCCGAACCACGUAAUUUUUGGUGUCCUCUAUUGUACUUGUUCUUUAUUUUCCUUCUAAUUUCAUUUUAGCUGCGGUCUUACUUCACCCUCCAAUCCUAACAGUGGUAUCAGAGCUAUUGGUUGUAUUUUUUAGAGUCAGGAACUGUUCACGUAAGGGGUACUAUUCACAUAUACGGUACUGUACACAUAUACAAUACUAUUCACGUAUACGGUACUAUUCACGUGAAACGGUGGAAGUGAUCCAAGAAUUUUGUGGUGCAAAGCAGGAAAUAGUGGUGUGAGUAAAGCAACUGUGUGAUUUUGUACAUGUCUAGGAAAGUUCUGUCACAAAGGCGAUAAGAGCUUAAGGAGUCUGGGUUUUAAGUGGGACCAUUGUGACCCCUCCAGUCUUUCCUGGGAACUUUCCUGGUGUGCAUUCUCACACAUACUCACAACUAUUCAAGGUGGUACACUAACUUGUGUGCAAUAUUUAUCAACAAAAUGGUGGCAAAGUAUGAAAUUGAGAAGUUUAACGGAAAUAAUUUUUCGUUGUGGAAAAUAAAGAUGAAAGCUGUAUUGAGGAAAAAUAAUUGUUUGGCAGCAAUUGGAGAAAGGCCCAUGGAGAUAACUGAUGACAAGUGGAACGAGGUAGACGGCAACGCCAUUUCUGAUCUACACUUGGCACUUGCGGAUGGAGUAUUAUCCAGUGUGGCAGAGAAAAAUACGGCGAAGGAAAUAUGGGAUACUCUCACAAAAUUAUACGAGGCCAAGUCACUACACAACAAAAUCUUCUUGAAAAGAAAACUCUAUACUCUUCGAAUGGCGGAAUCUACAAUGGUGACCGACCACAUCAACACAUUGAAGACUCUAUUUUGGGUCAUAAUAUAGAGGAAAAUGAGCGUGUAGAGCUUCUAUUUCAAAGUCUACCAGAUUCGUAUGAUCAACUCAUCAUCAACCUGAUGAACAACAAUCCAGUGGAGAGUCUAGUUUUCGACGAUGUUGCAGCCUCCGUAUUAAAUGAGGAGAGCAGGCGGAAAAAUAAGGAAAACAGACAAGCAAGUUCGCAGCAAGCGGAGGCGCUAUCGGUGACGAGAGGGAGAUCAACAGAACGUGGCCCCAGUAGGAGUCAAAAUUAUGGUAUAUCAAAAUCCAGAAGUAAGAAGAAUGUUAAAUGCUACAACUGUGGCAGGAAAGGGCACGUCAAGAAAGAGUGUUGGAGUAACCAGAAGAGAAGAGAUGGUAAAAAACAUGAGUCAUCAAAUGCUCAGGGGUGUGUAGCAAGUACCUCGGAUGAUGGCGAAAUACUCUACAGCGAGGCAAUAACUGUUUCAGAAGGCAGAAAACGACUAUCUGAUGUCUGGCUUAUAGACUCAGGAGCUACCUGGCACAUGACCUCUCGGAGAGAAUGGUUCCACACAUAUGAACCUAUCUCAGGAGGAUCUGUAUAUAUGGGUAAUGAUCAUGCCUUGGAGAUCGUUGGUAUUGGUACUAUCAAAAUUAAAAUGUUUGAUGGUACAAUUCGCACAAUUGGAGAGGUACGACAUGUCAAUGGCCUGAAGAAAAAUCUAUUGUCUUUGGGACAAAUGGAUAGUCAUGGGUACAAGACUCAUGUGGAGAAUGGAAUUAUGAAGAUCGUUAAAGGCGCGCUUGUAUUGAUGAAGGCAGAAAAGAUCGGUGCUAAUCUAUUCAUGCUUAAAGGAGAAACACUAUAGGAGGCUGAUGCGUGUGUCGCGUCAAAUGGAGAAGAGUCAACGAUGAUGUGGCAUCUCAAACUUGGUCACAUGUCAGAACAAGGUUUGAAGAUUCUCUCUGAGCGAAAAUUACUUCUGGGGCUCAAAUCGGUAAGUUUACCAUUUUGCGAGCAUUGUGUUACAAGUAAGCAGCAUAUAUUAAAAUUCAGUAGAUCUAUUGCUAGAAGUAAAUGCAUUCUAGACUUGAUUCAUUCUGAUGUUUGGGAAUCACCGGAUAUAUCCAUGGGAGGUGCAAAGUACAUGGUGACUUUCAUUGAUGAUUAUUCCAGAAGAUGUUGGGUGUAUCCAAUUAAGAAAAAGUCAGAUGUAUUUCUAGUGUUUAAAGAAUACAAAGCGCGGGUGGUGACACAACUUAAAAGUAAAUUUUAACUCCCAAGUAUAAGAGUGUCUUGUUGUAUUAUAACUCGGUGAGUCCGAGGUCGAUCCACAGAGAAAAGAUUUAAUUAGUUUAUUUUAUUUUAUCUAAAAAUUGAAAUUAAAACUUGAAUAUAAACAACUUAAUUUAAAUGAAACUAUGGAAUUGAACUAGUUAGGGUUAUGGAUCCACUCUUAGAAAUAAAUAAAACUUAAUAAAUUCUUUUUGCCAAUUUAUUUUAGAUUUAUUACCCAAAAGAUUAAUUAUACAAAUUAUUAUUAUUUUCCCUUUAAUUUUAUGAUGGAUUAAGUAUUUAUUGUGCCAAAAUUUAAUUUGUCUACAAUAAGGCAAAAUACCAUUUCACCAUGCCUUAUAUUAAGAUCUUAAGAAUUUAUUGUGCCAAAUUCAUUUGUUUGUCUACAAUAAAUCAAAAUUUCAAAAUAUAAAACAUGUAUAAAAUUAAAUAGAAAAUAAUUUAAUUUAUAAAAUUAAACAUAGAAUUUGAUUAAAUCAUAUUUAUUUCUUAAGAGUUUCACCUUCCCCUAACUAAUAUUAUUUAGUUAAGCAUAAUUAAAAUAAAAAGUAGUAAAAUUGAAUUACUUGUAAUUAAAAGAAAUAAAAACAACUAAAAUUGGAAAUAAAACUAAUUUUAUUAAUGAAAAUAAUUAUACAAAAUAUUAAAAACACACCUGGAAAUCAAGAUUACAAGGAGAUGGAGAGAAUUUGAGAAGAAGAGAGUUGUAGAGAGAUGAUUAAAACAUAAAAAUGAGGCCUUAUUUAUAGAAAAAUAAAUUCAUAAUCCAGUGCUUUGUGGUCCAUCAUAGGCUUCAUGCAUGUGCUCCUCACAACCCUUAGAUCAAGAUCCAAUGGCUGGUCAAACUUCAAAAGUCAACAUCACACAUGGCAUCAUUUGACUCGUCCGAUUUGCCCAAAGAACGGUUGAGAUUUGGCGGGUUAAUGGGUGGAUCGGGUCGACCCGAAUACAAAGAUUCGGAUCCUCCAACUUGCUUCACCAACCAUUGCCACGUGGCACAAUCAUGGCCAUUGAAUGAUGAACGGUUGAGAUUUAGUCAAGAUUGCCAGUUAUCCCAUGCACUCAUAUCUAUUGUAAGCUCAUUUCAUCAUCCAAUCAGUGCUCGGUCAACAGGAAAAGUCAACUUUUUUUACACAAGCCCAAUUUUAAGCCGAUCUUGACUGAUCUUAAGGUUUUCGGACCUCCGGAAUCCAAAUUUGACCUCCGUUUAUUUGUUUGGAGCCUCGAAGUACGUGAAAUUAAUAAUUUUCCUAAUAAACACAUAAAAAUACACAAAAUUAAAUAUAUUUAAAACAUAAUUAAUAAUUCAUAAUAUAUUACAUAAACACAAAUAUAAAUUAUAACAUAAGCAUAAAAUAACAUAUUAUCGCUUGAUAACUAAACAAUUUUUAAUACUAAUCACACCCCCCAACCAGCUUAUUGCUAGCCCUCUAGCAAUUAAAGCGUUAUAUUAAGAUUUAUAAAAUUCACAUGCAAGUUAAUAGUUGUUCAUCUAUCCUCUAAAUUACCAAAUAAAUGAACUCUCCCAAAUUCCUUUACCACAUUGAUGUUCACUCAUUAUCCAGAAUAUCAUCAAACCUUCUUUUGUGCUCAAGUAAUUAACACAAUACUUAUGGGGCUUCAUUAAAAGAAAAACAACAUUUUCGUUCUAAAAUUCAUUAGAAAUUAUAUCUUUAGGCAAUAGAUUAUUCACACAUUUUUUUUUUAUAUUACAUUUCUAACCCGUUUAGCAAGCUUUAGGUCAGUGACUCCCAGACCAGUUGGCCUUAGGGCACUAGGUGUUGAAGCACCCCUACGGACUUAAUUACUCGGGUUUCUAAUAAACAAACAAUAUAUCUAUUACCCAUGUAGCGAGCUUUAGGCCAGUGACUCCCAGACCAGUUGACCUUAGGGCACUAGGUGUUGAAGCACCCCUACGGACUUAAUUACUCGGGUUUCUAGAUAUAACAAAAUUAAAAACAUUUUUUCUUCUUCUUUUUUUUUGAUUUUUUUUUUUUGGUUUUUUUGUUUUUUUGUUUUUGGAAAUAUACACUUUCUACUACCUUAGAUACUAUUCCUAAUAAAUCAAAAGAACUAAAUGCUGUAAAACUUUAACUUACAACCCACUAGUAUGUGUCAUAGUGUGUGUGUGAAGAAUGAUUCAAUAAUACCUGUUAAAUGAGUAAACAAUUAAAUAACUUAAUAACCAAGUGGAGAGUUCACAAAUUUGAGUAAUUCAAAGAAAAGGGAACAAAAACAACUUACUAUGAAUCUCAAAAUCAAAAUAUAAUACAACAAGACUAUUAGGAUGCGUCUCAAAAGUCGUGACUCUUUACACGGCCAUCCUAGACAAAAAACAAAUUUUUUUUUUUUUGGUUUUUUUUUUAACAAAGAAAAGAAAAGAGAAAAGAGAAAAACAACACACAUAUUUAAAAUAUACGUCAAUUAUCCCCACCCCACAACCUAAUCUAAACAUUAUCUUAACAUUUUAUAAUUUUACAGAUAUGCAAAAAAAUAAAAAUAAAAGAGAAUAAUAAAAGAAGAAGAAGAAGAGAUCUCACCUGAACUUGAUGCAGAAGCUUAAAAGCAAAUAACAAAGAUGAAGAAAGAGUCAAUUUUUUUUUUUAACAACACCCUUAAGAUUAAGAAGAUGCGUUUCUAGAGAGACUACAUUCUCUAUAUCCUGCCAUCUUCGACUCAAAUUUGUCCUAAGUUAGUCUUUACAGAAAAAAAAAUUUUUUUUUUUUUUGUUUUUUGUUUUUUUUUUUUUUUGUAAACACAUAACCAGGACUAAGACAUUCCACAAUUAUCAACUAUUCCCUCCCCCCAACCUGAAAAAGACAUUGUCCUCAAUGUUUUAAAAGGAAAGAGAAAGAGUGUAGAAGACAUCACAUGAACACUACAACAGAAAAUAUUUACAAACGGAGAGUUAAAUCUAAAUCGCACUUCUUAUUAUUGCUACUGUUACCGUUACCGUCAUUAGUCGACCAAUUCAGUGCAACAGUCUGUGGAUCUGGCUCUGGUGUAUAAGCUUGCAAAAGAUCAAGUAACUCAUUAGCAGUAGAAGCAGAGAUAAAUAGUUUUUUUACAGAAUGUGGAACAAAAUGAUUCUUUAUUGCAUGAUUAAUAAAAGUUAGCAAGCCGUCAUAAAAAUCAUUAACAUUUAACAAACCGAUGGGUUUUUGAUGAAUGUUCAAGUGGGCCCAAGAUGCAAAUGUAAUUAGUGCCUCAAAAGUUGCAAGAUCUCCUGGCAAGAAAAUAAAAGCAUCAGCAUGAUUCAUCAUUUCAGAUAUUCUCUCUUGCAUACUUGAUACCACUAAUUCUUCUCCAAUUGGUGGGCCAGACAUGCACACUAGCGGUUUCAUGGGUUUUGGGAUAAUGCCGAGUACUUGGCUUCCUCUGGUAAAAACAGCUUCUGAGACAAGUCUUGAUAACCCUCGUUCACCUCCUCCAUAUACAAGAUGCAGUUUCCUCUCUGCUAUGACACGACCAAGAUCUACAGCUGCCUGAACGAACUCUUUGUACUUUCCAUAGUGAAACCCAGAAAGCACACAAAUGUUUUUGAAUUGUUUACUCGAAGAUGAUGCCAUUGGACUAAUUUUUCAAAAACAAGUUGUGAGUGUUUGAAAAAUGAGCUCAUAUUUAAAGAUCUUGGUAACAUAAAUAAUGAGAAACAGCUGUAAAUGGGUUGGCAAUAUUUGUCAAAUGACGAGUAAAACUCGUGGCUCAAUAAUUCAAAAACAAACAGUAAAAAGAAAGUAAUGAUUAGAAAAAGCAAACAGUAAAAGAAAACCAAAUAUUUAUUAAAUACAAAAUCACAUCGCUAAAUGCAAUAAUGCAAAUGAUAAAAUAACAGUAAAGUAAAAUAACAGUGAAGUGAAAGGAUAUUUACUGGUAGUUGUGAUUGUGGCUCACAUCUUCCUCUGGUUUUACGUCCAGUAACGGCUUGAACGCCCUCUAUGGGUCGAGGAUCGGCUUCCCAUCCAGUUUUCUUAUAAACUGGCAAACAGGGUCUUUUUGAGUCAGAUUCCCAAGACUUAACUGUGCACUUUGUUUUUGGAAUAGUAUCCACAAAUUGUAAAUCUCACGUUGCACAAUUCCGCUUCGAUGCGUCUCAAGAGAUCGUAAGAUAUCAUCCAACGAUUCUUUACUCAUGCCAUCUUUAACGAAUUUAAUUUUAUCUUCACGAGUAUCAGAAACCAUUCCUAAAGAUUUACAAUCUGGUCGUUUGCAACCAAGUCUCACACAGUUAUGACAUUUUGAGCCAAGUCGUUUAGCUCUCCUUUUCUUAGCAAACGUACUUUUACCAAAACCAGGCAUGUAAGAAACAAAUUGACCAGAAAACUCACCUGCUAAUCGGACCUUUGCUUCAAUUAACCAACGAAUGUCAGAAGGAAUGCCAUUGAUCAUUAACAAACGCAGUCGUUCACAACGAGCUUUGUAAAUUUUCCUGAGGGCAUUCUGAGGGAGAGAGGGAAAAUGCUUAUGGAGUUUAUGUUGUAUUUCUUCCAUGUAUGAUUUUGGGGUUUCAGUUAUUGUGGGAAACUGAAGAUACCGACUUAAGAAGUCACGGAGUACCGUUAUCCGCCAUUUAUACGGGAAAAUAGAUCAAAACACACCAAAAUCAAAUCUGCAAAAUCAAAUCAAGCGUGAAAGCGAGUAAAAAGAAGCACACAAUAUAAAAGGAAAAUGAACUUACAUUCGUCCUCUCAUUGAGUUAACCUCAAGCUCCAUUUGAAAUUCAUAUAUGCCACUCUCUACUGUUCUGAGUUGUCCCUCUAGAUCCUCAACAUAGGACACGAAUUCUGGUGGUUGCAGAUCCCAAAGUGGAUGUGAUUUACAGCUUUGUAUCAGGCCUCUUAAGUGAAAUUUUAUACGCCGAAAUCUUUUAAGAUGUGCGAACAGGUAUUUUCUCAUUGAGGUGCUCAUGAUGUAAAAUGAAAAUUGAUGAGAGAAUGUACAACUGUCAAACAAACACGCUUACACAAGAAAAACAAUGUUAAAAAAAAAACUAUGUACAGUGCAUCAAUCUAAGGAAAAAAAAAAGUCAAACAAUGAAACGGUAAAAUAAUAGUAAAACAAAAAAAAAUCAUUAAAAACUUAAUCAAGAAUUGGUGGGUCAUCCAAAUUAAUUUCGGUGUCCUCGUCACGUGGGUGAUGUUCCAGAUAUGGUUUUAAUCUUUGACCAUUAACUUUAAAUGUGACACCAUUAUUUGGAUUCUCAAUUUCUAUGGCCCCAUAUGAAUAUACAUUUUUUACAACAAAUGGGCCACUCCAUUUUGACUUUAACUUUCCUGGAAAUAAAUGAAGACGAGAAUUAUAAAGCAACACUUUUUGACCAAUCUCAAAUGUUUUUCGAAAAAUUCUUUUAUCAUGAAAUGCUUUUGUUCUUGCCUUAAUAAUUCUUGAAUUUUCAUAUGCAUCAUUCCUUAAUUCCUCAAGUUCAUUCAAUUGCAAUUUUCGCACAUUACCAACAUCAACCAAAUUUGAAUUAAAAGCUUUAAUAGCCCAAAGUGAUUUAUGUUCAAGUUCAACAGGUAAAUGACAAGGUUUACCAUAAAUUAACCGAUAGGGUGACAUUCCUAAUGAUGUUUUAAAUGCAGUGCGGUAAGCCCAAAGUGCAUCAUUAAGUCUAAGAGACCAAUCUUUUCGGUUUGGGUUAACCGUUUUUUCCAAAAUUUGUUUUAUCUCCCUAUUUGCUAAUUCAACUUGACCAUUUGUUUGAGGAUGAUAAGGGGUAGCAAUUUUAUGUGUAAUUCCAUAUUUCUUCAUUAAAGACUCAAAUGACUUAUUACAAAAAUGCUUACCUCCAUCACUGAUAAUGGCUCGAGGGAUUCCAAAUCGACUUAAAAUGUUUUCUCUUAAAAAUUUAAUCACAGUUUUACUGUCAUUAUUUCGACAAGAAAUUACUUCAAUCCAUUUUGAGACAUAAUCAACUGCAACUAAUAUAUACACAAAUCCAAAAGAUGAUGGAAAUGGACCCAUGAAAUCAAUUCCCCAACAGUCAAAUAUUUCAAUUUCAAGUAUGGGAUUUAAGGGUAUCAUGUUUCUUUUUGUAAUUGAUCCCAAUUUUUGACAUUUUUCACAACUUUUGCAAAAUUCAUAUGUGUCUUUAAACAUGGUAGGCCAAUAAAAUCCACACUGCAAAAUUUUAGCAGUAGUUUUUCUUGAAGAAAAGUGACCACCACAUGCUUCAGAAUGACAAAAAUUAAUGACACUACUUACCUCAUUAUCAGGAAUACAUCGCCGAAAAAUUUGAUCUGGGCAAUAUUUGAACAAAUAAGGAUCAUCCCAAUAAAAUUUCUUUACUUCAACAAAAAAUUUCUUCUUCUCUUGAGCAUUCCAUUGCAAAGGCAUUUUACCUGUAACAAGAAAAUUAACAAUAUUAGCAUACCAUGGCAUUGAAGUAACAGAAAAUAAAAAUUCAUCAGGGAAAGAAUCAUUUAUGGGUGUUAUAUCAUUGCAGAAUUCGGAUGUGAGUCUUGAUAGAUGAUCAGCAACAACAUUUUCAGCACCCUUUUUAUCUUUGAUGGUAAGGUCAAAUUCUUGUAGUAACAAAAUCCAACGAAUUAAUCUCGGUUUGGCAUCCUGUUUACUCAUCAAAUAUCUCACAGCAGCAUGGUCAGUAAACACAAUAGAUUUAGAGCCAAGCAAAUAUGAACGGAAUUUGUUUAAUGCAAAUACCACAGCAAGUAAUUCUUUUUCAGUUGUAGAAUAAUUCAUUUGAGCACUAUCCAAAGUCUUGCUCGCAUAAUAAAUCACAAAAGGCUUACCAUCCCUUCUUUGUCCUAAAAUAGCACCAACAGCAAAAUCACUUGCAUCACACAUUAAUUCAAAUGGCAAAGACCAAUCAGGAGAUUGCAUAAUAGGUGCAGAUGUUAAAAGACAAAUUAUUUUUUCAAAAGAUUUUUGGCAAUCAUCAUUCCAUUCAAACGGUGCAUCUUUUAAUAAGAGGUUACAAAGUGGUUUAGAUAUGGCACUAAAGUUUUUUAUAAACCUCCUAUAAAAUCCUGCAUGUCCUAAAAAGGAUCGCACAUCUCUAACUGUUUUUGGUUGUGGCAAUUUAGAUAUGACUUCGAUUUUUGCUUUGUCAACUUCAAUUCCUUUAAUAGAAACAACAUGACCCAAAACAAUUCCAGAAGUAACCAUGUAGUGACAUUUUUCCCAAUUCAACACGAGUUCUUUUUCAACACAUCUUUUUAAAACUUUCUCCAAAUUAUCAAGGCAAUCAUCAAAAGAAUUCCCAAACACAGUCAAAUCAUCCAUAAAGACCUCUAAACAAUGUUCAACCAUAUCACAAAAAAUGCUUAACAUACAUCUUUGAAAUGUUGCAGGAGCAUUACAAAGCCCGAAUGGCAUUCUUUUAAAUGCAAAUGUUCCAAAAGGACAUGUGAAUGUGGUCUUUUCUUGGUCCUCAAGUGCUAUAGGAAUUUGAUAAUAACCUGAAUAUCCAUCUAAAAAACAGUAGUAGGGAUGUCCUGCUACUCUUUCUAAGAUUUGGUCAAGGAAUGGUAAUGGAAAAUGAUCUUUUCUAGUGGCUUCAUUUAAUUUUCUAUAAUCAAUGCACAUGCGCCAACUAGAUGUAAUUCGUGUUGGAAUUAAUUCUCCUUUUUCAUUUUUAACAACAGUGAUUCCAGAUUUUUUUGGCACUACUUGUGUAGGACUUACCCACUUACUAUCAGAAAUAGGGUAGAUAAUUCCCACAUCAAGUAAUUUAAGGACUUCUGUUUUGACUACCUCUUUCAUGUGUGGGUUUAAUCUUCUUUGAGGUUGUUGACAUAUUUUAGCAUUUUCUUCCAAAUUAAUUCUAUGUGUGCAGAUUAAGGGAUUAAUGCCUUUAAUGUCAUUUAAAGUCCAUCCUAUUGCAUUUUUAUGCUUUUUAAGAACAGUUAGUAACUUACCUUCUUGGUCGCUUGUUAAAGUAGAAGAAAUCACAACAGGAUAAGUUUGUUCUUCUCCAAGAAAAGCAUAUUUCAAUCCUUCAGGCAAAGGUUUCAAUUCCAUUUUAGGUGCUUCUUGUUGUUCUGUCUUUUCAAUACUUCCAAGCUCCUCAAAUUUUGGCUCGUCAUCAUAAUUUUGCGAAGUCUGCAUAGAAUCAAGCAACGAAUUUAUAUUAGAAAUAUCAAGUUUAAGUUGCUUAUUUGACUCAAUUGAAUUAACUAAACAAACAUUAGAAAGUUCAGAAAAAUCCCCUUUUUGAAUAUUUUCCUCGAUACAAGAUUCAAACAAUUCCUUUUGUUCAUCAAUAUCAUCUUCAUUCUCAUUUUCUUCAUUAGGUUGCCUGCACAUGUUGAAAACAUUCAAUUCCAAAGUCAUAUUCCCAAAGGAUAAAUUCAUUAAACCAUUCCUACAAUUAAUCAAAGCAUUAGCAGUUGCUAAAAAUGGUCGACCUAAAAUUACAGGAAUUGGUUUGUAAUUAUUCACAACAGGUUCAGUUUCCAAGACAAUAAAAUCCACAGGAUAAAUAAAUUUAUCAACUUGUACUAAAACAUCUUCCACUAUUCCUUUUGGUACUUUAACGGAUCUAUCGGCAAGCAAAAGUGUAGUUGAAGUUGAUUUUAACUCACCAAGAUUAAGUUGAAGAUAAACUGAAUAUGGAAGCAAAUUAACACUAGCACCAAGAUCUAGUAAAGCAUGCUCAAUUCUGUGGUUACCAAUAAUACAAGAAAUGGUAGGACAACCAGGAUCUUUAUAUUUCAACUUAUUAUUAGUAGACAGAAUUGUACUUACCUGUUCGGCCAUGAAAGCACUCUUUCUUACCUUCAAUUUCCUCUUAACAGUGCACAAGUCCUUUAAAAAUUUGGCAUAUGAAGGAACCUGCUUGAUUGCAUCUAAUAGAGGAAUGUUAACUUUCACUUGCUUAAAGAUUUCAUAAAUUUCAGAAGAGUGGUUUGAUUUCUUUGGUUUAUUCAAUGCAUGCGGAAAUGGUGGUUCAAGUGGAACACUAGUUAUUUCUUCACUAGGUGUAAGUUCAUUUAGUCAUUCCUUACCCUUUGAAUUUUCAUAAGGUUCAGGCAUAGGUCUAUCAACAACCUUACCACUACGAAGAGUUAUAACUGACUUGACUUGGUCUGUGGGUGAAUUUUGUUGAAUUUUAGGAUUUGGUUGUGGUUGGGCUGGAAAUUUUCCUUUUUCUUGAAUGGUGAGUGCAGAAGCAAUUUUAGCAAGAGUAUCUUUCAAAUAAAAAAAAGUUUGUGCAUUUUGAUUGUUAAUAACAUCUUGCUUUCUGAUGAAUGAAUGCAUUGUGUCCUCCAGAUUUUUCCAAGGUGGUGGAACAUAUGGUGCAUAAGGAUGAGGAUUUUGAAAAUUUUGUGGAGGUGGUGCUUGUGAAGAUUGUGCAUUAUUAUUAUUCCUCCAACUGAAAUUCGGAUGAUUUUUCCAACCAGGAUUAUAAGUCUGUGAAUAUGGGUUUGGUUUAUUGAAAGUGUUAAUGACAUUAGCUUGAUCAUUUAGACAUUCUUUAAGUGCAGGCAAAGUGGGACACUCUUGAGUGAAAUGAUCAUUCGAAUUACAUAUGUUACAUGCAAUUUCUUGAACAGAUUUUACUUGAUCACUCUUUUUAUGCUCCAAAGCUUCAACUUUCCUAACUAGGGAUGCAAAUUUUGCUUGUAAAUCAUGAUCUUCCCUAAGGUUAUGGAUUCCUCCACUAGAUGGAGAUGAUUGUUGCUUAUUUGUCAAUUCAAAAGUUCCAACAGUAUCCCAAUGUUGUGCAUUUUCAGCUAAUUGGUCAAGGUAAUCUAGUGCAUCUUCAGGAUUUUUAUCCCUAAAUUCACCAUUACACAUCAUUUCAACAACCUGUCUACUUUGGGGUAUUAAGCCUUCGUAGAAAUAAGUGACCAAUCGCCAAGUUUCAAAACCAUGAUGUGGGCAUAUGUUAAGCAACUCUUUAAACCUAUCCCAACAUUGGUAUAAUGUUUCUCCAUUUUUUUGAGUGAAAGAAGUGAUUUGCCUUUUAAAAGAAUUUGUUCUAUGAGGUGGAAAGAAUUUUUUCAAAAACUGUUCUUGCAUGUUAUUCCAAGUUCUUACUGAUCCAGAUCUAAGGUUUUGUAGCCAAGUUUUAGCUUUAUCUUUUAAUGAAAAAGGAAAAAGCUUUAAUCUAAUUAUGUUCAUGCUACAAUUUUGGUCCGUGUAUGUAUUACAAACUUCCUCAAAAUCUCUUAGAUGCAAGUACGGAUUCUCAGAUUCUAAACCAUGAAAUGUUGGUAAAAGUUGGAUAAUACCUGGUUUAAAAUUGAAUCGAGAUGCUUCUGGAUGCUCCGGUUCUGGUUGGAUUCAUGUAGUCUCUCAGAGUCCUUGGUUGAUUCUGAUCGUGCCCAUGUUGAGAUUGGUUGUCUCCCUGAUCAAUUUGAGGAUUAAGUUCGCCCAAAACAUUUUCGCCUUCAUUCUCAUCCAUGAUUGGUGGUGGAGAUUGAGAUCUACGAAUUAACCUGCCACUUGAAGAUCGAGACCAACGUCUCAUGCAAGGGUUAUGUUAUAAAGAUAAUAUUUACACAAAUUGAUAAUAAAAUAAAAUAAAAAAUUAAAUAUGCAAAUAAUAUAAGUGUACAAAAGAAAAUUAAAUAACAAUUUUGGUGGUUGAACCCACCAGUUAACAAUAUAAAAUAAAUGCAAAAGAAAGAAAAAGAAAAAAUGGUAGUUAAACCCACCAAUAAAGCAAAAAAAUAAAAUAAAAUAAAAUAAACGCAAAAUAAUAAAAUAAAUAAAUAAAAUGGUGGUUGAACCCACCAAUAAAAAAAAUAAAGCAAAAAAAAAUACAAAAUUAAAUAAAUACUGAAAAUAAAAAUUAGGAGUUAGUAGUUAGUUUGGUGGUUGAACCCACCAAUAAAGCAAAAAUAAAUAAAUACGAAAUUAAAUAAAUGCAGAAAAUUAAAUAACUGAAAUUAAAAAAGUUAGCAGUUAGCAGUUAGUAAGUUAAGAGUCAGUAAUUAGAGUUAGUAGUUAAAGUUAGUUUAGUCCAAAAUAUGUUAGUUUAGUCCAAAAUAUGUCCAAAUAUGUUCAAAAUAUGUCCAAAUAUGUCCAAAAUAUGUCCAAAGUAUGUCCAAGUCUUAAUUAUUUUGAGGAAUUUCGUCUAGGGAUUCUAUUGCAAAUUAUUUUUAAUUUUAUGGUCAAACUGUAAUUUUUAGAAGUUUAGAAUUAGUAAUUUGGGAUGAAAGUGAAACAGUUGAAAGAUAUCGGGGUCCGAACGUAAUUACCAGAAGAUUGGGCUGGAAACGGAAAUUGUUGGGGUGAAACUAGAAUUAUGAAAGAUAUGGGGACAAAAGAGAAUUUAAGAAAAGAAAAAGGGGGUAAACGAAAUUUUACAUAUAAGAGAAAAAUAAAAAACGGAAAAACAAACCAAAUAAAAAAAACUUUUCCCCGGCAACGGCGCCAAAAACUUGACACAUCUUAAAAGUAAUUUUUAACUCUCAAGUAUAAGAGUGUCUUGUUGUAUUAUAACUCGGUGAGUCCGAGGUCGAUCCACAGAGAAAAGAUUUAAUUAGUUUAUUUUAUUUUAUCUAAAAAUUGAAAUUAAAACUUGAAUAUAAACAACUUAAUUUAAAUGAAACUAUGGAAUUGAACUAGUUAAGGUUAUGGAUCCACUCUUAGAAAUAAAUAAAACUUAAUAAAUUCUUUUUGCCAAUUUGUUUUAGAUUUAUUACCCAAAAGAUUAAUUAUACAAAUUAUUAUUAUUUUCCCUUUAAUUUUAUGAUGGAUUAAGUAUUUAUUGUGCCAAAAUUUAAUUUGUCUACAAUAAGGCAAAAUACCAUUUCACCAUGCCUUAUAUUAAGAUCUUAAGAAUUUAUUGUGCCAAAUUCAUUUGUUUGUCUACAAUAAAUCAAAAUUUCAAAAUAUAAAACAUGUAUAAAAUUAAAUAGAAAAUAAUUUAAUUUAUAAAAUUAAACAUAGAAUUUGAUUAAAUCAUAUUUAUUUCUUAAGAGUUUCACCUUCCCCUAACUAAUAUUAUUUAGUUAAGCAUAAUUAAAAUAAAAAGUAGUAAAAUUGAAUUACUUGUAAUUAAAAGAAAUAAAAACAACUAAAAUUGGAAAUAAAACUAAUUUUAUUAAUGAAAAUAAUUAUACAAAAUAUUAAAAACACACCUGGAAAUCAAGAUUACAAGGAGAUGGAGAGAAUUUGAGAAUAAGAGAGUUGUAGAGAGAUGAUUAAAACAUAAAAAUGAGGCCUUAUUUAUAGAAAAAUAAAUUCAUAAUCCAGUGCUUUGUGGUCCAUCAUAGGCUUCAUGCAUGUGCUCCUCACAACCCUUAGAUCAAGAUCCAAUGGCUGGUCAAACUUCAAAAGUCAACAUCACACAUGGCAUCAUUUGACUCGUCCGAUUUGCCCAAAGAACGGUUGAGAUUUGGCGGGUUAAUGGGUGGAUCGGGUCGACCCGAAUACAAAGAUUCGGAUCCUCCAACUUGCUUCACCAACCAUUGCCACGUGGCACAAUCAUGGCCAUUGAAUGAUGAACGGUUGAGAUUUAGUCAAGAUUGCCAGUUAUCCCAUGCACUCAUAUCUAUUGUAAGCUCAUUUCAUCAUCCAAUCAGUGCUCGGUCAACAGGAAAAGUCAAUUUUUUUUACACAAGCCCAAUUUUAAGCCGAUCUUGACUGAUCUUAAGGUUUUCGAACCUCCGGAAUCCAAAUUUGACCUCCGUUUAUUUGUUUGGAGCCUCGAAGUACGUGAAAUUAAUAAUUUUCCUAAUAAACACAUAAAAAUACACAAAAUUAAAUAUAUUUAAAACAUAAUUAAUAAUUCAUAAUAUAUUACAUAAACACAAAUAUAAAUUAUAACAUAAGCAUAAAAUAACAUAUUAUCGCUUGAUAACUAAACAAUUUUUAAUACUAAUCAGGUGGAACUUGAAUCUGGUAAAAAGAUCAAGUGUUUGAGGACAGAUAAUGGUGGAGAGUAUACAAACGGCGAGUUUCUUGCUUUCUGUAAGCAAGAAGGUAUUCAGAGGCAGUUCACAGUGGCAUACACUCCUCAACAAAAUGGAGUGGCAGAGCGGAUGAAUAGAACUCUUACAGAACGGAUAAGAGCUAUGUUAAUGACUGCUGGUCUACCCAAUUCAUUUUGCGCAGAAGCAGCCAAAACUGGCUGUUAUAUAGUAAAUCGAUCGCCAUCUAUAGCUAUUGGGCUGAAGACAGUGAUGGAGAUGUGGACUGGAAAGCCAGCUAAUUAUUCCUACCUACAUGCAUUUGGAUGUCCUGUGUAUGUGAUGUACAAUGCCCAAGAAAGAACAAAGCUGGAUCCAAAAUCUAGAAGAUGUAUCUUCUUGGGGUAUGCUGAUGGAGUAAAAGGGUAUCGUCUGUGGGACCCCACUGCCCACAAGAUCGUCAUCAGAAGAGAUGUUAUCUUUAUAGAAGAUCAACUGCAAAUGAGAGAUGAGGAUGAUGGCACUGCAAAAGAAAAGUCAAAGAUUGUGCCGGUAUAUGUCGAAAAUAAUCUAAAAAAUUUAUAUUCUUCUGAAGCAGUACCAGAGCACGAGGAACAAGAACCAGUCGAGUCCGAGGCUCCAGAAGUUCGUUGGUCAAUGUGGCACUCGGAGUAUGUCACAGAAAUCAAUGUUGUAUACUGUCUUCUAACAGAGGAUGGAGAGCCUUCAACUUUCCAUGAAGCUUUAAACAGCUCAGAUGUUGCUUUGUGGAUGACAGCAAUGUAGGAAGAAAUUGAAGCUCUACACAAGAACAAGACAUGGGAACUUGUACCACUACCACGUUGUAGAAAAGCCAUUGGAAACAAAUGGGUCUACAAGAUCAAACGUGAUGGCAAUGACCAAAUGGAGCGGUAUCGUGCAAAAUUGGUGGUGAAAGGAUAUGCUCAGAAAGAAGGUAUUGAUUUCAACGAGAUAUUUUCGCCGGUGGUUUGACUCACAACAGUCAGAGUAGUCUUGGCGAUGUGUGCUACAUUUGACUUACAUCUUGAGCAGUUAGAUGUGAAAACUGCAUUUCUUCAUGGAAAACUUGAAGAAGAAAUAUAUAUGCUCCAACCAAAAGGUUUUGCAGAAACAGGAAAAGAGAACUUGGUCUGCAGGUUGAAUAAAUCUCUAUACGGUCUCAAACAGGCGUCGAGGUGUUGGUAUAAGAGAUUUGAUUCCUUCAUUAUGAGCCUUGGAUACAACAGACUCAAUUCAGACCAUUGUGCAUAUUACAAGAGGUUUGAAGAUAGUGAUUUCAUCAUUUUGCUGUUGUAUGUGGAUGAUAUGUUGGUAGCAGGUCCCAACAAAGAUCGAGUCCAAGAAUUGAAGGCACAGUUGGCUAGGGAGUUUGAAAUGAAGGACUUGGGACCAGCAAACAAGAUUCUAGGGAUGUAAAUUCACCGAGACAGAAAUAACAGGAAGAUUUGGCUUUCUUAGAAGAAUUACUUGAAGAAAAUCUUACGACGCUUCAACAUGCAAGAUUGUAAGUCAAUUUCUACCCUACUUCCUAUUAAUUUCAAAUUAUCCUCAAGUAUGUGUCCAAGCAAUGAAGCAGAGAGGAAGGAAAUGUCUCGAGUACCGUAUGCAUCAGCAGUGGGAAGUUUGAUGUUCGCUAUGAUAUGUACUAGACCGGACAUUGCACAAGUAGUGGGAGCAGUCAGUCGAUACAUGGCGAAUCCUGGUGGAGAGCAUUGGAUAGCUGUGAAGAGGAUUCUAAGAUACAUUAGAGGAACCUCAGAUGUUGCAUUAUGUUAUGGAGGAUCAGAGUUUACUGUCAGGGGCUAUAUGGAUUCAGAUUUUGCAAGAGACCUUGAUAAAAGGAAAUCCACUACUGGUUAUGUGUUUACACUUGCGGGAGCAGCUGUAAGUUGGGUUUCGAAACUGCAGACCGUUGUGGCUUUAUCUACAACAGAAGCAGAAUACAUGGCAGCUACACAAGCUUGCAAGGAAGCUAUUUGGAUACAAAGAUUAUUGGAGGAGCUAGGGCACAAACAACAGAAAAUUCCUGUGUUUUGUGACAGUCAGAGUGCCUUGUACAUUGCAAGGAAUCCAGCCUUUCAUUCCAGGACAAAGCACAUAGGAGUUCAGUAUCACUUCGUUCGUGAAGUAGUGGAAGAUAGAAGUGUGGAUUUGCAGAAAAUCCAUACCAAAGAGAACCUAGCAGAUGUUUUGACCAAGCCGAUAAAUACUGAUAAGUUUGUCUGGAGUAGAACCUCUUGUGGCUUAGCAGAAACGUAGGCAACAUGAUUAUGGCGAAGCAGAAAGGAUGGUGUGGAGAUUGAUUGAUUCUCAAUCUAAUCUCCAAGUGGGAGAAAUGUCAAAUAAAGUGGCCAUCUAGAUGAUCUAAAGCUGCCAUCUAGAUGGUCAGCAACAAUUUUGUUCAAAGAAGACGAAGAAUUUUGCAGCAAGUUUGAAAGAAAAAGAAGCACACGGCUUUGACAUUUGAAAGAAGAAAAAGAAGGUAAAAAAUAAUAUAGAAUUGAUUAAUAGUGCCAAAGCUUUCUCUAUAAAUAGAAACGAAGAGAAUAAGCAAAUGCAUUCCAUUCAGAAAGCAAUUUAGGGAGUUGAGAGAGAGUUCAAGAGCUUGCAUUUAUAAGCUCUUGUUACAGUGAUUGAGAGAGUUUGGGUGUAUUGGGGUUUUUGGGAAGUGAGCUAAAAUACUACAAUACUUAUAACUCCUUUUCACUAGUAAAAUAUUUCCUUCUGUCUUCGCCCGUGGAUGUAGGCUAAAAGCCGAACCACGUAAUUUCUGGUGUCCUCUAUUGUGCUUGUUCUUUAUUUUCCUUCUAAUUUCAUUUUAGCUGCGGUCUUGCUUCAUCCACCAAAUUUCCUAACAGAUGCUCCAACAACGAUAAUAGGAGACAUUUCGGCUGAUAAAUUUUCCUUAAUGUGUAAGAGAAUCUUUGCAUAAUCUGCCAAAGCUUGACCAGAGUUGAAAUAUCCACGAAGAGUUGCAUUCUUUAGGGCAUCUUUGCGUGAUAUAAAAGGUACUGAUUUUCUAUAGAACCGAUGCUGCAUAAAAAAUCGAAUUAAAGAAAAAAAAUCCAUCACAACUUUUCAGUUCAUAUUGUAGAAUAUUCUGAUUAAGAUUUGUCUUUAUUAUUAUUAUUUUGUAUGGGAACUCUAUUUCAAUUAUUAUCAAGCUAGCCUGAUAACAGAUUCUUUACUUACCUCUAUGUAAACUUGUAAGGCUUUAAAUCAACGAGCAUUAUCAGUAAGCCAUCCAGUGCCACCAAGGUCAUCAUCAAGACUACUCUCUUUACCAAGAUAUGCCAAUAUCGGCGCCGCCGUGGCUCCACCACCACCCCAAUGUUUGAAGUUCAACACAUAUCUAUGAGAAAAAGUUAAAUAACUUUGUGGAUUAUAGUUAAAGUGAUCAAGUAUUUGAUCAUCAUAAUAAGUUUCGAGAUCACCCUUUGGUUCUGAAGUUAAUAUUUUUUUACUAGGGUUUAGAAAAAUAGUCUUUCCACGCACAACACCAAGCUUUGGGAUGUUUUUUAAUGGUGAAGUGGAAGCAAAAGCAAAAUUUGUGAGGAGAAGAAGAAAAAAGGCAUGGAAGCCACCGACCUUCCAUGGCAAAGUUGUAAAUCCUUAAUUAGCAGGAUGAUUAUGUAAAUACAGAAGAAAUAGAAUUAAGAUUCGGUUAUAAAUUCAGCUUCAGAAUCGACGUGUUUUUUAAUCUAUUCUGGAUUUUUUAUUAUCCUAUCAUAUAAUCAUUGGUGGUUUUAGUUUUAUAUUAGUAAUGAUCUUUAGUUUUCAUAAAAUUAUGGUUUUUCUAAUAUAUAUUGUUAUCAGUUUCGUAACUAAAUACGUUGCGGUGAAAAUUAUUAAGUCUUUCCUUAGUAAUUAACUAACUUGACAUACGUAGUUCUAAUGGUUGGACACAUAUUUCUAAUUUAAUUAACUUGUAAUUAAUUAUUUGCUAGUAAUUAACUUGAUUUAGUAUGUGGUAAAUACAUAAUUUUGAUAAAAUCAGUAAAAAAAUAGUAAAUUUUCUAUCAUGUAAGUGUAAAAUUAAAGAUAUAAUUUUUUUUAAUUACAAUAGCUAAUAUUUACUUGAUACUUUAAUACUGUAACUUUUAAACUAAGCUACCCAAACAUGGUUGUAAUUUUCUAUAAUCAUGCUACCAAAGAUGUCAGGAUUCCAAUCAUUGUUUACGAGGCUACUAUAUAUGUUAAUCAUGCUAAUGCUAUAAGCCUUGGAUUGGAAGUAAUGUAAAUCCAACCGUUGGGUAACGUAGCUAGCCUAAUUACACUUUAUUAAGAGAACAAUACAAUUAACAAUAGUCUCACAUGAAAGGGUGGCAAUUCAUUAUCCGAAUUUGUGAAUUAGACACUAACACAUCAUAUCGAGAAGAUUUUUUAUGACUAUUAUGACAACUUGUUCACGUCCAACAAACCAUCCCAAAGCCAAAUGGAGAAUGCACUGAAGAUCUGCCUCGCAAAGUCACUGAAGAGAUGAAUGCCCAGCUAAAUCAGCCCUAUACAGAAGCAGACAUCACAGAAGCUUUGAGCCAAAUGCACCCUACAAAAGCCCCUGGUCCAGAUGGCCUUCCAGCUGCUUUCUUCCAAAAGCAUUGGAAAUCAGUAAGUCAAGGUGUUACUACCACAUGCUUGCAGGUCCUAAAUAACAAAGGUAACCCUACUCCACUAAAUCAUACUUACAUAGCUCUGAUUCCAAAGGCUGAAAAACCUAAGAAAAUGGCGGAUUUUAGACCGAUCAGCCUAUGUAAUGUAAUUUAUCGGAUAAUUACAAAAACCAUUGCCAAUAGGUUGAAGCUGGUUUUGAACGAUGUAAUCUCACCAGCUCAAAGUGCCUUUGUUCCAAAUAGGCUCAUAACCGAUAACAUAAUUAUUGGUUACGAAUACUUACAUAAAAUAAGGCUUAGUAUGGGGAAAAAACAUGGGCUAGUGGCUUUGAAAUUAGACAUAAGCAAAGCAUAUGACAGGGUGGAAUGGGACUUUUUGAAAUGUACCUUAGAAAAAUUGGGAUUCUCGCUUGGCUUUGUUGAAUUGAUAAUGCAAUGCAUAACUACCUCUUCAUUUUCUGUGCUGAUAAAUGGGGUGGCUAAAGGGCUGAUCCAACCUCAAAGAGGAUUAAAGCAAGGAUGCCCAUUGUCCCCAUAUCUUUUUAUUCUCUGUGCAGAGACUUUUACAAAUCUUUUACAGCAAGCAGAAUCUCAGCAACUGAUUCAUGGGAUAAAAUUCAGCAAUGAACUUUCCAUCACUCAUCUUUUGUUCGCUGAUGAUAGUUUGAUUUUUACAAGAGCCACAAGGGAGGAUUGUACAAAUUUAAAGAAGAUUUUUUAGUGUUAUGUUGCAGCCUCUGGGCAGAUUUUCAAUUUCGAGAAGUCGUCUAUGUUUUUCAGUGAGAGUACCAAGCCGUAGCAGAUUUCCUCAAUUACAACCAUCUUCCAAAUUCAGGUGGUAUCCAGGCAUGCAAAAUACUUAGGGCUGCCCUCCAUGGUGGGUAGAAAUAAGACGAGUUUUUUUAAGGAUAUCAAACUCAGAGUUCUUGGAAAGAUUUCGAGCUGGCAAGCAAAUUUGUUCUCUUGUGGGGAGAAGGAGGUGUUGAUAAAUGAUGUAGCUCAAGUGGUGCCUGCAUAUGCCAUGAGUGUGUUUAAGCUCCCCCUAGGACUUUGUGAUGACAUGCAAAAGGCAAUUGCUAGUUUUUGGUGGGGAAGCAGCCGAGAUCACAAGUCAAUCCAUUGGUCGAAAUGGAAUAAUUUGUAUCAAGCAAAGAGUAGAGGUGGGCUGGGAUUUCGAAACUUGUCCAGCUUNNNNNNNNNNNNNNNNNNNNNNNNNNNNNNNNNNNNNNNNNNNNNNNNNNNNNNNNNNNNNNNNNNNNNNNNNNNNNNNNNNNNUUUUAAAAAUUCAAGUCUGAUGCAGGCUCAGUUAGGCUCAUAUCCUUCCUUUAUAUGGAGGAGUAUUUUAUGGGGUCGAAAUGUAUUAGAAAAAGGGUUGCGCUGGAGAAUUGGAAAUGGUGAGCAGCUGCUAGUGUAUCAAAGUCAAUGGAUUCCUCGAUCUAUAACUUUUCAGCCAAUAUCCCCCCCAUCAUUGAGCCCAGAUACAAUUGUUGCAAAGCUGAUAAGUGAGGAGCAAAGCCGGAAAGAAGCUGUAAUUAGGCAACAUUUUCUAAAAGAAGAUGCUGAUCAAAUUUUGAAAAUCCCUUUGCCAAGACAACCAAAACCUGACCAAGUGUUGUGGCACUAUGAUAAGAAGGGUAAUUAUUCAGUUAAAAGCGGUUACCAAGUGGCUAUGAAAAUGAAUUUUCCUGAGAAGCCAAGCUGCUCGAGUGAGAAUGAUAAGUAUUGGCAUGCUAUUUGGUAUUUGCAACUUCCGGAAAAAGUUAAAAUCUUCAUGUGGAGGGCGGCAAAUAACUUGUUGGCAACGGCAGGAAAUCUUUGGAAGAGGACAGUGGUGCAAUUCCCUUGGUGCCAGAGAUGUAAGUUAUCAAAGGAGACUAUUUUUUCACACUCUCUAUGAAUGCAAAGCUUCAAGGAAAAUUUGGAGGCUAACCCCUUUUGGGGAGGAUAUUGAGUUUAGCAAUGGAAGAGAUGUUCUAAGCUUGCUGUAGGAUUUGAAUGGAAAAAGGAGAAAAUCUGAGAUGGAACUGAUUGUUGCUGUGUGCUGGAGCAUCUGGCACUCAAGGAAGCUUUUCCUCUUCAAAAACAAAAAAGAAGAUCCCCAGCUAUCAGUUGCAGCAGCAGAAGCAAUGGUGCAAUCUUAUAGCAGAAUCCAAAUGCCCCAAAUGCAAAGUAACUCCCAGCUGAGUACUGCUAAUCAGAAACAAUGGAAACACCCUCCAGAGGGCUGGUUCAAAGUUAAUGUUGAUGCAGCAGUAGGAGUGGAACAACAAAGAGCUGGCCUGGGAAUUGUUAUAAGGAAUUCAGGAGGAAAGUUUAUAGCUGCAGCAAUGAAGCCCUCAAAGUUUAUUGGCAAGAUUGAUUUUGCAGAAGCUGAAGCUAUCAGGCUCGGGCUGGAGAUAGCAGAAAAUGUUGGAUGCUUUCCACUAAUUGUGGAAUCUGACGCCCAGGAAGUGGUGGACUUAGUCAAUUUCAAGAAAAGCUCAAGAGCUGAAAUAUUCUGGGUUGCUUCUGAAAUGCAAGACCAAGUAAAGAGGCUGAACCAGGUGAAAGUAGAAUAUACCCCAAGAGGGUGCAAUACAUUAGCUCAUUCUCUUGCAAGACUAGCAUUAGAGCUAAAUGAUUUUGUUUUUUGGGUAGAAAAUAUACCCUCAAAUUUUUUGUACCUAUUCACACAGUUGGAUAAAUGAAAGUAAUACUUUCUCUCAAAAAAAAAAAAAAUUAUCAUGUCAAAUCUCUGUAUCCUCUUCACUAAUCAAUUCGUUUUUGCACUUUGACUUCCCCACAGGGAAUUCUUAAUUAAUUAAUUUAUUUUUUUAAAUAAGUGCAAAAUUUAUCCCGCCGAGUAUAAUCAAGGGGUGCACGUCAAGACAAAACAAGCAACAGCUGCGACAUGGUUUCAGAGUCAUAUCAUCUAUAAGCCAAACGUGUGUCUGCUCAAUUAGACACCAUAACCUCUAAAGACAAAACAAAUGCAUGCAACUUACCAUAAAAAGAUGAAUGACGAAGUCAUUAUGCAAACUAGAAGAAAUGUAAACUGAUAGGCAAUAAUUGAAAUAAGAUGCGAAAUUAUUUAUAACACAAUUAACAAUUCAACAAUCAGAUGUGUUGAUUUAUUUUCAAUCUGACUUAGACACUAUGUUAUAUUUUAUUAUGUUUUAAUAUAUAUAUAUAUAUAUAUAAAUAAUCAAAAAAUUAUAUAAAAUUCACCAUGAAAAUAAGGAAAACGAAAAAAAAAAUCGAACGGGCCCGCUGAUGGAUCACCAAUGAACGAAAAAGAGCAACUGAAACAAACGAAAUGCAAUGGCAUUUUGGGGAAUCUAUCAAAAGCUGAUACCCUUUUUGCCGAUUCCCAGCCAACCUCUAUAAAUUGCCCGCAAUUGGAAAAAUUCGACCAAAAAAAAAAACAAAUUCACUUCAAAAAGUUCACACACACUCACACACACGCGCGCGCGCGCGCGCGGAAGCCUACUUCUUCUUCUUCUUCUUCUUCUUUCAAUUCUCUGGUAAAACGCAAUAUUUUUUUGUCGUUUUUUCUUCCUGUUAAUACUUAAUGCUUGGGCGUUUUGUGUAUAAUGGAAAUGGAGUCUCGUGUCUGAUUUAUUAUCGCAGGGAACGAUGAAUUAUGCUGAUCUAAAUCGACGUAUCACCGUUAAGGUAACUAUAUAAUUUUUUAAUUUCAAAUUCAUUUCUUUCUUUUCUUUUGUUUUUUAAAAGAGUAAUAUUAGCUUCAACUGUGAUGCUGUUCAGUAGCAGUGCUGACCUUUUUAUUCAUAAAUGUCUUCAGAUAUUUCAUAAUAUGGAAUAUUCUUCUUUAUUCUGUUCUAUUUAUUUACUGGUUUUAAUGUACAUAUUGUCGAGGAGCUAAAUACGCGAGUAUAAAAAUUAACUUCAACUGAUAAUUGGUAGUCUGAUUAUGCCAUUAGUUUUAUCGAGUCCACGUUGAUUCAGUUUGUUGUUUGAUUUUUAUGUGGAACUGUUACUUGAUUAUACAUGAACAUUCACUUGUGCAAAUUUAAUAAUGCCACAUUAUUUAAUAUUUAAUUUUGAAGGCCACUUUUUUAGUUGAGGGCAGGGAACCACUACGAUUCCAUAACACGCUCAUCUAAUCACCUUGACAAUAAGACUUCUCCUAGUCGGCAAUUAUUUAGAAAUAACGUCUUGACAUAUGCUGCGGAAAUUAAAGAAUGAAGUAGACUUACGAAGUCAAGGUGUUUUUCUAGUCUACAUAUUUUAAUUUGUGUAGAAAAUUAGAAAUAUUCAAUGUAUAAUCUGAUUCUACACAAAGACUAAUGCCCCAAGAUUGUGAUUGAAAUGCUAUAAGCAGCUUAUUUUAUAAGUUUAGAUAAAAAUGAAGUUUGAUGGCUUCGUUAAAAGUUGUUUUUUUUAAUAAUUUUCUCUAUUUUGACUGUAACUUUUAAAAACAAAAUAGAGAUUAUUUUUAUAAGUAACUUAUUAAAUAAGUUGCUAUAUCUUUUUAAAUGUUCAUAUUAUAACCUUAAUAUUUUAAGAAAAGAAUAAUUAUAUCUUACUUUUCUAUAAGAUCUAAUAUAUAAAUAAAAGACAAUUUAAACGCAUGUUUAUUUUAGUCAUUAAAUAAUACAACACAUUCAUAAUCAAAUUUACUAAACGUGAGCAAGAUACUUUUUUAAUCAUCAACUUAUUUCGUCCUCACGAUAGAAAUAACUUAUUUUAUCAACCACCGCCAUCCUAAACUUGGUGCUAAGUCUCGUUUGGGAUUGCAUUAGAUUGUCAAAUAAUUAAGAGAAAUAGCUAUUAAGGAGAAGAAUAGGAAGAGGUUCGCCAGAAGCAAUAUACUCGCAAGCUUGGCUACUAAUAAACGAAGCAUACAAGCUUAAACACCUAAAAUAUAUAUAUAGAGAGUAGUUUUUUGGUACGGGAUCUUAAAGUGCGGGAAACAUUAGGAAAAUUUUUAAAACCUCGGGAUUUUAAAGGCUUAAUAAUUAAAACACUUAAACUGAACGGUUUAUGCGUUUUCCCGGACGUUCUCGUACUUUAAAAUUCUGAAUUAGAAUAUUUUUAUAUGUGUGUGUUGUUGUCCAAAUUUUAAUGUACUCGCAAGCGCACGAAUCUAUUGUUGUAUAGAUCAAUGGUGACGAGUGUCGAUCCCACGAGGAGGUGGAUUUUAAUUGUGUAGAAUUAAUUUUGUAAAUGGGUGAUUGGAUUUGUGGUGGAAAUGAUUUGGAAUAUCCUAAAACUUAAAUUAAAAUGGCGAGAAUAAAUUCUAAAAUUGGAAUUGAAAUUACGAGAAUAAAUUGAAGAGAAUUCUAUUAAAAUGACGUACUUGGGUAUCUGGAUCCGUAUCAACAUGCAUCAUGGGCUAAAUAAUCCUUAUUAAUGCCAAUUAAAUCAUGAGGGGGGAAUCCACACCUCAUGAACCACACUCUAAUCAAUAUGGUGCUAAGGGCUUAUCGUGCCAAAUAAUAAUAACCUUGUACUAGAGGGCCGGUGAAACCAAGGCGGUACUAGACAAGAUUAGUAUUAUUUGUCGACGAGAAGUCAAAACAUCCACAAAAACUAGAGGGGAAGAGAAAAUAAAUUUACCAAAUAAAACCCAUGACACAUGUUGAGACUUCACUUUCAACCCAAGCUUGAAAGAAAAUUAGCUACUCAUAAUUGAACUAGGGGCAAAAUGAGAAUUUAUUAAAAUACGAAGAAACUACAAGAUGGAGAAGGAAUUACAAAAAAUAGAGUCCAAAAAUGGAUUCAGAGAUAUCAAAUUAUGGGGGAGAGGCCCCCUUUUUAUAGAUACAUCAAGUAAAUCAUGGCCAUCGGAUUAAAAACAGUUUGGACGCUCAGGAUUGCGCCACGUCAUCAGUCAACAGUACGCGGUUUGACCACGCGGAUGAACAGUAACACGGUUUGACCUAGAUGAAUAGUAACGCGGUUUGACUCGGAUGAACAGUAACGCGUUUGAUUGAAAAUAAUCCUGUGUGAUGCAUGUACCGUACGCGAGAUUUUUCGUCCACUGAUAGGCUGCCACGUCACCAUCAACAGUACAUAAGAAUUUUAGCCCAACAGGAUCGUGACACCUCAUCAGUCAAUGCCACAUCAUCGGUCAAUGCCACGUCAUCAUCCGUCUAUGUGAACAAUGUAGUGAACAGUAACGUAGACAGUACCGUACACGUGAAUAGUACCGUACAUGUGAAUAGUGUCAUUUUUCCUUUUAUGCUCCUCCUAAGGUUUUCGACCGUCCUGAGUUCAAAAGUGAUGUCCGUUUUGCCGUCUGAUCUCUCCUUUAUUGUAAAAUGACUAUAAUGCCCCUAAAAUACAUAAAAUACUUAAUUAAAAUAAAACACAUGUAAUUAAAUCACAAGAAGGUUAAAUACAUAAAAGUAAGGGUUGUUAGUAAGACUUGAAAUGUAAAAUGACGGUCUUCUCUUUUAUAAAUUUACAUUUUCUAACACUCAACACACCCCCCAACCAGCUUAUUGCUAGUCCCUAGCAAAUAAAGCGAAAACAAAAUUCAAAUUCAAAAUAAAUUUUUUUUUAAUAAAAACACUCGUAUUUAUUCCAUUAGAUUAAUAAUAGCAAUCAAAUAAAAGUAUAAGCAUUAUCUCCAGUCUAAAGCAACAUCACACCCACAUCAACCAUCCACAUGAAUCAGCUCAGUAGACUUUGUUAUAGCUACUUUCAAGAAUGACAUGUCAAACCCCAAAAUCUCACUGGAAGUAGUGACACUCUCACAAAGAAAUUAAAACCAAUAAAAAUAGUCACUCCAAUGAAUGGUAAUUGAGAGAGAAAAUAAUAAAGAAGUGAUAUCACAUGCUCUCACCAAGAUGAAAUAAAUAUGCCCUCAGCUUAGAAAUAAUACAGUCUCAAGUCAAAUAAAAAUGCUAGUCAACCCAAUUUAUUUAUCUUUUUUUUAUAUUUAUUUAUUUAUUUUUAUUAUGCACCACUACAUCUCUUUAGCCCACAUAACUAGCUUCUACUUCAAAUUAUAGUUCCCUAAAAUCAGGAAGGACUUUUAUUAGGAUGUAACGUAGGCUAGGGACAUGGUUAACAAAGAAGGGAAAUAAGGAAAACAAAGUAUAUGUUUGAGAAAAAUGCAGAGGACUUUUUUUUUUUUUUUGGGAGUUGCAAGGUGGAUUUCACCUAUUAUUGUUAUUUUUAUUCUUUUGAAACAACAAUUUUUUUCUUUUGUUUUAGCAACAACAAUUUUUUAUUUGAACUAGGCAUAACUUCAUUGUACAAAAUGUUUAUUUACAUUUUUCUCAAACAUAAAUAGGUGAUGGAACUUAUAAGACAUCGGGUAAUACUCCAAAUCGGAGUGGGUCAAGAUGAUAAGUUGACAAAGAAAAGGUUUUUUUUUUUUUUAAAGGCUCAAAAGGGUUAACUAUGGAUAUUUAAUAAAAGGGAUGGCUAGAAAGGCUCAAACGGAUCAAAGAUGGCCUUUCCAUCGUCUUUUAGGGCUCUAAAUAAUCAUCCAUAUCUACUAGUUAGACAGGCCUCCAAAUGUAGCAACACACUUUUUUUUUUUAAUUUUACAAUUUUUUUUAAGGAUUAACUUAAAAGAAAUCUAAAGAUCGUGUAUAAAAUAAUAAACUGCUAAACUGUAUAGAGAAUGGGCAAAAGGGUUACUCUCCAAGAAAAUAAUAGGUUCAACAACUCACUUGGCACUUAUUUAUGACAUGUUCAUUCCUUCAAGCAACUCAUAUUUGUCUCCGACAUCAACAUGUAGAGUAGCAAACAUAAUGUAACAUCACUUAAGACCAAAGAUAAUACAAAUACUAAAAUUUGAAAUUAAUCAUGUCAUCCAAUGUUAAAACAAAUCACACAAUUUUUUUUUAACAACAUUCUACCCCCCAACCUAUUCUAAACAUGAAAGGAAAAUAUGCAUGCAGAAAUGUGAAAAUGAUGCAUAAAAACUAAUUAGAAAAGUUACACGUAAAAUAAUAGAAAACAAAGAUGGUUUUUUUUUUUUUAAAGAUGCGUUUCUAGAGGCACUACACUCCAUAUUCAGCCAUCUUCGACUCAAAAGUUGGAAAAUGUAUAUUUAUAGAGGAGAAAUUAAAAAGAAGAAGAAAAAUGAACAUCAAAACUUAAUAAAGAAAAAAAAAUUAUUUUUAAUUUUUUUGUUUUUUUAAUUAAUUAAUUUUUUUUAAAACAAUGAAGAUGCGUUUCUAGAGUCACUAUCCUCCAUAUUCAGCCAUCUUCAACAUAAAAAGUUAGCAAUAGUUAGUUUCUACAACAAACAAUUAGUAAAAACUUAACCAAAAUUCCACAAUUGUCGACUAUUCACUCCCCCCAACCAGAAUGAAACAUUGUCCUCAAUGUUUGAAAGGAAAGAAGUAGAGUUUAGAAGACAUCACCUGGGUGGUGCAACAUAGAAAAUAAUAUUUACAAGCGGAGAGUUAAAUCUAAUUUGUACUUCUUACUGCGGCUACCGUUACCAUCAUUAUUUGGAUGCUCCAACACAAAGGUCCAGGGGUCUGGCUCCGGUCUAUAAGCUUGUAACAUAUCAAGUAGCUCAUUAGCAGUGUGAGCACAAAUAAAGAGUUUUUUCGCAUUAGAGGGAAUGAAAUAGUUUUUUAUUGCAUGGUUAAGAAAUGCGAUAAAGCCAUUAUAAAAGUUAUUGACAUUUAACAAACCGAUGGGUUUUUGGUGGAUAUGCAGAUGGGCCCAAGAUGCUAGUGUGAUAAGUGCCUCUAGUGUUGCAAGAUCUCCUGGAAGGAAAAUAAAAGCAUCAGCAUGAUUAAGCAUUUCAGUUAUUCUUUCUUGCAUACCUGAGACGACUAACUCUUCUCCAGUUGAUGAGUUAGACGAACUGCCCAAUGGUUUUAGGACUCUUGGAAUGAUGCCUAACACUUGACUUCCUCUGACAAAAGCUGCUUCAGAGACCAUUUUUGAUAACCCUCGGUUACCUCCUCCAUACACCAAGUGUAAUUUUCUCUCUGCUAUACUUCGACCAAGAUCGAUGGCUGCCUCAACGAACUCUUUAUGUUUGCCAUAGGUAAAUCCAGAAAGCACACAAAUGUUCUUGAAUUGUCUAUUUGGAGUAGCUGCCAUUAUGAUACUUCUCAAAAAAUAAUUUGUGAGUGCUUGUAAAAAAAAAAUCACAUUUAAGAGCCUUGGUGACAGUGGGUCAUAGUUGUGUAUGAGGUAACAUGUCAGUGUCAAAUAACGUGUAAAGCACGUGGCUCGCGAGUCAAAAAGGAAACAGUAAAAGGGAAAAAGCAAACAGUAAUAAGGAAAAAGCAAACAGUAAUAAAAUUAUUAAAGACAAUAAUGCACACAAUAAAACAAUAGUGAAAUAAAAUAACAGUAAAGUGAAAGGAUAUUUACAGAUAGUUGCGACUGUGGCUCACAUCUUCCUCUGGUUUUAAGUCUAGAAACGGCUUGAACGCCCUCUAUGGGUCGAGGAUAGGCUUCUUAUCCAGUUUUGUUAUAAACUGGCAAACAGGGUCGUUUAUAGUUAGAUUCUCAAGACUAUAUCGUGCAUGCUCUUUCUGGAAUAAUGAUCAUAACUGGAGAAUCGCUCCUUGCACAUAUCCACUGGGAUGCGUUUCAAGAGACAAAAUGAUAUCAUCCAAUGACUCCUUAUUCAAGCCAUCCCUAAUGAAUUGAAUCUUAUCUUCCCUGUUAUCAGACAUCAUUCCUAAAGAACAUGGGUUUUUAUUGCAACUCAUUCUGGCACACUUAUGACAAACAACAGAAAUUCUUCGAGCUCGUUGUUUUCUUGCAUAAUUUUCUUUACCACAACCAGGCAUGUAUGCAAUAAAUUUUGGAGGUAACUCACCUGCCGAUCGUACUUUCGCCUCAAUUAACCAACGAAUAUCAGCAGGUAUGUUAUUCCUCAUGAGCAAUCGCAUGCGUUCGGACCGAGCUUUAUAGAUCGUAAGGAGGGCAUUCUGAGGAAGUGAAGGGAAUCGCUUGUAAAGCUUCGCUAGAAUCUCCUUUCUGUCCAUACUUUCGCCUCAGAAUAUCAGUUAUUAUGGGAAACUGAAGUAACCGACUUGAUUAUCACGGAGUACCGUUAUCCGCCACUUCACCAAGGUAACAAACUAAAGCACACAAACAGAAAAACAAAUUAAAACACAUAAAGAAAAUUAAAAUCGUCCUCUUAUUGAAUUCACCUCAAGCUCCAACUGGAUGUCGUAAACACUUCUCUCAAUAUCUCUGAGUUGGCUUUCUAGACCCUCAACAUAGGAUACUAACUCUGGUGGUUGACACGUUGAAGUGGUUUAAGAAUGUUCAGGAGGAAUGGUCUAAGUAAGGUACUCAUGAUUAAAAAUGAUAAGAGAAAACUUAAUAGUUAAACAAACACACUUAUGCAAAAAUAAUUUCAAUUAGCAAAAGAAUAAUAUAAAGAAAGAAAGAAAGAAAAAAUCAAAUCACUGAAAAGAAAAAAAUCAAUUCAAAUUUGGUGGGUCACUCAAAUUUAUUUCGAUGUCUUCUCCAUGUGGUUGGUAUUCUAGAUAUGGCUUUAAUCUUUGAGCAUUAACUUUAAACAUGACGCCAUUCUUUGGGUCCUUAAUUUCAAUUGCCCCAUGUGGAAAAACAGUAUGAACAAUAAAGGGACCAGACCAAUGAGAGCGUAACUUACCUGGGAAUAGGUGCAAGCGAGAAUUGAAUAAAAGUACUUUCUGACUUGGAGUGAAUGAUUUUCUCAUAAUUUGCUUGUCAUGAAAGACUUUCAUCCAUUGCUUGUAAAUCUUGGCAUUUUCGUAUGCAUCAUUGCGAAUUUCUUCAAGUUCUGCCAGUUGUAAUCUUCUUUCUGAGCUGGCUUGCUGCAUGUCAAAGUUGAAUUUCUUGAUGGCCCAAUAUGCACGAUGCUCGAGUUCCACAAGUAGGUGGCAAGCUUUUCCAUACACUAGCCUGUAGGGUGACAUCCCAAUCGGGGUCUUGAAAGCCGUUCUAUAUGCCCAUAAGGCAUUAUCAAGUCCUAAUGACCAAUCUUUUCUGUCCGGCCUCACCGUCUUUUCUAAUAUGUGCUUUAUUUCUCGAUUGGAGAUCUCAACUUGGCCACUGGUUUGUGGAUGAUACGGGGUCGCCACUUUGUGUGUGAUUGAAUACUUUGUCAAAAGAGCUUUGAAUGCUUUGUUACAAAAGUGGGCACCACCAUCACUGAUUAUUGCUCAAGGGAAUCCAAAGCGUGAGACAAUAUUGCUUUUCAAAAAUCCUAUCACCACCUUGUGAUCAUUGGUUCUGCAUGGAAUUGCUUCUACCCAUUUCGAUACAUAGUCAACAGCAACUAAUAUGUAUUGAUGGCCAAAAGAAGGGGGAAAGGGUCCCAUGAAGUCGAUACCCCAUAUAUCAAAAAUCUCAACCACUAAAAUUGAAUUUAGUGGCAUCAUGUUCCUUCGUGUAAUGCUCCCCAUUCGUUGACACCUAUCAUAUGAAGAACAGAAAGUGUAAGCGUCUUGAAAUAUAGUUGGCUAAUAGAAACCACAUUGCAAAACUUUAGUAGCUGUUUUCUUAGCACUGAAAUGGCCUCCACAAGCUUGUUCAUGGCAGAAUGAAAGGAUAUUCUGAAUUUCACUUUUGGGACACAUCGUCUAACAAUUUGGUCUGCACAAUACUUGAACAAAUAAAGGUCAUCCCAAAAGAAAUUCUUUAUUUCUGCAAAAAAUUUAACCUUGUCUUGCUUGGUCCAAUGCUCUAGAAGUUUACCUGUAACAAGAUAAUUAACUAUAUCAGCAUACCAAGGUAAUACUUCCACAUUCAUUAAUUGUUCAUUUGGAAAUGACUCAUUCAAUGGUAAUGAUUCUGUAAUUGUGUCAAAAUGGAGACGAGAGAGGUGGUCCGCCACAACAUUUUCUGUCCCUUUCUUAUCUUUGAAUUCCAAGUCAAAUUCCUGCAAAAGUAACACCCAACGAAUUAGUCUAGCUUUUGCAUCUUUCUUUGUAAGAAGAUAUUUAAGAGCAGCAUGAUCUGUGAACACGAUUAUUUUACAACCAAUGAGAUAAGAUCGAAAUUUCUCCAAUGCAAACACUACUGCUAGCAUUUCUUUUUCAGUAGUUGAAUAGUUCAACUAUGCAUCAUUCAAUGUCAUACUAGCAUAGUAAAUAACGUGGGAAAUUCGAUCAACUCUUUGUCCUAAUACUGCUCCUACUGCAUAAUCAGAUGCAUCACACAUGAGCUCAAAUGGUAAGCUCUAGUUCGGGGCCUGAAUGAUGGGUGAUGAUGUCAACAACUGCUUUAAUUUUUUAAAAGCCACAAGACAUGAAUCAUUAAAGAUAAAAGGUACAUCAUUAGCAAGUAAAUUGCAUAAGGGUCUAGAAACUUUGCUAAAAUCUUUAAUGAAACGUUUAUAGAAACCAGCAUGCCCAAGGAAAGAUCUUACUUCUCUGACUGUUUUGGGUGGAGGAAGAUUAGAAAUGAGAUCCACCUUGGCUUUGUCAACCUCAAUACCUUUGCUCGAAAUGAUGUGACCGAGAACAAUACCUUGUUUUACCAUAAAAUGACAUUUCUCCCAAUUUAAAACCAAGUUCUUCUCAAUACAUCUCUGCAGAACUAAUGUUAGAUGAUGUAAACAUUGAUCAAAUGAAUCACCAAAGACAGAAAAGUCAUCCAUAAAGACUUCAAGGAAUCGUUCAACCAUAUCAGAAAAAAUGCUCAACAUGCAUCGUUGAAAUGUAGCAGGUGCAUUACAUAAUCCAAAUGGCAUCCUCCUAUAUGCAAAAGUGCCAAAAGGGCAAGUGAAAGUAGUUUUCUCUUGAUCUUUUGGUGCUAUGGGAAUCUGAUUAUAUCUUGAGUAGCCAUCUAGAAAGCAAUAAAAUUCAUGGCCUGCUAAUCUAUCAAGCAUUUGAUCGAUAAAGGGUAAAGGAAAAUAAUCUUUACGUGUGACAGAAUUCAACUUUCUAUAAUCAAUGCAAACACGCCAUUCUGUAGUUACUCUAGUGGGUAUCAAUUCAUUAUCAGCAUUGGUAACUACUGUGACUCCUGACUUUUUGGGGACAACUUGUACAGGACUGACCCAUGAACUAUCAGAAAUUGGGUAAAUGAUACCUGCAUCUAAUAGCUUAAGGACUUCUGUUCUAACAACUUCUUUCAUAUUAGGAUUUAACCGACGUUGCAUUUCCCUAGUAGAUUUAGCAUUUUUAUCAAGGUGAAUGUAAUGCAUGCAAUCUACUGGAUUUAUACCUUUUAUGUCUGCUAUGGUCCAUCCUAAUGCUCCUUUGUGCUCUUUUAAAACAUCCAACAACUUACCUUUUUAUUCGUCAUUUAGGGAUGAUGAGAUGAUUACCGGUACAGUACUUUCUUCUCCCAAAAAUGCAUAUUCCAAAGUGUUGGGUAAUGGUUUGAGCUCAAGUUUCGGUGGUGAUUCUGAUGAUGGGAUGAGUUUCUUCUCUGAUGGUGCUAGUUGCUUAACUCUUGACUUCUAUUUAUCAGUGUCCAUAGAUGGUGUUGAGUCAAGUAGGGCGUUGACCUCAUCGACCGAUCUGUCAAUAUCAAAAUCCAAACCAAAGUGAGUUAAACAUGUUUGUAAAGGAUCAUCACUAAGGUUUGAAACAAAAGUAUCAUCAACUAAUGCUUCAAUUAAAUCCACAUCAACAAUUCCAUCAUCUGCACUGUGAGGUUGUUUGGCAAUGUUGAAGAUGUUCAGCUCCAUAGUCAUGUUGCCGAAGGACAACUGCAUAUUUCCGGUCCUGCAUUGAAUGUGAGCAUCCACAGUUGCCAAGAAAGGUCGGCCUAGAAUAAUGGGGAUGUGCUUCCUCGAGUCCUGUAUUGGUUGAGUGUCAAUUACAAUGAAAUCAACAGGAAAAUAAAAAUUGUCUACCUGGAUAAGCACGUCCUCCACAAUACCAUGAGGUAUUUUUGUGGACCGAUCUGCAAGUUGUAACACCACUGGAGUUGGGUGUAAUUCUCCAAGUCCAAGUUUCACAAACACUGAAUAAGGUAACAGAUUUACACUAGCUCCUAAAUCCAACAAAGCAUUCUCAAUUGUGUGGUUCCCUAUGCUACAUGAGAUAGUAGGGGAGCCCGGGUCUUUGCAUUUUAAAGGAAUUUUGUGUUGGAGUAUAGAACUAAUGUUUUCUGUUAAAAAUGCCUUAUUUUGAACAUGCAUAUUUCUUUUUUUAGUACAAAGGUCUUUAAGAAACUUGGCAUAAGAUGGAACUUGCUUAAUAGCAUCAAGCAAAGGGAUAUUAACACUUACCUGUUUGAAGAUUUCAAGAAUCUCACCUGUGGAUUUUCCCUUUUUUCCUUUAGCUAACCUUUGAGGAAAUGGAGCUUUCGGAACGUAUUCUCAUGAGUUGUUUUCUUCUUUCUCCUCCGGUGAUGAGUACUCAACAUUCACAGGUACAAUUUGAUUUUCUUUUGUCACCAGCAUCUCCACUUUGUUGUCGACUUCUUUUCCUUUUCGCAAUGUCAUGACUGCUUUGACUUCUCCAUGCUGUUGUGGUGAACUGGUACUUGCUUCAUGUACUUCUUUAGGAUUAGGCACGGGUUGACUUGGAAACUUGCCUUUCUCAACAGUCAUUGCCAAGGUCUGAACUGAAGAAGCAAGUUGUCCCACCAUCUUCUCGAGGCUUGAAACUGAUUGGGCUUGUGAGUUGAAGCCCGCUCUCAAUUCAUUUCGUAGUCCAUCAAUGGUGCGGUUCUGUUGCUCAAUCGUGGAGUGAGUAACAUUCCUGAAAUUCUGGAAUGCAUCCUCCCAUGGUCUAGGUUGAGAGUGGUUCUGGUUCUGAUUGUAUGGUCUGAAUGGUGGCUGAGAGGCUUGAGGAAUUUCAGAAAUUUGUUGCAUUGGUGGAGCUGGAGCUGCUGGUCCAUUCUGUUGGAAUCUUUGAGACCAUGAAAAAUUGGGGUGGUCUCUUCAUCCAGGGUUAUAUGUGUUGGAGUAUGGAUUGUAAUUUGAUGGCUUUCUCAUUACACCUAUGGCAUUGGCUUGAUCAGAGUAUGACUCAGGGUCAUGUGGUUCUGUUGAUUUAGCAGUCGAUAACGAUGCUAUUUGUCGAGCAAGACCUUCAACCAUCUCCUUGACUUCUUUGAAUCCCGAAGUUGACUCGCGAAUGUGAACCUCAUUUACUCCCUUAAUUCUUCUAGUAUUCCUGAAUGAUCGACUCCGUUGUUGGGAAUUAUCCGCUUGUCGCUGGAAGAAUUCCCAAAUCUCUGAUGCACUUUUUGACAUUAGCUCUCCUCCACUUGUUGCCAUUAGCCAUUCUUGCACAUUUGGUAGUGAUCCCUCCAAAAAGUAUUGGCAUUGGUGCCAUUUCUCGUACCCAUGAUGUGGACACUUCAAGAGUAGCCCAUUGAAUCGCUCCCAUGUUUCGAAAAACUGCUCGUACUCUCUCUGAGUAAACUCCGAGAUUUCCCUGCGAAUAGCAUUGGUUUUAUGCACUGGGAAAUAUUUAUUCAAAAAUUUAGUUACCAUUUGUUCCCAUGAUGAAAUGCUAUUGGCAGGCAAUGUAUUAAGCCAUGAACGAGCUCUAUCCUUUAAAGAAAAUGGGAAUAAUCUGAGUUUAACAUCAUUGUCUGAAAAAUUUUCAUAUUUAAAGUUUGACAAAUGGCAUGAAAAUCAUUCAGAUGAUUAUAUGGGUCCUCAUUUUCUAGGUCAUAAAAUGUGGGGAGACAAUUUAGCACACUAGAUUUUAAUUCAAAGCUCCUAGCAGCUACAUUUGGGUAUCUUAUACAUGAUGCGCUCAAAUUUGCUAAAGGACUGAAAUAAUCCUUAAAUGGCCUCUCCUGUGGUUGCAAAUCCAUUUUAUUUUUUACUUGUUUGUGUGUGCGAAGUGUUUUCUCAAGUUCAAGGUCUAUAGGUUCAAGAUUGGGUAAUAAUGACAUUCGACCAUGCAUGCAAAACAAAUAAAAUAAAAAAUAAAGAUGGGAACAAAAUAAAUAAAAAUAAAAAAGAGGGAGAAAUUACGAUACUAACCUUAUUGGGCUAUUACAAACUUUCUAUAAAAAUACACAAAAACAAAUACGUGAAAUAAAUUAACUAAACAUUAAAUUAAUAAAAUAAACAAAAAAAAUUACAAAGAAAAAUAAAUUAAAAAUUAAAUUACAGAAUUUUAAAGAAGAGAAAAAGGAAAGAAAUGCUAACCUUUAAAUGUAAAUUCACUUUUUUUUCUUUUUUUUAAUAAUAAAAAAAAUACAAGAAAACAAAUAAAAGAAAUUAUUCACAAAAAUUAAUUCUAAAAAUUACUUACCUCCCUGGCAACGGCGCCAAAAACUUGUUGUGCAAAUUUUAAUAUACUCGCAAGCGCACGAAUCUAUUGCAGUAUAGAUCAAUGGUGACGAGUGUCGAUCCCACGAGGAGGUGGAUUUUAAUUGUGUAGAAUUAAUUUUGUAAAUGGGUGAUUGGAUUUGUGGUGGAAAUGAUUUGGAAUAUCCUAAAACUUAAAUUAAAAUGGCGAGAAUAAAUUCUAAAAUUGGAAUUGAAAUUACGAGAAUAAAUUGAAGAGAAUUCUAUUAAAAUGACGUACUUGGGUAUCUGGAUCCGUAUCAACAUGCAUCAUGGGCUAAAUAAUCCUUAUUAAUGCCAAUUAAAUCAUGAGGGGGGAAUCCACACCUCAUGAACCACACUCUAAUCAAUAUGGUGCUAAGGGCUUAUCGUGCCAAAUAAUAAUAACCUUGUACUAGAGGGCCGGUGAAACCAAGGCGGUACUAGACAAGAUUAGUAUUAUUUGUCGACGAGAAGUCAAAACAUCCACAAAAACUAGAGGGGAAGAGAAAAUAAAUUUACCAAAUAAAACCCAUGACACAUGUUGAGACUUCACUUUCAACCCAAGCUUGAAAGAAAAUUAGCUACUCAUAAUUGAACUAGGGGCAAAAUGAGAAUUUAUUAAAAUACGAAGAAACUACAAGAUGGAGAAGGAAUUACAAAAAAUAGAGUCCAAAAAUGGAUUCAGAGAUAUCAAAUUAUGGGGGAGAGGCCCCCUUUUUAUAGAUACAUCAAGUAAAUCAUGGCCAUCGGAUUAAAAACAGUUUGGACGCUCAAGAUUGCGACACGUCAUCAGUCAACAGUAACACGGUUUGACUCGGAUGAACAGUAACACGGUUUGACUCGGAUGAACAGUAACGCGGUUUGACUCGGAUGAACAAUAACGCGUUUGGUUGAAAAUAAUUCUGUGUGAUGCAUGUACCGUAUGCGAGAUUUUUCGUUCACUAAUAUGCUGCCACGUCACCAUCAACAGUACAUAAGAAUUUUAGCCCAACAGGAUCGUGACACCUCAUCAGUCAAUGCCACAUCAUCGGUCAAUGCCACGUCAUCGAUCCGUCUAUGUGAACAAUGUAGUGAACAGUAACGUAGACAGUACCGUACACGUGAAUAGUACCGUACAUGUGAAUAGUGCCAUUUUUCCAUUUAUGUUCCUCCUAAGGUUUUCGACCGUUCUGAGUUCAAAAGUGAUGUCCGUUUUGCCGUCUGAUCUCUCCUUUAUUGUGAAAUGACUUUAAUGCCCCUAAAAUACAUAAAAUACUUAAUUAAAAUAAAACACAUGUAAUUAAAUCACAAGAAGGUUAAAUACAUAAAAGUAAGGGUUGUUAGUAAGACUUGAAAUGUAAAAUGACGGUCUUCUCCUUUAUAAGUAUGCAUUUUCUGACACUCAACAUGUGUGUGUAUGGAGGGCAAAUCUUUGACUACCUCCAGCUUCAAGGACCUAUACAAUAACUCUUAAAUCAAACGGAGAAAAUAGUUAAUUCAAUCUGAUUGAAUAUGAUUGAUAUUUACCAUAUGAUUAUUACAUAAAGAUUGAGCCUUAAGUGUUUUACAUUAAGUAAUACUGCACAUUUGUUCUACACAUUUAGACAACUCAGAGUAAGAAUUAUGAAAAUGACAACCAAAUCCAAACUAGCUAGGUGCACUAUUAUUAUUUAUCUUUGCUCCAUAAAUAUUAGAAAGAUAGAGGAGCGGAAGAAAAAGAAAAAACUAAUUUUGUAGUCACAAAUCAAUCUUAUGCUCUGAUUUUGAAGCAAAUCUGCAAAAUAUUUGAGGAUCCAACCAUGAAGCAUGUCCACUUCAAUCUUUCGCUGCACUGCUAACCAUUAUGGGUCGUCUUCUAUUGCUGGCUGUACGUCUAAGCAAUGGGAACCUACUCCAAUUUACACACUGUUAAUUAAUUAUGUUAUCAAAUAAUUUAGUUAAUAAUUGAACACUUAUUUUUUAUUUUAUAGAAAAAUUUACAUACUGCUUCUUGUUGUCACUGUUAUUAUAUUGUCUGAUAUCUUCCAAAACCCUAUAAUCUCCCCCCCACCAAAAAAAAAAGAAGAAAAAGAAUAAGGCAUAUAAUUAAACGGGUAACUUCGAUAGAAAAUAGUGUACAAAAUUUUUAAGCUUAAUUACCCCUCGCUGCUAUGGGAUCACGAAGGCCAUUAGGUAAAAUAAUGUUGCUACCAAAUCUCUUUAAAACCACUCUUAUAUCUUGCAAAUUAAAAAGAAAUAGAAAUCAAACAACAAUUGAGGUAAACUUUAUAAUUAAAAAAGAAAAUGAGAAAAAUUAAAUUAUUAAAAGAAUUAAUUUGGGGAUUAAUCAAUACUUACAUGACCUCCGUAAUAUGUUGUAAUCUAAUGUGGUCUCGGAACCACUCCAUAAGACUUAUUGCAUGAAUUCAUAUAUUCUGUCAGAUUAAAUGAGUAUGUUUGAAACAUUGUGUCGUUUUUGCCAAUUCCAAUUGGUGAGACCAUUUCAUUGUAUGUCUGGAUUGAACUCCCCCUCCCUAAAAAAAAUAAUAAAUAAAUAAGAUAAAGAAGAAAACUAUUUUUAAUCAUUCAUAAAUAUGUAUUCUCAUAAAUAAAAUUUAGAGAUGUACAUAAAAUAAGUAUUGUUAGACGAAAGACUCAUUCAUUGCGACAUGUUGUUUAUUUGACGGUCUCAAUAGUACUAUCCAAUUGGUUUAUUGGCUUAUAUUUGUGUGGUGUAGAUCUAUUUGAAUAACAUUGCAGAAAUAUGAGAUAAUAUGGAAAAUAUUAGAAAUAGUUAAUAGCAUUAUUAAGAUACUAAAUAUCAGCCAAAAUAAUAAAAUAAAUAAAAAGCUCAAAGAGUUCUUGUUGUAAAUCAUGACUCGAAUAGGAAAAUAAACAAGACUAAUCAUAUCUUUGUGUAAAUUUAAUUUGUAUAAAAAAAACGUGUAGGUGUAAUAUUAUAAAUAAACUCAUAGAGAAAAGAAUGUGUAAACUCCUGUGAUUUGACAAAAUAAUCAAAAUAAUCUGUUUAUUUUUUAAAAUAGUUACAAAGCUCCUUUUGUAACAUACAAACUAUGGAAAUUCAUGGGCUACUUAACAUCCAUUUUAAUUUUUUUUUAUUUACACAAAAACAUCAUAGACGAAAGAAGAUAAAAAAUUUCAUUGCACCCAAUUUUUUUGCAUGCGAUCAAUAAGGAAAAGAGGCAGAAAGUGUUGGAAAUAUAGCACAAGUGGCUAUUUGAGGCGUGAUUUUGAGUGAGACCUAUGUGGUGUAAGUGAAAAGUUAAAAUUGUUUCAAAUAUUUCUCUGUAAAUACUUCAAAAUGGUUUUAUCUAUAUGAUCAAAAUGAUCCUUGGAUAAAUGAGAAAUGGUAACUGAAAGUAAAUUCAUGGAAUUGGAAAAUUAAAGGAAGAUACAUUUGUCCCACAUGAAAAAGGUAGUGAAGGCAUGAAAGGCUUGUAUAUAAUUAUUUAUAGUAUGAGUAAAAUAUAAACCAAAAUGCUCUCUCUUCCGUGCUCCUUCCUGAGUAUACGAAAGUUGGCCCAAAUCGAUCGUGGUAGGCCUGCCUUAGUCUUGCACAUUUGAAGUUCAUCGUGAAACGAUCCCAUAGUUGUCGUUCAAACCUCUGGGCACUUAAAAAAAGGUUUUCUUUUUAUUUUUUUUAUAUUUUUUAAAUUUAAUAAAUGCCAUAUUAUUUAAUAUUUAAUUUUAAGGCAUCUUUUUAAGUUGAGGGCAGGGAACCACUCCGAUACGUAACUUCGUGACCUGCUAAUCUAAUCACCUUGACUUUGAAGACUUCUUCCCCUAGUCAGCAAUGAUUUGGAACUUACGUCUUGACAUAUGCUGUGGAAAAAAAAGAGUGAAGCAGACUUAUUAAGUCGAGAUGUUUCUUCAGUCUAGAUAUUUUCGUUUAUACGUGUACACAUAUUCAAUGUCUAACCUUAUUUUGAAAAAAGACUAAUGUCCUAUUUGGGAUUACGGUUGAAAUACUAUAAAUAGUUUAUUUUAUAAGUUUUGAUAAAAAUAAUGUUUGGUAAAUUUGUUAAAAGUUAAUUUAUAUUUUCUCUAUUUUGACAAUAGCUUUUAAAACAAGUAUGAGAUUAUUUUUAGAAGCAACUUAUUAAAUAAAAUGCAUUUUUUUAAAUUUUCUAUUAUAACUAAGAAAAGAAUAAUUGUAUCUUACUUUUUUUAUAAAUCCUAAUAUAUAAAUAAAAGACAAUUUAAACUUAUAAUUAUUUUAGUGAUUAUAUAAUAAAAUAGUUCUUGCAUAAUUGAAUUUACCAAACACUGAGCGAGCUACUUUUAUAAUGAUUAGCUUAUUUUAUCCGCAUAACAGAAGUAGUUUAUUCAAUAGCCACCGGAAUCUCAAACUGAUUCUAAGUCAUGUUUGGAAUUGCAUGACAUUGUCAAAUAAUUAACAAAAGAAGCUAUUAUGUAGAAGCAUAGGAACAGGUUGAGAAUGAGAGAUACAUGUACAUGGAGAGCAAAUUCUUUUACUCUCACCGGCUUCAACGACCUAUACAAUAACUCCUAAAUCAAAGGGAGAAAAUGGUUAAUUCAAUGUGAUUGUACAUGAAUUGAUAUUCACCAUAUGAUUAUUACAUAAAGAUUGAGCCCUUUAUAUGUGCUUUACAUUAAGUAAUACUGCACACUUGUUCUACACAUUUAGACAACCCAGAUUAAGAAUAAUGAAAAUGAACUCUUAAACUAGCUAGGUGCUCUAUUAUUUAUCUUUGCUCCAUAAAUAUUAGAAAGAUAGAGGAGAGGAAGAAAAAGAAAAACAACAACAUACACUCUAAAUAAUCCUUCAAUUCUGAAACAUCCUUCAGAGGCUUGUAAUCAAAUAAACAACAACAACAUAGAAUUAAGUGCCACAAGGUUAGUAACAUUAUAAAAGAUCUUUCAACAUGCCGUCUAAAAAAUGUUGUUAUAUUUAGUUAGAUUACAAUAAACUUUAUAAGUAUGAAGCUAUUGAUAUUAUCAAAUGCAAACGUACAAAUUUGGCCUUAUUUGAUAAUUAGAGUUGUGCGUGGUUUUGUAGUUCAAAUUUAGAUUCUGUAAAAUACGAACCUCUGGAGGGCUGAAUCUAAGCACCAGUAUACUAUAUAUAUGGUAAUGCAAAGGCCGUGUAUAAGCCCAAAUCCAGAUUUUUACUUUGUAUAUUACACGUUAAUCGAAAUGUAUAUAUACUCUGAGGAUGACAGAUAAUUAAUUAGACAUAGUACAUUCGAUAAUGAUGCUACAAUAACAUUGCAUUAAUUGUAAUUAAGGGAAAAUCGGAUGGAUAUAUAUAAGCAAUUAUGUAAAGUAAUAUGAUUAAUUUCUUGCAGGUUUUGAACUUUUUAGAGAGAAAAGCAAGUCCAUUUUUUCUAGCAGCGGUUUUAUCCAUUUCAACCCAGGACUGUUUGAUGGUCAUGUAGCAGCCCUCGCUGGCUUCCUGCAUCAUUAAUUUUCAAAAUUCAAUGGUUAAAUUUUAACAAGAAAACAUAAUCAUACAUAUAUAGAAUUUUAAUUAAUUAAUUUUUUUUCUUACCCUACAGUCAUUGGUGACAAGAUCAUAAUAUGCGUUUGAUGGUGUGAUAUUAUCAAAGUAGAGAAUUGGGGCGGGCGAGGCAACUGCUCCCAAAGACUGUGAGGAUACUUCAAGCGAAACCAUGCUGCAAGCACUGGUGAUAACAAACCCACAAUUGAGUAACUCUCAAAACCAUAUCACAUCCCAGAUUUGAUAAAAUAGGACUAAUUGAGAUGGUUAUUUUUAAAAAAGUAAUUAUCUUAAAUAUAUUUAGUAUUUCUUAAUUUUACGAUCGCUGAAAGUAUUCAUUAAUUGGAAUGCAAAAUAAAUUUGUAUCAAAAUAAUAUUGGCGUAAUCAAUAUUUUGGUCAAACGAGAUCAAAAUGAAUAAAAUGGCGCAACAAAUGACACGACAUUAAUCAAAAGAUGUAAGUAAGUUAAUAAUAUUAAAAUUUACUUCCUCGAUAAGAUGCUCCAACGACGAUAAUGGGUGACAUUUCGGCCGAUAAAUUUUCCUUGAUGUGUAAGAGAAUCUUUGCAUAAUCUACCAAAGCUUGACCAGAGUUUAAAUAUCCACGAAGAGUUGCAUUGUUUAGGGCAUCUUUGCUUGAUACAAAAGGUACUGAUUUUCCAUAGAACCGAUACUGCAUGAAAAAUUGAAUUAAAAAAAAUCCAUCACAACUUUUCAGUUCAUAUUAUAGAAUAUUCUGAUUAAGAUUUGUCUUUAUUAUUAUUAUUUCGUAUGCGAACUCUAUUUUAAUUAUUAUCAAGCUAGCCUGAUAACAAAUUCUUUACUUACCUCUAUGUAAACUUAUAAGGCUUUAAAUCGAUGAGCAUUAUCAGCAAGCCAUCCAAUGCCACCAAGGUCAUCAUAUCAAGACUACUCUCUUCACCAAGAUAUGCCAAUAUCGGCGCCGCCAUGGCUCUGCCACCACCCCAAUGCUUGAAGUUCAACGCAUAUCUAUGAGGAAAAGUUAAAUAACUUUGUGGAUUAUAGUUAAAGUGAUCAAGUGUUUGAUCAUAAUAGUAAGUUUCGAGAUCAUAAUAGUAACUUUGUGGAUUUUUUUGCUAGGGUUUUGAAAAAUAGUCCUUCCACGAACAGCACCAAGCUUUGGGAUGUUCUUUAAUGGUGAAGUGGAAGCAAAAGCAAAAUUUGUGACGAGAAGAAGAAAAAGGCAUGGAGCGACCGACCUUUCAUGGCAAAGUUGUAAAUCCUUAAUUAGCAGGAUGAUUAUGUAAAUACAGAAGAAAUAGAGUUAAGAUUAGAUUAUAAAUUCAGCUUCAAAAUCGACGUGUUUGUUAAUAUAUCCUGGAUUUGUUGUUAUCGUAUAAUAUAAUUAAUGUUGCUUUUAGUUUUAUAUUAGUAUGGAUCUUCAGUUUUCAUAAAAUUAUAGUGUGUCUAAUGUUGUGCAAAUUUUAUUGAACUCACAAGUGUACGAAUCUAUUGUAGAAUAGAUUAAUGGUGACGAGUAUCGAUCCCACGAGGAGGUUGAUUCUAAUUGUGUGUAGAAUUAAUUUUUCUAAAUGGAUGUUUGGAUUUGUGGUGAAAGUGACUUAGAUUAUCUUAAAAUUGGAAUUGAAAUGGCGAGAAUAAAUUGAAGAGAAAUCUAUUGAAAUGAAACACUUGGGUAUCUGGAUCCGUAUCAACAUGCACCAUGGGCUAAAUAUUCCUUAUUAAUGUCAAUUAAAUCAUGAGGGGGGAAUCCACACCUCAUGAACCACACUAUAAUCAAUAUGGUGCUAAGGGCUUAUCGUGCCAAAUAAUAAUAACCUUGUACUAGUGAGUCGGUGAAACCAAGACGGUAUCUAGACAAGAUUAUUAUUAUUUGUCGACGAGAAAUCAAAACAUCUACAAAAACUAGAGGGGAAGAGAAAAUAAAUUUACCAAAUAGAGCCCAUGACACAUGUUGAGACUUCACCUUCAACCCAAGCUUGAAAGAAAAUUAGCUACUCACAAUUGAACUAGGGGUAAAAUGAGAAUUUAUUAAAAUACAUAGAAAAUACAAGAUGGAGAAUAAAUUACAGAAAAUGGAGCCCAAAAUUGGAUUCAGAGAUAUCAAAUUAGGGGGGGAGAGCUCCCUUUUUAUAGAUACAUUGAGUAAAUCAUGGCCAUCGAAUCAAAAACAUUUCGAACACUCAGGAUUGCGCCACGUCAUUAGUCAACAGUACGCGGUUUGAACAGUAACACGGUUUGGUUGAAAAUAAUCCUGUGUAAUGCAUAUACUGUACGCGAGAUUUUUGGUCCACUGAUAUGUUGCCACGUCAUCGAUCAACAAUACAUAAGAAUUUUAGUCCAAUAGGAUCGUGACACCUCAUCAGUCAAUGCCACAUCAUCGGUCAAUGCCACGUCAUCGGUCAAUGCCACGUCAUCGUUCCGUCUAUGUGAAUAGUGUCAUGAACAGUAACGUAGACAAUACCGUACAUGUGAGUAGGACCGUACAUGUGAACAAUGACAUUUUUCCUUUUAUGCUCCUCCUAAAGUUUUCGACUGUCCUAAGUUCAAAAGUGAUGUCCGUUUUGCCGUAUGAUUUCUCGUUCAUUGUGAAAUGACUAUGAUGCCCCUAAAAUACAUAAAAUACUUAAUUAAAAUAAAACACACGUAAUUAAAUCACAAGAAGUUUAAAUACAUAAAAGUAAGGGUGUUAGUAAGACUUGAAAUGUAAAAUGAUGAUUUUCUCCUACAUAAAUAUACAUUUUCUAACACUCAACAUCUAAUAUAUAGUUAACAGUUUCGUAAUUAAUAAAAUUUUUUAUUAUUUCUUUCCUAGUAAUUAAUUAUCUUGUGCUGGAAAGAAUAUCACUAACCACAACUUCUGCAGAAGCUUCCUCACCUUCGGAUGACAUCAGCGGUGGGUCCAGGAUGUUUGAUCGGAUCGGCGAAAUUAAAAAUUUAUUGUAUAUGUUUGCGUGAAUAUUUACAAAGGAGUGAAAAAACUAAUAUAUUAAAUAACGCGACAUCAACAACGUCGUUCUGAAUGAAAUUUUUAUAUAUAAUUUGUAAAAUAAACUAAUAAUUAGAAUGACAAUUUAGCCUUUUUAACUUGUAGAGACACAACCUUAAAUUCCUUAAUAUGCUGGUUAAUUCAGAUCAUUGAGAUGGAGACAAUUAGACAAACCUUAUUUUAUCAGAGUGAACUGCGAAAGUACAAGCUUUACAAAAGAGAUUAAUGUCGUAGUGUGAAUAGAAUUAAAAAAUACUAAGGCAGACAAUUCGUCGAACACAUAAUAUUUGCUACAUUGCUACUACCUAAUAAUUUCACAACCAAUUAACAGUCUCCUUUAUUGGAAAAAUCACAUUAAUCAACCAAAUACAUUUCUUGGUUUCUAAGCUCCAAAAUUGAAAUUUCAUGAAAAGGUUUCUGCAUUGGUGUCUUAUUGCGAGCGAUAAAUUCGUUGGACACGAGUUGCAUUGUAGGUCGAGACUUUGGUUGAGAACGCAAGCAUGAAAAUACUACUGUUGAAACAAGAAUGAUAUCCUGCCUAAUCAUUUGGUCCCCCGGAGGCGGGAGGCGUGGGUCCAACAAAUCAAUCAGCUUUAUAUUUUUAUCCAAUGAUGACGAUGACGAUGAGAGGAGCGCUUCUGGAUGCCUUCCCACUAGUACUUCUAGUGCCACCACUCCAAAGCUAUAAACAUCACAUUUCUCUGUCACAAUCAUGGUGUAGGCAAGUUCUAUAGGAAAACAAAGGCCUUCAUUAGUAACGUUUCCAUAAAUAAUAACAAGAACAAUUUGUUCAUGUUUUUUAGCUUCCGCAGCAAGUUAUGACAAAGAAACUUAUGUUUUAACUUAUGUUCAUUGUGUGUGUGUUUUAAAAGGAAAAGGGGUAGGCAAAGUUUAAAUUUAUUUUUAGCCCCUUAGCUUUUUCAAAAUUCGAACCAAGUAGCGACAUAAAUAAAGCUGCUUAAAAGCUACUUGGCAGAGUAUAUAUAAAAAUUAAUUAAGAGGAUAAUUAAAGAAGCAUAAGAGGAAUAGCUAGAGGAUGACCUGGAGCAAUAUAUCCAAAAGUGCCAGCUAAAAGAGUUCGGUUGGAUGAGUCAAAAUUUAACAAUCUAGCAAUGCCAAAGUCCGCAACAAAUGCUUCUAAUUCUGAGUUAAGUAGAAUGUUGUUGCUUGAUAUGUCCCGGUGAACAAUUGGUGGUGUGCAGUGAUGAUGUAAGUAUGACAAAGCGUGAGCCAUACCCUUCACAAUGUUCACCCUUUUAGUCCAAUCCAACCCAAUAGCUUCCUCAUCUGUGCGUAGAACACAGAACAAGCUUCCCAUUUCCAUGUACUCAUAGAUUAAGAACAUGCAUGUCUUGUGCAAACAAAAGCCGUAAAGCUUUACGAUAUUUCGAUGCCGUAUUUGGGACAGUAGACGAGCCUCAUUCCGAAAACUCUCGAGGGAAGCUAACUCCUCAGUUUCUGAACGGUGAAGCUUCUUCAAAGCAACCACUUUUCCACUGGGCAGCCGUGCUCUGUAAACGCUGCCGUAGCCUCCGGUUCCAAUGCAGUAUUUGAUAUCGAAAUCCUCAGUGGCUUCAAUCAUGUCUUGAAAUGUAAUUCUACCAUCGUAAUUCCAAAUUGCAAACUCAUCAGCGCACUUGGUAAUUUCUCCUGUCCCAGUUGGUUCAACUUCCUUAUCCCUUCGUCUACGGAUAAUCAAGAUUCCAAAUAUCAAGGCAAGGAAUGCGACCAUAGCAAGAAUAAUUGCAACCAAGAGAGUGGCAAUCAUUUUGUGAUGUGGCGGUGGCGCAUUUGCCAAAGUAGUUGGGAUUUCUCCUCCGAAUUUAUUACCUGACACAUCUAAGUGUGGCACUUUUCUGACAAAUACAGGGAUUCCACCGGAAAGGUUAUUCAUGGAAAGGUCCACGGUGUGUAUGCCCGGAAUUGCUCCAAGUUGGUAAGGUAUUUUACCAUUGAUGGAGUUACAGCUUAGAUCAAGAUAAUAUAGUUCUUGAAGUUUGCCAAUCUGUGACGGAAUGCUUCCGCUUAACAAGUUGUUUCCCAAUAUUAAUGUCGUCAGCUUUGAGCAAUUCAUGAGUUCUGGAGGAAUUGGGCCAUCAAGUUUGUUGUCAGACAAGUCUAAAAAUGUCAACCUGUUUAAAUGACCAAGUGUUAAAGGAAUAGAUCCAGUUAGAUUGUUAUAUUCCAGGGACAGAGAUUUCAAGUUGACUAAACUAGCUAUGGUCGAAGGAAUUGGACCUUCAAGUUUGUUGUUGGGCAGGUCAAGAACUUGAAGAAAGUUCAAAUGACCCACAGACGAAGGGAUUGGACCAACAAGUUUGUUUUCAGACAAGUCUAAAUAUGUCAACCUGUCUAAAUGACCAAGUGUUGAAGGAAUAGGUCCAGUUAGAUUGUUAUCCUGCAGGGACAGAUAUGUCAAGUUGACUAAACUAGCUAUGGUCGAAGGAAUCGGACCUUCAAGUUUGUUGUUGGACAGGUCAAGAACUUGAAGAAAGUUCAAAUGACCCACAGACGAAGGGAUUGGGCCAACAAGUUUGUUUUCGGACAAGUCUAAAUCUGUCAACCUGUUUAAAUGACCAAGUGUUAAAGGAAUAGGUCCAAUUAGAUUGUUAUAAUGCAGGGACAGAGAUGUCAAGCUGACUAAACUAGCUAUGGUCGAAGGAAUUGGACCUUCAAGUUUGUUGUCGGACAGGCCAAGAACUUGAAGAAAGUUCAAAUUCCCGAUUUCUAAUGGGAUGGAACCAUUGAUUCGGUUUGAGUGCAUAUUCAAAGUAGUUAGCUGAGUCAAAGGACCUACAGACGAAGGGAUUGGACCAACAAGUUUGUUUUGGGACAAGUCUAAAAUUCUCAACCUCUUUAAAUGGCCAAUUGUUGAAGGAAUUGAACCUCCAAUUUCAUUUCUGGACAGGUCAAGAACUUGAAGAACCUUCAAAUUCUCGAUUUCUAAUGGGAUGGAACCAUUAAUUUGGUUUGAGGCAAUAGCCAAAGUAGUUAGCUGGGUUAGAUGACCUAGAGUGGAGGGGACAUUACCAACAAGGGAGUUAGAAGACAAGUUCAAAAUUUUCAAUUUGCUUAGACGACCAAGAGUUGGAGGGAUAUGUCCCGUAAGGUGAUUAUUAGAUAGAUCCAGGUGGACGAGAUUCCUCAAUCUCCCCAUCUCUGAAGGGAUAAUUCCUGUUGUGCAUGUGAUUUAUGAAAAACGAGAUCAGUAUUCACUAUCCUCAUAGCAACAAAAAAAAAUGCAAAAUUUAUAUGGAGAGAGAGUCAUACUCAAGUGCGGACGGCACACACUUCUUCAGCGUUGUAAAAGCAAACGCCCGCACUAAGCAUGAGCACGAUUUUAUAAAAAAUAUAAUAUGUUACAGUGAAGUUUGGCAGCUUACCGGUAAGAUUGUUGGAGGUCAGUUCAAGAGUUCGGAUUGUUGAAAGAACAGUAAUUUCAGAUGGAAUGCUCCCAGAGAGAAGAUAAUUUGAACGAAUUUUGAAACUUCUGAGGUUGGGAAAGCAAGAGAAUUUGAAACGACCAAGCUCUCCUGUGAUGUUAUCAUUUUCAUACCAGAGUAAGCUGACCCCGAUUACGCUUACCGCUGAAUUGCAACUGAUGCCAGUCCACUUACAAUGAUCGGACGUGUAGUUGCCCGUCGUCGCCCAAUUGUUGACCCACCAGCCGGUAGCAAGUAAAGCUUCCCUUUCUAACAGUAUGGGUGACGACAACAAUCCUGCAGCUGAUGUCGUUACAGAUAUUGUCGUAUCACUUAUAGCACCAACAUUUAUUAAAAUUAUAAUGACCACCAGUCUCGAAACAGAGGACGCUGAUGCCAUGUUUAUGGUGGUUUUCUGUUGAUUGAGCUACAUUUGAUUCUCAGCAAAGCGUUUAUAUAAGAAUCAAUUGUUUUGCAAGCUCCCAGUGUUAACUUCCAAUACGCGUUUUCAAAUAGUGUGAGUCAAUGUCUUCUCUGGAUGGAUUCAAUCAUGGAGAUAUAACCUUAUCGGCUUGUAUUUGUGAGGUGUAGAUCUAUUUGAACAACUUUGCAGAAACAUGAGAUAAUAUGGACAAUAGUAGAAAUAAUUAAUAGCAUUAUUAGUAGUAUAAGAUAUUAAGUAUUACCCAAAAUAAGAAAAGGAAAAAAGUUCAAAGAAAAGAAUUGUUAUAAAUAAUGGCUCAAAUAGGAAAAUAAACAAGACUAAUCAUAUCUUUUGUAACAUACAUACCAUAGCUCAUGGGCUAACUAACAUUUUUUUUUUUUAACCCUAAACAUCAUAAAUGAAAGAAGAUGAAAUUUUAAUUACCGCUCAAUUUUUCUGCACGCAACCAAAUUUAAAAAAAAAGAAAAAAGAAAGUGUUAGAAAAAUAAUGCGCAAGUAGCUACUUGAGGCAUGAUUUUGAAUGAGACCUUUUUGGUAUAAGUGAAAAUUCAGAAAUUGUUUCGCAUAUUCCUCUAUGAGUACUUCGGAAUGUUAUCUAUACAAUCAAAAUGAUCCUCAAGUGAAUGAGAAAUUGUUACUCAAAGUGCACUCAUGAAUUUGAAAAAUUAAAGGAAAAUACAUUUGUCCCACAUUGGAAAGAUUUAUACAUAAUUACUAGAUGAACGGUAAGCUACUAUUAGCAAAGGGGCGUUCCUUGUGCACAGUCACGGGAGUGCAAAAUUUAACCACCCCAAUUAGCUUAACCAGUGUUCAUAUUGGGGGUGUUUACCCGACCCUUAGUUGGGGUUAGCUAAUGUGGCAACUUAGUUUGCCUUUUUUUUUUUUUUGCUCUUUGUAAUAAUAAUAAUAACAAAUUAAUAUAAUUUUUUAAUUUAAUAUUAUAUUACAUAAUAUUAAAUUAUGUUUUAAUUUUUAUUAUUUUAAAUAUAUAACUAAACAAUGUAUUAUUUAAUUGUAUUAUUUUAAUUAAUAUAUAAAAUUAUAUUAAUUAAUCUUUAAUAAGUUAAUAUAAUUAGUAAUAAAUACUUAAAUAAUAUAAUAUUACAUUAUUAAUUAUAGUACAAUAAUUAAUUUAGCUAUUUUUAAAUAAUUUAAUAUAACUAACAAUAAAUAUUUAAAUUUGAAUAAAUUUGAAUAAUAUUAAUUGAAAAUUAAUAAUAUAAAUAAUUACUGGAUUAUUUAGCUCAAUUUAUUUUCUUAGUGAAUAUGUCAUAACAAUUGUAUCACUUUAUUAUUCUAUAAUUAUCUUGUAAUAUGUAUAAAUUUUUAUUCUAUCAUCCUCAAAUGAUUUUUGAAUUAAUCUUGAAGAUUUUAACUAUUUAUUUAUGUUGUUAAAUUAUUUAGUGAUUAUUUGAUUAAAUUAUUUACUUCGAUCUUUAUUUCACAAGUUAUAUAUUUAGAAAAUACUGAAAAAUACACAUCCAAAAAUUUAAGACUAUAAGCCUCGGAAAAAUUAUGACAUUUCAAUAUAUAUUUUUAAUAAAAAUGUUAAAUUUCUAAAUUUCUAAAAUUUAAUAAUUUUAUAUUUAUUAUUUUUAAGUACUAAUAAAUAUUAUUUUCUAAAUAUAUAAUUUAAAUUAAUCACAAAAAAAUUAAUACAGUACAGUGUAACGCUAAACAUUAUACAACAUUAUUAUAAUACAAUGCUAAUGCAAUACAACAUAAUACAAUACACCUACAAUAAAAUAAUGCAAUACAACAUAAAAUAGAAUACAGUGUGUCAAAUGCACCAUUGUAUUAUUGUUUCGUUCUCAUGGUAUAAUUGCCGUCCAUACCUGUGCAAAACAUUAAGAGUUAAAAAUAUAUAUUUUUAUGAUUAAUUUUAGAUUUUUUUAAACUUUAAUAAUGCCAUAUUAUUUAAUAUUACAAUUGCCGUUCGAACAUGUGCAAAACAUGAAGACUAAUAUAUAUAUAUAUAUAUAUAUACACACCAUAUUAUUUAAUAUUUAAUUUUUAAGGCAACUUUUACUUUUAAAAAAAAAAUUUAAGGCAACUUUUUUAGUUGAGGGCAGGGAACCCCUACGAUACGUAAUUCCAUAACACGCUUAUCUAAUCACCUUGACUAUAAGACUUCUCCUAGUCAGCAAUUAUUUGGAAAAAAACGUCUUGACAUGUGCUGUGGAAAUUAAAGAAUGAGGUGGACUUACGAAGUCAAGGGGUUUUUCUAGUCUACAGAUUUUAAUUUAUAUGUGUAGAAAAUUAGAAAUAUUCAGUGUCUAAUCUGAUUCUACAUAAAGACUAAUGCCCCAAGAUUGUGAUUGAAAUACCACAAGCAGUUUAUUUCAUAAGUUUAGGUAAAAAUGAGGUUUGAUGGCUUUGUUAAAAGUUGCUUCUUUCGUAAUUUUCUCAUUUUGACUGCAACUUCAAAAAAUAGGCAGGAGAUUAUUUUGAUAAGCAACUUAUUAAAUAAGUUGCUAGAUCUUUUUAAAUGUUCCUAUAAUAAUCUUAAUAUUUUAAGAAAAGAAUAAUUAUAUCUUUCUUUUCUAUAAGCUCUAAUAUAUAAAUAAAACACAGUUUAAACUUAUGUCUAUUUUAGUGAUUAAAUAAUACAAUACAUUCAUAAUCAAAUUUACCAAACACAAGCAAGAUACUUUUUUAAUCAUCAACUUAUUUCAUCCUCACAACAAAAAUAACUUAUUUUAUCAGCCACCGCCAUCCUAAACUUGAUGCUAAGUCACAUUUGGGAUUGCAUUUGAUUGUCAAAUAAUUAAGAGAAAUAGCCAUUAUGGAGAAGAAUAGGGAGAGGUUCGCCUAAAGCAAUAUACCCGUAAGCUUGGCUACUAAUAAACGGAGCAUAUAAGCAUAAACACCUAACUUUUGAGGCAUAUAAGGGAUCUAAAAGUGCGGGAAACGUUCGGAAAAACUUUAAAACCACAGGGUUUUAAAGGCUUAAACUGCAUGGUUUAUGUGUUUUCCUAGAUAUUCCUACACUUUAAAAUUCAAGAUUAAAACAUUUCCAUAUGUGUGUGUGUGUGUGUGUGUGUGGAGGGCAAAUCUUUGACUCUCUCCAGCUUCAAGUACCUAUACGGUAACUCUUAAAUCAAAAGGGAGAAAAUGGUUAACCCAAUCUGAUUGUAUAUGAAUUGAUAUUCACCAUAUGAUUAUUGCAUAAAGAUUGAGCCUUAAGUGCUUUACAUUAAGUAAUACUGAACACCUGUUCUACACAUUUAGACAACUCAGAGUAAAAAUUAUGAAAAUGACAACCAAAUCCAAACUAGCUAGGUGCACUAUUAUUAUUUAUCUUUACUCCAUAAAUAUUAGAAAGAUAGAGGAGAGGAAGAAAAAGAAAAGACUAAUUUUGUAGUCACAAUUUAAUCUUAUGCUCUGAUUUUGAAGCAAAUCUGCAAAAUAUUUGAGGAUCCAAUCAUGAACCAUGUCCACUUCAAUCUUUCGCUGCACUACUAACCAUACUGGGUCAUCUUCUGUUGCUGGCUGUGUGUCUAAGCAAUGGGAACCUACUCCAAUUUACACACUAUUAAUUAUGUUAUCCAAUAAUUUAGUUAAUAAUUGAACACUAAUUUUUUAUUUUAUAGAAAAAUUUAAAUACUGUUUCUUGUUGUCACUGCUAUUAUACUGUCUGAUAUAUCUUCCAGAAUCCUAUAAUCCCCCCCCCCCCAAAAAAAUAGAAGAAACAGAAAAGAUAUAUAAUUAAACAGGUAACUUCGAUAGAAAAGAGUGUACACAAUUCUUAAGCUUAAUUACCCCUCGCUACUAUAGGGAUCACGAAGGCCAUUAGAGAAAAUAAUGUUGCUACCAAAUCUCUUUAAAACCACUCUUAUAUCCUGCAAAUUAAAAAGAAAUAGAAAUCAAACAAAAAUUGAGGUGAACUUUAUAAUUAAAACAGAAAAUGAGAAAUCUUAAAAUAUUAGAAGAAUUAAUUUGGGGAUUAAUCGACACUUACAUUACCACUUUAAUAAGUUGUAAUCCAAUGUGGUCUUGGAACCACUCCAUAAGACUUAUUGCAUGAAUCCAUAUAUUCUGUCAGAUUAAAUGGGUCUGCUUGAGACAUUGUGUCGUUUUUGCCAAUUCCAAUUGGUGAGACCAUUGCACUGCAUGUCUGCAUGAGAAACCCCCCAAUAAUAAAAAAUAAUAAUAAUAAAAUAACAUAAAGAAGAAAACUAUUUUUAAUCAUUCAUAAAUAUAAAGUCUCAUUGCCACAUGUUGUUUAUUUAACGGUCUCAAUAGAACUAUCCAAUGAAAUCAUGUCACUUGUAAUUGCAUACCUGUCAGCCCCAGCUGGAGUCCAAUGUUGCAUCGGAGAAGAAUUCAUCAACAUCAUGGCAAGAAUCCUCCCCUCUUAAAUCAACAAUUCCUGAGAUGAUCCAGUCUAGGGCAUCUGUGUCUUCUAAAGCUCCAUCAAUUGCAUUACAGGCUUUGUUCACUGGGCUUUCCUGAGGAUCAUCAUACUGAGCUGCACCCGUAUACAUAUACUCUAAAUAAUCUUUCAAUUCUUAAACAUCCUUCAGAGGCCUGUAAUCAAAUAAACAAUAACAUAGAAUUAAGUGCCACAAGGUCAUUAAUUUUAUAAAAGAUCUUUCAACAUAUUGUCUUCAAAAUGUUGUUAUAUUUAGUUAGAUUACAAUAAACUUUAUAAGUAUGAAGCUAUUGAUAUUCUCAAAUACAAACGUUCAAAUUUGGCCUCAUUUGAUUAUCAGAGUUGUGCGUGGUUUUGUAGUUUAAAUUUAGAUUCUGCAAAAUAUGGACGUCUGAACCUAAGCACCAGUAUACUAUAUAUGGUAACGCAAAGGCCGUGUAUAAGCCCAAAUCCAGAUUUUUACUUUGUAUAUUACACGUUAAUCGAAAUGUAUAUAUACGCUGAGGAUGACAGAUAAUUAAUUAGACAUAGUACAUUCGAUAACGAUGCUACAAUAACAUUGCAUUAAUUGUAAUUAAGGGAAAAUCGGAUGGAUAUACAAUACAAUACAAUAUACAAUAUGGAUAUACAAUAACAUACAAUAUGAUUCUGAUACAACCCCAAUAUUACAGUUAGACAAGCCCAACUCAGCUAGCUCUAUCAAUACUGAGGAAAAGGCCCAGGCAAACUCAAGUGAGGCUAUCCAAAAUCGACCCCAAGAUAACCUCAAGCCAAGUCGCGUAAGGAAGCCUCCCAAAUGGCUCAAGGAUUACACAUACUGAGCAUAUAUGAGCUGAGGACUCGGUUUCUAACGGCCUUAGCUAUUUAGAGAACAACUUUUUUGUUAUAGAGGGAGGUUGUUAUUUAGUUUUGACAGCUGUGAGCAUAUUCUUGCUGCUAUAAGUAUUUCCAUGGUUGUAUUUGAUGAUAUAUAAAAUUCUGGACCUAGUUUCUUCUUCUUCUCUGAAUUUUUCUCUCUAUUCUAUCUUGCCAUUCACUCAUUUCUUUAAAAUUCUGGGAGCUUGCACUUGCUUGAAAAGUGUGGAAACCUUGCUGUUCGGUGUGUUCACCAGCGGCAUAACAGAUUCAUUACUUGCAGGUUUUGAACUUUAUAGAGAGAAAAGCAAGUCCAUUUUUUCCAGCAGCGACUUUAUCGAUUUCAGCCUAGGACUGUCUGAUGGUCUUGUAGCAGGUCUCGCUGGCUUCCUGCAUCAUUAAUUUUCAAAAUUCAAUGGCUAAAUUUUAACAAGAGAACAUAAUCAUGCUUAUAUAAAAUUUUAAUUAACUAAUUUAUUUCUUACCCGAAAGUCCUUGGUGACAAGAUCAUAAUAUGCGUUUGACGGUGUGAUAUUAUCAAAGUAGAGAAUUGGGGCGGAUGAGGCAACUGCUCCCAAAGCAAUGUGACGAUACUUCAAGCGAAACCAUGCAGCAAGCAUUGUUGAUAACAAACCAACAAACGAGUAACUCUCGAAACCAUAUCACAUCCCAGAUCUGAUAAAAUAGGAUGAAUAGAGAAGAUUAUUUUUAAAUACAUAAUUAUCUUGAACAUAUUUAUUAUUUCUUGAUUUUACGAUCGCCAAGAGUAUUCGUUAGUUGCAAUAUUAAAUAAAUUUGUAUCAUAGUAAUAUUGCUGUAGUCAAUAUCUUGAUCGAUCAAUCGUGAUCUAAAUGAGUAAAAUGAUGUGACAGAUGACACGACAUUAAUCAAAAGAUGUAAGUAAGUUAAUAAUAUUAUAAUUUACUUCCUCCAUAAGAUGCUCCAACAACCAUAAUGGGAGACAUUUCGUCCGAUAAAUUUUUCUGGAUGUGUAAGAGAAUCUUGCAUAAUCAGCCAAAGCUUGAGCAGAGUUGAAAUAUCCACGAAGAGUUGCAUUCUUUAGGGCAUCUUUGCUUGAUACAAAAGGUACUGAUUUUCCAUAGAACCGAUACUGCAUAAAAAAUUGAAUUAAAAAAAAAUCCAUCACAACUUUUCAGUUCAUAUUGUAGAAUAUUCUGAUUAAGAUUUGUCUUUAUUAUUAUUAUUUCGUAUGUGAACUCUAUUUCAAUUAUUAUCAAGCUAGCCUGAUAACAUAUUCUUUACUUACCUCUAUGUAAACUUGUAAGGCUUUAAAUCGAUGAGCAUUAUUAGUAAGCCAUCCAAUGCCACCAAGGUCAUCAUAUCAAGACUACUCUCUUCACCAAGAUAUGCCAGUAUCGGGCGCCGCCAUGGCUCUGCCACCACCCCAAUGCUUGAAGUUCAACGCAUAUCUAUGAGGAAAAGUUAAAUAACUUUGUGGAUUAUAGUUAAAGUGAUCAAGUGUUUGAUAAUAAUAGUAAGUUUCGAGAUCAACAUAGUCACUUUGUGGAUUUUUUUGCUAGGGUUUUGAAAAAUAGUCCUUCCACGAACAGCACCAAGCUUUGGGAUGUUCUUUAAUGGUGAAGUGGUAGCAAAAGCAAAAUUUGUGACGAGAAGAAGAAAAAGGCAUGGAGCCGCCGACCUUUCAUGGCAAAGUUGUAAAUCCUUAAUUAGCAGGAUGAUUAUGUAAAUACAGAAGAAAUAGAGUUAAGAUUAGAUUAUAAAUUCAGCUUCAAAAUCGACGUGUUUGUUAAUAUAUCCUGGAUUUGUUGUUAUCGUAUAAUUUAAUUAAUGUUGGUUUUAGUUUUAUAUUAGUAUGGAUCUUCAUUUUUCAUAAAAUUAUAGUGUGUCGAAUAUAUAGUUAUCGGUUUCGUAAUUAAUAAAAAUUUUUAUUAUUUCUUUCCUAGUAAUUAAUUAUCUUGUGCUUACCAGAAUAUCACUAACCACAACUUCUGCAGAAGCUUCCUCACCUUCGGAUGACAUCAGCGGUGCGUCCAGGAUGUUUGAUCGGAUCAGCUAAAUUAAAAAUUUAUUGUAUAUGUUUGUGUGAAUAUUUACAAAGGAGUGAAAAAAAACUAAUAUAUUGAAUAACGCGACAUCAAGAACUUCGUUCUGAAUGAAAUUUUUAUAUAUAAUUUGCAAAAUAAGCUAAUAAAUAGAAUGACAAUUUACCCUUUUUAACUUGUAGAGACACAACCUUAAAUUCCUUAAUAUGCUGGUUAAUUCAGAUCAUUGAGAUGGAGACAAUUAGACAAACCUUAUUUUAUCAGAGUGAACUGCGAAAGUACUAGCUUUACAAAAGAGACUAAUGACGUAGUGUGAAUGGAAUUAAAAAAUACUAAGGCAGACAAUUCGUCGAACACAUAAUAUUUGCUACAUUGCUACUACCUAAUAAUUUCACAACCAAUUAACAGUCUCCUUUAUUGGAAAAAUCACAUUAAUCAACCAAAUACAUUUCUUGGUUUCUAAGCUCCAAAAUUGAAAUUUCAUGAAAAGGUUUCUGCAUUGGUGUCUUAUUGCGAGCGAUAAAUUCGUUGGACACGAGUUGCAUUGUAGGUCGAGACUUUGGUUGAGAACGCAAGCAUGAAAAUACUACUGUUGAAACAAGAAUGAUAUCCUGCCUAAUCAUUUGAUCCCCCGGAGGCGGGAGGCGUGGGUCCAACAAAUCAAUCAGCUUUAUAUUUUUAUCCAAUGACGAAGAUGACGAUGAGAGGAGCUCUCCUGGAUGCUUUCCCAUUAGUACUUCUAGUGCCACUACUCCGAAGCUAUAAACAUCAGAUUUCUCUGUCACAACCAUGGUGUAGGCACGUUGUAUAGGAAAACGGAAGUCUUUAUUAGUAAUGUUUCCAUAAACAAUAACAAGCACAAUUUGUUCAUGUUUUUUAGCUUCUUUAGCAAGGUAUGACAGAGAAGCAUAUGUUCUAACUGAUAUUCAGUGUAUGUGUGUUUUGAAAGGUAAAGGGAUAGGUAAAGUCUAAAUUCAGUUAUAGCUCCUUAGUUUUUUCAAAAUUCGAACCCAAGUAGCGAGCUAAAUAAAGCUGGUUAAAAACUACUUAGCAGAGUAUAUAUAAAAAUUAAAUAAGAGGAUAACUAAAGAAGCAUAAGAGGAAUAGCUAGAAGAUGACCUGGAGCAAUAUAUCCAUAAGUGCCAGCUAACAGAGUUCGAUUGGAUGAGUCAAAAUUUAACAAUCUAGCAAUACCAAAGUCAGCAACAAAAGCUUCGAAUUCUGAGUUGAGUAGAAUGUUGUUGCUUGAUAUGUCGCGGUGAACAAUUGGUGGUGUGCAGUGAUGAUGCAAGUAUGACAAAGCAUGAGCCAUACCCUUCACAAUGUUCACCCUUUUAGUCCAAUCCAACCCAACAGCUUCCUCAUCUGUGCGUAGAAUACAGAACAAGCUUCCCAUUUCCAUGUACUCAUAGAUCAAGAACAUGCAGUUCUCGUGCAAACAAAAGCCGUAAAGCUUUACAAUAUUUCGAUGCCGUAUUUGGGACAGUAGACGAGCCUCAUUCCGGAAACUCUCGAGGGAAGCUAACUCCUCAGUUUCUGAACGGUGAAGCUUCUUCAAAGCAACCACUUUUCCACUGGGCAGCCGUGCUCUGUAAACGCUGUCGUAGCCUCCGGUUCCAAUGCAGUAUUUGAUAUCGAAAUCCUCAGUGGCUUCAAUCAUGUCUUGAAAUGUAAUUCUACCAUCGUAAUUCCAAAUUGCAAACUCAUCAGCGCACUUGGUAAUUUCUCCUGUCCCAGUUGGUUCAACUUCCUUAUCCCUUCGUCUACGGAUAAUCAAGAUUCCAAAUAUCAAGGCAAGGAAUGCGACCAUAGCAAGAAUAAUUGCAACCAAGCGAGUGGCAAUUGUUUUGUGAUGUGGCGGUGGCGCAUUUGCCAAAGUAGUUGGGAUUUCUCCUCCCAAUUUAUUGCCUGACACAUCUAAGUGUGGCACUUUUCUGACAAAUACAGGGAUUCCACCGGAAAGGUUAUUCAUGGAAAGGUCCACAGUGUCUAUGCGUGGAAAUUCUCCAAGUUGGGAAGGUAUUUUACCAUUAAUGAAGUUACCGCUUAGAUCAAGAUAAUAUAGUUCUUGAAGUUUGCCGAUCUGUGACGGAAUGCUUCCGCUUAACAAGUUGUUUCCCAAUUUUAAUAUCCUCAGCUUUGAGCAAUUCAUGAGUUCUGGAGGAAUUGGGCCAUCAAGUUUAUUGUUGUACAUAUUCAAAGUAGUUAACUGAGUCAAAUGACCCAGAGACGAAGGGAUUGGGCCAACAAGUUUGUUUUGGGACAAGUCUACACUUCUCAACCACUUUAAAUGGCCAAGUGUUGUAGGAAUUGAACCUCCAAUUUCAUUUCUGGACAGGUCAAGAGCUUGAAGAACCUUCAAACUCCCGAUUCCUAAUGGGAUGGAACCAUUCAUUUGGUUUGAGGCAAUAGCCAAAGUAGUUAGCUGGGUUAGAUGACCUACAUUGGAUGGGAUAUUACCGACAAGGGAGUUAAAAGACAAGUUCAAAAUUUUCAAUUUGCUUAGACCACAAAGAGUUGGAGGGAUAUGUCCCAUGAGGUGAUUAUCAGAUAGAUCCAGGUGGACGAGAUUCCUUAAUCGCCUCAUCUCUAAAGGGAUAAUUCCUGUUGUGCAUGUGAUUUAUGAAAAACGAGAUCAGUAUUCACUAUCUUCAUUAAAAAAAAAUUACAUAGAGGGAGAGUCAAGCUCAAGUGCGGACGACUCACACUUCUUUAGUGUUGUAAAAACAGACGCCUGCUUUAAGCAGCAGCGCGAUUUUAUACAUACAUAUAUAUAUAUAUGGUGAAGUUUCACAGCUUACCGGUAAGGCCGUUGUAGGGCAGUUCAAGAGUUUGGAGCAUUGAAAGGGCAGUAAUUUCAGAUGGAAUGCGCCCAGAGAGAACAUAAUUUGUACGAAUUUUGAAAUUUCUGAGGUUCGGAAAGCAAGAGAAUUUGAAACGACCGAGCUCUCCUUUGAUGUUAUCAUUUUCAUACCAGAGUAAGCUGACCCCGAUUACGCUUCCCGCUGAAUUGCAACUGACGCCAGUCCACUUACAAUGAUCGGACGUGUAGUUGCCCGACGUCGCCCAAUUGUUGACCCACCAGCCGGUAGCAAGUAAAGCUUCCCUUUCUAACAGUAUGGGUGACGACAAUAAUCUUGCAGCUGAUGCCGUUACAGAUAUUGUCGUAUCACUUAUAGCACCAACAUUUAUUAAAAUUAAAAUGACCACCAAUCUCGAAACAGUGGAUGCUGCUGCCAUGUUUAUAAUGGUUUUCGGUUGAUUGAGCUGGCUAUUUGAUUCCUUGCAAAGCGUUUAUAUAAGAAUUAAUUGUUUUGCAAGCUCCCGGUGUUAACUUCCAAUACGCGUUUUCAAAUAGUGUGAGUCAAUGUCUUCUCUGGAUGGAUUCAAUCAUGGAGAUAUAACCUUAUCGGCUUGUAUUUGUGAGGUGUAGAUCUAUUUGAACAACUUUGCAGAAACAUGAG